GGGAAUGAGAGAGAGAAAAAAGAAGAAGAAGAAGAAGAAAAUGGGGCUGAAAAACUUCACUGCCAUUUUUCAAAAUCAGACGACCCGUUUCCUUUCAAAGGGUAGCCAAAAAGUUCCCAUACACACCCAUUAGCGAGCUUCUUCUUUACCAAAAAAAAAACUAAAAAAAUUAGAUCAUCAUUUUCAAACCACCUUCUAGCUAGAACUGGAAACAAAAAAACAGUACAGACUCUCUCAUCAGCGCUGUCUCUUUACGCCACCCUCGAGUUACUACUAUCUUGCCCCACGUUGACUCAAGGAACCAUAGCCGCUGCUUCCACAGUACCGUUAACCUGAGGUGUUCAUUACCGGAAUCAUAACACAAGGCAGGCCAGGAGCCCACUCACAUCGUCCAUGUGCAUCUUCAGCGUGCUCGUUUUACAUUCUUGCCUCUGACCUCUCUGGACUUAGCUUUAUUCAAGCACUAGCCACUCAAAAAAAGAGUGAAGAUGAGGUACGGGAUAUCCAGUGGAGCUGUCUCCAUCAUAAUCACUCAAGGUAUAAAGCUUCUACCUAUUCUCAUGUAGUUGUAAUCUUUUACAUGUGCAUGCUACUGCAAAGGCAAGCUCCCGUUUUUCCUUUAUGUGCUAUGAAGUUAACAUAUAGUGUUGUAAGGUGUGUGGAUCGUCUUUUAAGUCCUAACCUGGUCACGGGUGUUCUUUCACUUGCUACGGGUACUGAAGGGGAUGGGGUGUGAUUUUUCCUUCAAGCGCAUAUGGUCUUGAAAACUUGAUUGCAUGUCCUAAGUUCAUGUUAAGACCUUGCCUAGUUAAUUAAGAAUGCUCUUACCCAAGGUUAAAGUUCAAGAACGGUAUGAGAAUGCUCUCUCAUUUUAUUUAGAUCGCUCAUUGAUUAUAAUAUUGUUGACUUAUUUUAUUAGAUUUUAAUGUAAUUUAAUUUCUUGACUAGAAUUAUCAGUAUAUAAUUAGUUAAAAAAUUAUUUAUGAUUUUAUGAUUUUACGAUCUGAGUUUAUUUUAUAUUUUUCGUGUCGUGUCAAAAAAUAUUUUUGACAACCUUGAACCCAGGAUCUUGACUUUAUUGAUCCACAAUCCCCAAACCAUAUUCGCAAACUAAAACUUUUUUUAUAUAGUUUAAAACAAGCACCUCGUGCAUGUAUUGAUUGCUUAGUGAAUUCUUAGUUUCUCAAUGGAUUUUAUAUUCGUAAAUUUUUAAGUGAACCCAGGUUAUAUUAUCAUGAUAACUAAAAUAAAAUGAGCUAAAUUUAUUUAUAAAAUGAGCACCACACGCUUAGAUUUAAAUUCCAUAGAAAGAUUAGCACCUGAUGACAAGUUAACUCGGGAAACAAAGGUAAUAACAAUGUUUUGAGAUUGAAUUCGACACUAGGUCUACUUAGUAGUUAGUACAUAUAAGUUGAAGGAUUGCUACCUUGACCAAUGAACUGAAAAUAUCUUUAAUUUAUAAUGAAUGGCAUACACCAUACAGUUUUACCAUAUCAACAGCAUGAAAAUUGAUAAUCGAUCCUUUAGGGAUAUUAUUCCAUUUCUUUAUUAAUUAUCAUAAAAACAUUUAUUAAAUGUGUUGUCCUCCAACUCUUUCCAUAAAAAGAAAGAGUUGUGAACCACAACAUACAUUUGAUCAUGGACAAAAGGUAAUCAAAUAGUUGCCUCCACUAGGACAAGUAAACGUGCUCGAUUUAUCAUCAAAAGCAUAACUAUAAGCUUGAGGACACUGCUGCUUGAAAGUCAUCGAAUAUUGGGUAGGAGGACAUGUUUCAGCUGUAUUAUGGUCUCCUGUGCAGCAGUACUGCGGCUGGUUAAAUGCCAAACACGCACUCUUGCAGGCAAUCACAGUCCCAUCUGAACCUUUCACUGCUAAACUAGGAUCACAAACAGCAUUCACGUUAGCUGCACAGCUUGUAGAAGGGCAGCCAGUAGAACCUCCUUGCGGGGUUACCGAAAUUGGGAGGUUAAAGCCAUCAACAAGGCUUAUAUCGUAAUAAUCUUUCCCACCAUCACCGCUUAGAGUAAAUUCUGCCAAGGAUGCUGGUGGGAUCGCACCGGCUCCAUUGCAUUCUAUGACACCAGAGGCACAGUCAGCAGUAGCACAAACAAACUUUCCCGAGGCAUCUGUAGAGCAUUGCGUUCUGGCCCACAAGCGGCCAGACCAAUUGACAGGGACACUCAGCGAAGAUGAAGCACCCGUUGCCAAUGUGAAGCCAGUUGAAGAUAAAGACGGACCGCCAGCAGCCGUUAGAGUUCCUGGCCAGACUGUGUAUGGACAGUUGUUUUUGAAGUCGAAAGUCACAGAUUGAGCUCCUGCAUGCGUGCAAGAUUUAUUUUUGUUGAUAUCAAUAAUUAAAUCUUGGUCGAUUCAAAGAUAACAUAAUUCAAUAUUUAAAAUCUUGUAUUAAUUCAGUUAUUUUUCUUUUAAAAAUAUAACAUAACCCAGGUUUUUUUUUAAUAUAUUUUUUUCUUUCUUGUUUUUUAUCUGGAAACUCUCCCUCCUGGAUAAGUUUAUUGGAUUCACGAAAUCCAUUGAAUAAUGAAAACUAGUUAAUAUUGCAUAUGCAAACAGAAAAUAUAUAUGUAGAAUAAUCAAAGUGAAUAAUAUGCAUAAUAGAGUUUUCCAUGCAAGAAUCUAAUAUAUGUAAUAUUGUAAAAGUACUUGCCAUAGAAGAAGAUGACGAGGGUGAAGGUAAUUAUAGCAAUGGGCAUACGACUCUCCAUUGCCGAGAUGCGUCGAAUUAAUUAAGACCUUUUCAGUAUCUUUCAAGAGAUUUGAGGUAAGCAAGAAACACUCUAUAUUUUAAAAAUAUUAUGAAAUGAGCAGACUUAAUAAAUAGUGUUAAAUUUGCAGACUAGUAAACAGAGGAACGUCCUGCUUCUGAUCACGUCAAAUGAAAGCAACACCCCAUUGAAUAUUGAAUGUAACUCUUGUCCAGCAGACGAGCCGUGAUGAAUGUGACACUCUUCAAAAUUAUCACACCGUGAUUAAUGCGAGAUUCUUCAAAAUUAAAGAAAAAAAAAUCACCACCUAUUAAUUAAAAAAUUUAGAAUUCAAAAAUAGACAUUGGUUAGAGAUUUAGGCAUUCGGGACAACUCGCUCUUCUGGCACCAGCACAGCACUUCGUCGAAAAGAAACCCAAUGAAAUAUACAAAUGCCCUUGGUUUGAACCACAAUAUAAAUGAAUUAUAUUCCACAAAACAUCGAAAGAUGUACUUUUAAAUUUAUUUUUUAAUAUUUUGGAUAAUAUAUUUAAAUUAAAAUUUUACUGUUAACUUCAAAUAUUCAUGUACAUGAGUUAAUAAUUGAUCUUAAAAAAAAAUUAUAUAUUUAUUUAAUAGCUCAGGACACGAAAACUUCUUUGCUCCGCCCUUGCUAAUAAUCAUCUUCCACACGAUGACAUUUGACAAUGAAUAUCAAAUUAUAAAAUUAUAAUUUAUUUAUAUUUAUAAAAAAAUAAAUUAUAAAAUUGGGUUUAUCACUUGAAGUGCGCGUAGACCGUCCAUGCAAUGACAUGCACUCAUCAACUAUUUUUAAUAUUAUUUAUAUUUAUUAAAUUAUAAAAUUAGAAAUAAACCACCCUGAUAACAAAAAAAAAAAAAAAACCCAAUGAAAUAUACAAAAGCCCUUAGUUUGAACCACAAGUGACUAACUAGAUAUCUCAAUUAACGAGAAAGCAGACUAGAAAACAGGCAAUUAGAGAAACGUCAAAUGAAACCAACACCCAAUUGAAUAUUGAAUGUAACAGUACCGGUCCCUUGUUUGAACCACAAGUGACUAACUAGAUAUCUCAAAUUCAAUUGAUGAGAAAGCAGACUAGUAAACAGCCAACAGUGGCAGUUCUCCUCAGGCAUUACACCGUGAUGAGUGCGAGACUCUUCAAAAUUAUCACACCGUGAUGAGUGCGAGACUCUUCAAAAUUGAUGAGAAAGCAGAGUAGUCCCUGGCUUCUGGAAUGAAUGUAACUCUGGAAUUAUUCCAAAUCCAUUUGUCUAAUGAAUGUUACUCUGGAAUUAUUCCAAAUCCACAAGUUUCAUAAUGUUGUGUUGAUUGUGAGACAUUAUUAUUUCAAAAACUGAAGGGGAUAAAAUUAUAAAAGAAUUUUAAUUUUAUAAAUUAUCUAAAAAAAAAAUAAUAAAAAUAAUAGGAACCAAAUUCGAAUGAAUAACAAAUUAAAAACGUACUUUGAAAUUUUGAAGUGCCACGUACGGAAAUCAAGAAAAGAAGAAAUAAGACAAAAAAAAAGAUUGUCGGUAACAAACUGAAAACUAUCUACAACACGUGCCGCCUCAUCCAUGACAGCAAUUGGUCAAUGAACAUCCCUGCACGCACCACUUGAUGUGUGUGGAAUUGCCCACGAACUAACCUGAACUCAUCAACUAUUUUUUUUAAUAUUAUUUAUAUUUAUUAAAUUAUAAAAUUGGAAAUAAACCACCUUGAUAAAAAAAAAAAAAAAAAAAACCCAAUGAAAAUAUACAAAUGUCCUUGGUUUGAACCACAAGUGACUAACAAGAUAUCUCAAUUAAUGAGAAAGCAGACUAGUAAACAGCCAAUUAGAGGAACGCCCUGCUUCUCACGUCUAAUGAAAGCAAUUGAAUGCAGGAAUAGGGCCAUACUCACAAGAAAAUUGAUUUACACCUGACAUAAUAUUUUGUAAGUGUAAAAGCUAUAUUUCUGUGUCUAUAAAUAUCAGGUAGAUUUUUUUAUGGAAAUAUCUUGUAAAUAAAUAUCAAAAUAUUUAAUAUCGCAAUUCAGAGCAUAUAUCUAAUUGUGUUUAAUAAUUUUUUUAUUUGAAUAAAUUUGUAUUUAACCAAAAGAUUAUCCAUGCCGAUAAAACGAUGUCUACCAAAUAUAUAUUUUUUUAUUUUGUAUUUUAAAAUAUUAUGAAAUGAGCAUCACUUUCCUAUAUUUAUUUAAUUAAUUAAAUUAAAUUAAAUGAAAAAAAUGUCUAUAAAAAAGAGAAAUUAAAAAAAAACAACAAAUAAAAAUACUCGAGAUAUCCCGAGUCAUUUUCAAAAUAAGUGAAAAAUCUUAUAGAAAGAAAAAAAAAAUCAAUGGAGCCCAAUAUCUAAUUAAAUAAAUAUUAAAGGAUGAAACUAAAAUAAACAUGAGCUUAAAAAAAGGGAAAAAACCAAGCAAACUCGGGUGAACCUCCUAAACCUGAGUUAAUCUCUAAAACUCCCAACUUAUGAAAUCCUAGACUUGAACUUGAUUAAGAAGCACAAUUCUCAACUAAUUUAAUGUUGAAUAAUGAAAACAGGAAAAAAAAUCAAUUUAAAAAAAAAAUUGCAAAAGUGAAAAAAAAGUUAGCAAUCAAAAGAAUGAGGAAUCAAAUCUGAUAGGAAAAAAAAACUUAUGGAGGAUGAUAUUGUAAAAAAAUAUCAAAUUAAAAAAUUAUCUCAAAUAAAAAAAUAGCAAUCAAAAGAAUAGGAACAAAAUUUGAAAGAUAAAAAAAUUAAAGGGGUAUGAAAUUGUCAAAGAAUUCUAAUUUAAUAAAUUAUUCCAAACAAAACAAAUAAUGAUCAAAAGAACAGCCACCAAAUCUUAAGGAAUAACAAAUUGAAGGCAUGCUUUGAAAUUUUGAAGGGGCACAAGCAAGAAUCAAUGAGAGAAAAAAGAAAAAGAGAAAGAAAAGGUUGUCGGCACCAAAUUGAACAACCAGUUCACUUGGUAUUACCAAACGGUCGACCGGACCAACUUAAAUUCCAGAUUUUGACAAUUUAAACCUGCUGAAUCUUGAACUGAUACUAAUCCUAUAUACAUGUAGAGUGAAGUGUUUGAGUCAUUUUAAUUGUGCUAUUAAGCUAAAAUAUAAAGAUUUACAAAAUCACUUAAAUGAACAAUUAAUUCUUAGUCUUCACUUGUUUUGCAUCUUGGAUAUCCUCAUUGAUUUUUUCAUGACAUCCUUCAUGCUUGUUGAUGUCAAAACUAAUUUUUGGGUUAUUCCCCACCAUUUUUUACCUUAUUCCUUUUCAAAAUAAAAAUAAAAUAAUAAAAUAAUAAUAGCAAGGAUACUAGCGACGUAGAAAAUGUUGGCUGGGGAAGGAUUUUAAAUAUAGAAAAAUUAAAGUUUUGGAGUCAAUUAAGGGCUGCAUUAAUGAAAUUUUCAGCCAAGAAUCAUUUUGAAAAAGGCAAUUAGGGACUUGAUUGAAGAAAUACAAAACCAAGGACCAAAUUGGAAAAGGCACGUGAAUAUAAGGGUUGAAAUUGACCGAAUCAGGGACCAGAUUGAAGAAAUUGGAAGUUUGUUGAUCAAUUGAAGGUCAAAAUGCACAAAUUCAAAACCAAGGAUCAAAGUGAAAAAGGCAACCAACUUCAAGGCUGACAUUUGAAUUUGAAAAAGAUGCAAUUGAAUUAAUUCUUAAAAUCAAAAUCUAAAUCGAUGACUUAAUUGAACAAAUAAAAAAUUGAGGACUGAUUUGGAGAAAAGGACUUCUUAGGCGCCAUUUUUAUUUAAAUGAAAUGGCGUGUUUUGUACGAAAACGAUGCCAUUUCAAGUAUUCUUAUUCCAAAAAGAAAAAAAAAAGACAAAGCUCAAAAUGGUGUCAUUUUGGAUGGCACUGUACAUCUUCUACUUCCCCUAGACGUGCUGUAGGCAGGGGAAAAAGGUUUUUUUCCCAUCCUUUACAGCACCUUUCUCUCUCCCUCCCUCCCUCUCUCUCUCUCUCUCUCUUUCUCUCUUUUUCUCUCUCUCCCACUUGCCUAAAAACCCUAACACAACCCACACCCCCUCAUGGCCUACCACCAUGAUGAAAGGGGCAGAGGGAACAAGCCUUACAGGCGACUCUGGGGCGGCUACACAGUGGACGCCCUAGCGCUACACUACCCCUUCAGCAUGACUAGACAGGGGUAGGGCAGCUCCCCCCCCCCGCCCUUUAUAAAUACCAUCCUUACCAGGAGGUUGGGGGGCGAAAGAAAGAAAGAAAGAAAGAAAAAGGAAAAAGGAACGAAACAAAAAAGAAAAGGAAAGAAAGAAAAACAAUGGAAAACAAAGGAAAGAAAGGGAAGAAAAAGAAAAACAAAGAAAAAAAAGGAAAGAAAACAAAGGAACACUCUUUGGCCUCUACUCGGAGAAGAAAAGGAACCUCUUCUCCUCAUCUCUCUUGCUAGUUAGUAGCAGCAGCCACCAUUCCUCCUAGUCGCCACCGCAACAAUGCCACCGUCAACAUCAGCAACCAUGCUACCCUCACUCCAAGUAAUCUUCUUCCCCUCUAUGUAACAUCUUCUUACCUGUUUUCCUUCUUCAUUUCAUUUGCAUGCAGAAUAUGAGCAAUUCACAUUCUGCAUAGUAACUAAUUACUGUGCUAAGCACAGUAACCAUUUAAUGGUUUUUUGGGCUGGGUCUAGCCUUAUAAAAAAAAAAAGAAUAUGUUGGGUCGACAUCGGCCCAACUCUUUUGGGCUGACCUCGACCCAAUUUCUUUUGGUUUGUAUUUUUACACUAUAAAUAUACAAAAUUCGUUAUUAAAAUACUUGUUUUUUCUCCAAAAUGUUGCAAAACAAAUAUAUAGAAAAAUAACAAAAAAACAUUUCUUGUUCUCAUGCAUAUGACCAAGUCUAAAAAAUAUAAGAAAUUUCAUAUUGUAUUUUCAUACAAAAUAAAAUUCAAAAAAAUAUGUGUUAGCAUGCAUUCUAGGCUUUAAUAACCAGUUUAUUAAAGCAAUCAGAACUACGCCUAUAUUUCAAAAAUACUAAAAAAAUAUUUUGUUUUCUUUUAGUAUCUAGGAUUAUAAACUUAUACAUAAGACGUAUUAUGGAUAUUAAAUAAAAAGGUAGUUCUUUUUUUUAUAUGUAUUGACAUUAGAACGGUUAGGUUUUUACCUGAUAAUAUAAGGAUCUCCUUACUAAGGAAGACUUUUCCUAAACCUUAGACUGGCCAACAAUUAGAAAACACAACAAUAUGUUAGUUAUAUUAGAUAAUUAAACAAUGCAGAUUACCUUAGGUAAGACGCAUUAAAGGUGCUAAUACCUCAUGUGAAACUUCAGAAAUUUAUAAUUUAGAUAUGUAGAUGACUUGGUGGAAACUCUGUAAAACCCCAACAAAAGACUUCACCAUGAUGAAUUGAAUAAUGAGAAAUAAAAUAUAAAUGGUGGUAAAUUGUAAACCCCCAAUCAAAUUUCAUGAUAUUAAUAAAAUUAUUGAUAAUUCAGAACCAAAAAUGGGAUGAUCUAGUUAAAAUAAAAUAAAAUGGAAUAGUAUUGAAUUAUUAGAAAAGAAAUUUUAGAGAGAGAUUUUUUUUGCAUGGUAUUUUAAAAGCGAGCAGCGAAAAGGCAUUUGGUUGAACGAAAAGAUACCUAAACUUGAUAUAAGGGUGUUUUAGUAAAUAUAGAUAGAUUUGCUAUAUAAAUUGCAAAAUUAUGCAGAAAUUAACUAGGAGUGCCGAAUGAAAGGAAAAGAGAGAGAGAGAGAGAGAGUACCUUGAGAGCAGAAAUUCAAACGGCCAUAUCUCUGAAUUGCACUGUUACAUUGGUUUGGUUUUGGGAUAUAUUAUACUUCUCACUACCCUCUAACAUCUAACCAUUCGGAUCUGAAUGUUCUAGUUCGAUGUGAGAGAUAUAGCCCUCACAACAUUUCAAGGAAAAUCUGCUUGCAGGUCAGUCAUGGUCUCUAGCAGUUUCCACCCUUGUCCACCGUUGGAUCCUGCUCAAGUUUGGAUAUGUGGGUCAUAUUGAUGAGCUCUUCAUUAUGAACGGUGGAGAUCAGGAUUAUAGACUCCGAUAAGAAGUUAGUCAUCGAAGAACAAUAUGUUGUCAAUUUUCAGGUCCGUUUUGGUUUUGUCUUGAUCUAGAAAGAUCUAACCGUUACAAUGCUAUGAUGUUUUGGUACGUGUUUCAUGUUAUAAUGGUGGAAAGUGUGGUGGCUUAAUUUGUGUUUAACCAUCAAAAGCAUGCUAUUUAUGAUUUAAAUUGAAGAAAAUCCUUAGUGUCUUUCCUUAGGCAUGUUCAGCUAUAUUAUUGAUAGUAGGAAAAGGGAGAUAUUGGUUGUCCAAUCUAUGAAUUUGGACUUAACAGUUUUAUCACCCACCUUUCAGUUGUGGUUAGGGAGCCAAAAUGAUAAAAUUCCAGAUUGGGUUCUUCACAAAGGUUGUAGGUAUAGAUGUUAUCUUUUAAACAAAACUGACCUCGUAUAAUUUGGAGUUAUAAAACUCCAUAUAUGUGUCGCGGGUGCGCGGCGUCGCGGCGAAAAUUCCACUUUUUAGAAUCUAGGAAGUGUGUAUGGUAUCUAUCUGGUAAAUGUGGGGAGACAAGAAAAUAGUCUUUUGUUGGUAGGAAAAUGGAAUGGGAGUCGCCACCUAGUAUUUUGGUCACUAGGAACCCUAACUGGUCUCAAAGAUUGGGUACGGGGACUGGUUGCGUAAAGGGAAGGUAUUAGCACCCCAAAUACGCCCUACCUAAAGUAAGCUGCAUUGUUUAUUUGUCUGAUAAAAUUCAAGGUCUCGUUGUGUUUCCUAGUUGUUGGUCCGUCUAUGGUUCAAGAAAAGUCCUCCUCAAUAAGGAGGUCCUUAUCUUAAGGGGUAAAACCUAAUCCUUCUAACGUCUAUGUAUGUUGGUCCGUCUAUGGUUCAAGAAAAGUCCUCCUCAAUAAGGAGGUCCUUAUCUUAUCGGGUAAAACCUAACCGUUCUAAUGUCUAUGUAAAAAAACCCAUAUUUUUAAUAUCAGGAAUACGUUUUACGUAUAAAUUCAUAAUCCCAAAUACUAAAAGAAGACAAAAAGAUUUUUUAAGAAUUUUUGAAAUAUUGGCCUAGUUCUCAUGGCUUGAAUAAACUGGUUAUUAAAGCCAAAAUGCAUGCUAAUACAUAUAUUGUUUUGAAAUUUCCUUUUGUUGUGUGAAAAUAUGAUGUUAGAAUAUUUAUAUAUAUAUAUUGGAGAGACUAGGCCGUAUGCAUGAAAACAAAACAUUUUUUUUUGUAAUUAUGUAUUUUUUGAUGUUUUGACGAAAAUCGGGUAUUUUAAUACCGGAUUUGUAUCUUUACCGUAUAAAAAUACAAACCGACAUUGAUCAAAAUACAGUAAUAAAAUUACAACAAAAUCGCAUAUUUUUUAAAUGAUUUUUGAAGAACCCUUUUUUAUUUUUUUAUUUUUUUUUUUUUAAAACAUGUAUACAUAUAUAAAUAAUACAAAACAAUAUAAUAUAUAAAUAUAUAAUAUUAAAUGGGUUGGGCUGGUCCGGCCCAACCAACUGGGCCGGACUCAGCCCAAAAAAUGUUGGGCCGAUUUCGGCCCAAAAUGGAUUGGGCCGAUCUCGGCCCAAAAAACUGAUAUUCUUCUCUGGGCCAGACCCGGCCCCGAAGACAGGGCCGGGCCAGGAUCUGCCUGGACCGGACCAAACGGGCGGGGGGAAUUAAUUCCCCCCCCACCCCUGCAUGCAGAACGCUACUCGUUCUGCAUGCAGAGAAGGAAAAAAAAUAAACACCAGAACAAGGGGGGAGGAAGAAUUACCUGGCGCGGAGGAGGCGAUGGCUUGCUGAUUGGAAUGCUUCGCUGGUGGUGCUGUGGUGGAGGCCGGUGGCGGUGUCAUGGCUCACGGACGGCGGCUCCAAGCGGCGGUGCUGCUAUUUCAAACGGUGGAGGGUGAGGUUACUGCUCUUCCCUUCUCCUCCGUAUGCCUUCCUCUUCUUUCGUUUUCGGUGGUUUCCUUUUAUCCUCCCGGUUUGUUGUCAAGUUUCCUACCCCGUUUCAAGCUUUUCCUUCCUCUCCGUUUGAGUUUAUCAGUGGUUCCCUUUUUAUUCGGUUCUGUUCUCUGUUUCUCUCUAUUUCCUCUUCUUUCGGUCCUCUCCCCUUUCUCCUCCCUUUCUUCUGUGUUCUUGGGUCUAUUUAUAGAGCCAAGAGGCGGGGCUUUUUAUGGCUGCACAUGGGGGGCAGGGGCUGCGGCGGUUGGUCGGCCAUUCGGGUGCAGCUGUCGAGACGUUACUCCCCUGUUUUCUGCAUGGCGCGCGGCGGGUGGUCGGCCAGCGGGCGUGGCUGGCGAGGUGCGGCUCCCUCGGUUUCCUGGCAAGGCAUGUGGUCAAGAGAGAGGCAGCACCGGUUUAAAGAAGAAAAACCAUUUUUCUUCCUUCUUCUGCAUCGCGUCCAGUGAGGAAGAAGAAAGGGGAACAGUGUCGUUCAAAACGACACCGUUCCGAUCUUCUUCUUCUUCUUUUUUUUUUUUUUUUUUGGCAUGAAACGGCGUCGUUUUAGGCAAAACGCGCCGUUUCAUUUAAGUCCAGCAAGACGCCAAAACGCGUCAAUUUGCAAAGCAGCCCUCAAUUAUCUUCUUUCCUUCAAUUGCAUCCCUGCCAAUUUCGGUCUCCGCCCCUAUAGUUGGCCGCGUUUUUCACUUUGGUCCUUGGCCUCUGAUUUAUGCAAUUGAGCCCUCAAUUGAUUAAUAAACUUUCAAUUUCUUCAAUUAGGCCCCUGAACCGAAUAAUUGCAGCCCCUCCAUUUACGCGCCUCUUCCAAUUUGGUCCCUGAUUUCGGAUUUUCUCAAUUAAGUCCCCAAUUGGCCCUUAAACUUCAAUAUUUAUGCAAUUAAGCCCCUGAUUUGACCUAAUAAAUUCCUAAAAAAUAUAUUUUGGCCCCAGAACUUAAAUUUCUUCUAAUUAAAACCCAAAUUGACUUAAAAAUCAAUUUUUCUUACAAUCAAAUCCCCUAUAAAUUCAUUUAAAAAUCCAAUUAAGUCCAUAAACAUCCAAAUUUGGGCUUUUCUCCUCAAAUUUCAAAAUUCCCCUCUCAAUAGGGCUCUCAUCCUUCAAGAAUAUACUGUCCUAACUCCAAUCUUUGUAUUUUUAACCUCAUUGACCAAUUUUCCAACCAUUUUCUGAGCACUCCCACCUCUUAUUAUUUUUUCUAAUUUCUUCCGGCUAUAUAUUUAUAUUUUUAUGGGGGGAACCCAAAAAUGGGUUACAACAGAUGCCCCCUCUUUAUAAUGCUUACGGAGCAGAGGUCUUGCGCAGUAAGUUUUAUAAAGAUAAACCCCAAAACGGAACUCCCGAAACUGAUCUGGUUGAAGCUUGAUUAAUCUGAAACUUGUCUUUUACAGCAAUCCUCCUCAACUUGGAAUCCCAUCUGGCGAUCUCCUUUAGUCAAUUUGGAAUCCCAUCUGGCGAUUCCUUUUUUAAUCAACAUGAAAAACGAGGUCCCAUCUGGCGACCUUCAAAUAGCGAAACAUGAGAUCCCUUCUGGCGAUCUCCUUUAAUCAAACUUGGAAUCCCAUCUGGCAAUUCCUUUUAUUCAAACGAAAUAUGAGGUCCCAUCUGGCGACCUCCAAAUAGCGAAAUACGAGAUCCCUUCUGGCGAUCUCCUUCAACUUGGAAUCCCAUCUGGCGAUUCCUUUUAUUCAACAGGUAAUACGAGGUCCCAUCUGGCGACCUCCAAAUAGCGAAACACGAGAUCCCUUCUGGCGAUCUCCUUUAUUCAACUUGGAAUCCCAUCUGGCGAUUCCUUUUAACCAACAUGUAAUACGAGGUCCCAUCUGGCGACCUUCAAAUAGCGAAACACGAGAUCCCUUCUGGCGAUCUCCUUUAAUCAACUUGGAAUCCCAUCUGGCGAUUCCUUCUAACCAACAUGUAAUACGAGGUCCCAUCUGGCGACCUUUAAAUAGCGAAACAUGAGAUCCCUUCUGGCGAUCUCCUUUAAUCAACUUGGAAUCCCAUCUGGCGAUUCCUUUCAACAUGAAAUAUGAGGUCCCAUCUGGCGACCUUCUAAUAGCGAAACACGAGAUCCCUUCUGGCGAUCUCCUUUAAUCAACUUGGAAUCCCAUCUGGCGAUUCCUUUCAACAUGAAAUGAGGUCCCAUCUGGCGACCUUCUAAUAGCGAAACACGAGAUCCCUUCUGGCGAUCUCCUUUAAUCAAUUUGGAAUCCCAUCUGGCGAUUCCUUAUUACCAAAGCUGAUAUCGAUGUCGUUCUUCCUGAUGGCAGGGUUCAAAACUUUUCAUUCUCUCUUUUUCUUGUUAUUCUCGUUGUUCCAGAAUCCACUAUGGUUCAAAACCGUGAUUCUUUGCUAUCAUCCUCUAUGAUUCUUUCUUCGUCUCCAAUCUUGUUGGAAAGCAUCAAGGUCUCCUCCUGUAACGAUCCAAAAAACAUAUAUGCAAUGCUUUAUGAUUAGAUGUCAUGCAUGCAUUCAUACCUGGUUUUGAAACAUAGGCCCCAUCACCUUCUUCGAGUUCAUGAGCCUCCUUCUUAACCUGAGCUUGCUUUUGAAGUCGCAUGCUGGAUUCAUCUCUCGUGUUGCCUCCUAUCAUAUUUUGGAGAAGAAAUCUCUGACUUUCUUUAAGUAGUCCUUUUCCCAAAAUGUAUGAUUUGUCAUUGCCUCUUUGUCAUGCUUUUGUCAAAUGCUUUAGCUUGGUUUUCAAAUCUAUAGGCUUCCGUACAUUUUAAACACGUAAAACUUUUCAUGAAAACAUCUCUUAUUGCCCCCAGUGUAGGGGUGUGAUUUUAGCCUAGGCUUUUGUAUAGAGAAGGAAUUCGUUCAGCCGAUGCUAAACUUUUUUAGGUGCGAUAACAACAAAACAUGCGCUAUUGGGAUUAAUGCAAAAAAAUGAUUGUUGUGAGAUCAAUGCAAAAAAAAAAAAAAAGUCAAUGGCCAAACUUUGCUUUAUUGAUUUAGGAGCGUACAUCAAACAUAAUAUCUUUUUACAGAGUCAGAAUUCACAGGUCGAGCUAGGUCUUCUCCAUCCAUUCUAGCCAACUUCAGCGCUCCUCCUGAGAAUGCCUUCUUUACUACGUAAGGACCCUCGUAAUUCGGUGCCCAUUUGCUUUGAUCGUCUCCAGGUAACGGCAAUAUUUUCUUCAAUACUAGAUCCCCUUCUUGAAACAACCGCGGUCUAACCUUCUUAUCAUAUGCCUUGGCCAUUCGUUUCUGGUAAAGUUGGUGAUGACAUAUUGCGGCCAUCCUUUUUUCACUGAUCAGGUUUAGUUGCUCAUAUCUCACUUUGGCCCACUCAACCUCUUCUAGCUCGGAAUCCAUUAAUACUCUUAACGAUGGGAUUUCUACUUCCAAAGGCAUCACUGCUUCCAUACCGUAUACCAAAGAAUAUGGGGUAGUCCCUGUCGAGGUCCUGACUGUAGUGCGGUAUGCGUGAAGUGCGAAUGACAACAUCUCAUGCCAAUCUCUAUAUGUGACUACCAUUUUCUGAAUAAUCUUCUUGAUGUUCUUGUUGGCGGCUUCUACUGCGCCAUUCAUCUUUGGUCGGUAUGGUGAAGAAUUCGAAUGCUUGAUUUUCCAUUUAGUACACAGCUCCGCUAUCAUUUUGCCAUUGAAAUUCUGUGCAUUAUCUGUCACUAUCUUUUCAGGAGGACCAUAUCGACAAAUCAAGUUCUUCUCUAUAAACCUCUUCACUACGUUCUGUGUUACGUGGGCAUAUGAACUAGCUUCUACCCAUUUUGUGAAGUAGUCAAUAGCUACGAGGAUGAAUCUAUGACCAUUGCUAGCUUUUGGGUUAACAGGCCCGAUCACGUCAAUUCCCCACAUUGCAAACGGCCAAGGGGAUAUUAGAUUAAAUAGAGGAGCUGGUGGCAUAUUGACCUUGUCACUGUAAACUUGACAUUUAUGACAUUUCCUGACAUAAUCGAUACAGUCUUUCUCUAGUGUCAUCCAAAAAUAACCAGCCCUUUGGAUUUUCCUCGCUAUCAUAUGCCCGCUAGCAUGGGUUGAGCAAAUCCCCUCAUGGACCUCCCGUAAUGCCUUUCUAGCAUCUGCCUCAUUCAAACACCUUAGUAGGGUCCCAUCAAAUGAUCUUUUGUACAAAAUCUCUCCAUCUAAAUAGAAGUCUAUAGCCAACCUUCUCAAAGUUUUCUUAUCCAUUUUGGAAGCUCCCACCGGAUAUUCGUGAUUUUGCACAAGGUUCUUGAUAUCAUAAUACCAAGGAUGUCCGUCUAUCUCUCCUUCAACUAAGCAACAAUAAGCUGGGUCAUUUCUAAUGUCAAUGUGUACCGGUUGUACCUUGCACUUGAGAUCAAUGGUAGUCAUAGCAGCUAACGUGGCCAAAGCAUCCGCAAAAUGGUUCCCCUCCCUUCCCAGAUGGGUGAAUCUAAUUCCUUCAAAUUCCUUUGCUAGCGUGGAUAGGUAUUCCUGGUACGGCCUCAACUUGUCCUCCUUGGUCUGCCAUUCCCCUUUAACCUGACAAAUAAUCAACAUUGAAUCUCUAUAUACAUCUAACUUCUUUAUCUUCAACUCUAAUGCCGCUUCUAAACCGAGGAUACAAGCUUCAUACUCAGCUGUGUUGUUGGUGCACUCGAAAUGUAGUUUAACCGAAACUGGAUAUUGUUUCUUAUUAGGAGAGAUUAUUACCGCACCGGCCCCGUUACCAUAUACAUUCACUGCACCAUCAAAAAACAUCGUCCACCAAUCUGUCUUCUCUUAUUCUUUCUCUAUUGACAAUAUAUCUUCAUCAGGGAAGUCAAAAUCCAAAGGUUCAUAAUCUUCAACAGCAUUAUCGGCCAGAUGGUCUGCAAUUGCACUUCCUUUUACGGCUUUCCUUGUCAUGUAUACUAUGUCAUAUUCUGCUAAUAGAACUUGCCACCUUGUAAUUCGACUUGAGAGAAAGGGCUUGUUACAAAUAUACCUCAGAGGAUCCACUUUUGAAAUUAACCAAGUGGUAUAGUAUAACAUAUAAUGUCGCAACCUCUUUGCAGCCCACACCAACGCACAACAAAGCCUUUCUAUCUCCGUGUAUCUAGACUCACAUUCAGUGAAUUUCUUACUUAAGUAAUAAAUAGCUCUUUCCUUCCUUCCGGUUUCAUCAUGCUGACCCAAUACACAUCCCAUGGCCGCUUCAGUCACUGUUAGAUACAAUACUAAAGGUUUUCCUGAUACCGGAGGCACCAGUAAAGGUGGAUUUUGUAAAUAAUGCUUGAUUUUAUUGAAUGCCUCCUCACACUCCUCAUUCAAGGUUCCAGGAUUCUUUUUCCUUAGUAGUCGGAAUAUUGGUUCACACGUCGUUGUUAACUGAGCUAUGAACCUAGCAAUGUAGUUUAAUCUUCCCAAGAAUCCUCUUACUUCUUUCUCCGUCUUAGGGGAUGACAUAGCUUGGAUGGCCUUCACUUUAUCUGGAUCCACCUCUAUACCUCUAUCACUUACCACAAAUCCUAACAGCUUACCCGAUUUAACUCCGAAUGAACAUUUUACAGGAUUGAGCCUUAAUUCAUACUUCCUCAGUCUCUCAAAUAACUUCCUCAAAACUUCAACAUGAUCCUCUUCCGGUCUGCAAUUGCACUUCCUUUUACGGCUUUCCUUGUCAUGUAUACUAUGUCAUAUUCUGCUAAUAGAACUUGCCAUUGCUCUUUGAUAGGUUGCUCCUGCAUUCUUCAAUCCAAAUGGCAUGACCUUAUAGCAGAAUGUUCCCCAAGGUGUGACAAAAGUUGUUUUCGUCUUAUCCUCCGGAGCCAUUUUUAUCUGGUUGUAUCCUGAAAAACCAUCCAUAAAGGAAUAUGUGGAACUCCGGGCAGCGUUGUCUACUAAAACAUCUAUGUGUGGUAGCGGAAAAUCAUCCUUGGGGCUAGCUUUAUUCAAAUUCCGAAAAUCCACGCACACUCUAAUCUUCCCCUCCUUCUUAGGCACCACAACAAUGUUAGAUACCCAUUGCGGAUAUCUAACUACUUCUAGAAAACCAGCAUCCCAUUGCUUCUCGAGUUCUGCCUUGACCUUGAUCCAGACAUCCGGGUGGGCCCUCCUCAGCUUCUGCUUGACUGGCUUACAACCUUCUUCCAACGGUAUCUUGUGUACUACAAUAUUUGUAUCCAAACCAGGCAUAUCUUCAUAGGACCAAGCAAAGACAUCUGAAUAUUCUUGUAAUAGGGUGAUCAUUUUGAUCCUUUGUUCAGAAGUAAUUAGGGUACCUAUUUUUAACUCUUUCUUAAGCUGAUCACUGCCCACAUUGAUGGUUUCGAGUUCCUCGACGAUAGGCUUCCAAGUCUGUUCCUGUUGUUCUACUAGCCUAGUGAAUUCACUGAUAUUGCUUUCAUCCCACUCUUCUUCUUCCAUAGCUAUCACAUGCUCGUUCAAGUUUGGCCAUUUAUUCUUGAUGCUAAAUGUAUGUGAUGUUGUGGGAGAUCCGCUUUCAGGAUUCCUGAAAGCGGGAAGUGUUUGGUGUAAAUGCAUAAAAAAAAGAAGGCAAUUUGUGAAAAGUGCAUGAUCUCACAAUUUAUUUAAAGAAAAGGUGGGCUCCAUGACAAACAUAAAAUCUAGCUGACAUCAUGAGCCUUGAUUGUCAACUAGAGGAAAUAAAAGCAAACAUAAGCAAUGACAAAAGCAUGUUAAGACAAACAAAAUUGGUUUACAUUUUGAAAACCACUGGAGCUUCUUGGGUCACCCAGUUCUGAAACUUCUCGUCUUGAGCUAACUUGCGCACAAAGGUCUUGGCGGAUACUUCUUCUAUGGUGUAGACCGUCAGUUGUGGGAGUGCUUCAUCUCCCUUUCUUGCUACUGUCUUCAUGUCAUCUCCUUCCACCUUGUUUUCCCCCAAGGUAUUUAUGCUCAUGUUUGACAGCUCUUGAUCAAGGCUUUCGGCUUCUUUAUCAUGUUACAUUAUGUAUGCAGCUUUUGGGAAUGACACGCUAAGGGGAGGGAUUUCCAGCUUUUCUUCAUCAGGCUCUCUUCCUUUAAUUCUAGCCAUCCUUCUUGCCCUUCUCCGACCAGCAGCCCACCGAUAAUCCUCUUGGUUAGGUUGGUACCCUAGCCCAAAUCUUUGAGCAGCACUUUUCAUCUUUGCCAGAUUAACCCCUUCUGGUAUCCUAAUAAUAAGGUUAUACUGAAAUGGGAUUCCGCGGUUCAAGAAGCAUAGACUUGCCAUCCUUGCUGCUUCUGAGAUCCUUGGCCUUCUUAGCACUGUGUUCUCCGACACCCAGUCGGUGUUCACAAUCUCAAAGGCAUGGAUAUUGUUACCCUUGCAAUCAUCCGCUUCGAUAAAAGGCACAGCUACAUUCUUUAUCAUGGAUACUGUGUCCUCGGCCUUGACAGUUACCAACAUCCCAUUCAUGAUAUACUUUAGGCAUUGGUGCAAUGACGAAGCUACUACCCCCGCUGCAUGAAUCCAAGGUCUUCCUAACAACAUACUAUAAGAAGGGUGGAUAUCCAUAACCUGAAGUGUUACUAGGAACAUUUGUGGUCCCACAUAUAGCUCCACUUCUAAAGUCCCAAUUAUUGGCCUAGGCGACCCAUCAUACGCUCUGGCCAUCAUAGUACUUGGCUUAACAUGGGAUUCAUCGAUCGGCAUUUCUUCUAGCAUGUGCUUUGGCAACACGUUAAGGGCCGAGCCAUUAUCAAUGAGUACUUUUCCUAUGAGGCAGUCCUUGCACCUAACCGUAAUGUAUAAAGGCUUGUUAUGUCCGGUACCUUCAGCAUCGAGCUCGUCAGCUGUGAAGUACAGGUAAUUCGUUGCAUGGAUCCUCCCCACUAGAUGCUCCAUGGUUUUGUGUUCGAUGUCUUGGGGUACAUAUGCCUCAUUCAAUACCUUUUGCAAGGCGUUUCGAUGCGGCUCAGAGCUGAGUAUCAAGGACAUAAGGGAGAUCCUAGCUGGAGUCUUCUUUAGUUGAUCCACUAUGCAAUAUUCGCUAUGCUUGAUCAACUUCAAGAAUUCAUUCGAUUCCUCUUCCGUUACUGGCUUGUUAACUUCUAGUGCUUUGUCCAGAUCUACCACUUCUUUGCCCUUUGACUUCCUCAACUCCUCGGGCGUAAAGCAACGACCACUCCUGGUCAAACCCCUUAUCUCAGGCUGGAACAAAGGAAGAGGAGCUCGGACGUUAGAGGCAUAACCAUAAUUAUAAGGCAUGGCAUUGUGAUUCCCUUUUGUGUAGGGCGGUUUAACCAAGAUUAGCCUUGGGGGCCCAUGAGCUGUUGGCUGGAUCCUGCAUACUCCUGUCAUUUCAUCUUGACCUUCCAUCAUACUCACCUCACCGCUGUUCUUCAUGGGUUCAAUCCUCAACUCCCCCAUUUUUAGCAUUUUUGCAAUCUUUUCGCAAAACUCGAUGCAAUCCUCAAUAUGAUGUCCAUCUCUUCCAUGGUAUUCACAAUAAUCAUAUCCCUCCGAAUGGCUCUCCACCUUUGUCUUUAGAAAUCCUGAUUGUACCAACAUGCCGUACAACCUCUUCAUGGACACCUUCGACACCUUGCAUUGAUUUCCCACUUCGAUCAUGCCUAUUCCACUACUAUUUGGGGCAUGCUUAGGCAAUGGGUUUGAAUUAACAUUGGGCUUGUCCUCAAAGGAUACCCAUCCCAUCUUAAUAAGCUCCAACAACCUCUUCUUGAAGGCGUAACAGGUUUCAAUCCCAUGCCCGGGAUUACCCCCAUGGUACUCGCAAGCCAACUCGGGCUUGUACCAAAUUGGGAAUGGUGGUUGUAGUGGUAGUGUAGGUAUAGGAGCUAUUUGUCCAAUGCUCAGAAGUUUGGCGUACAUGUCCUUCAAAGGCAUGGGUAAGGGUGGCAGUUGUUCUGAAGUGUAUUUUAUAUGGGGUCUUUGGUAGUGAUUUUGGUAGUUCGAUUGGUUAUUUGUUCGAUUAGGGGAAAAAGGUUGGUUAAAGUUUAUGCGUGAGAAUUGAGAGGUAGGUACUUGAGGAUUAUGAAAAUCUACUCUCUUGCCCUUAUACCCACCUUCCAGAUUGUUAACAUCGCCUUCUCUCUUUCUUCCAAUAAAACCCUUCUUCUCCACUGGCAUCGCUAUUCGCCCAGCUUUAAUCCCUUGUUCUAUCCUUUCAGCUAUGCGUACCGCAUCAUAGAAGUGUUGAGAGGAGCUACCCAUUAGGUGCUCAUAAUAAGGUGCUUUGAAGGUAUUGGCAAACAAGCUCACCAUCUCUGUUUCUAUCAAAGGGGGUUGGACAUGCAUUGCUUCAUCCCUCCAUCUUUGCGCAUAAGCCCUUACUGACUCCUGGCUCCUUUUCUCCAUUGUCAUUAGACUUGUUCGAUCAGGAGCGAUUUCCAUGUUAAACUUGUACUGUUUGAGGAAAGCCUCCACCAAGUCUCUCCAGCUCUUGAUCCUGAUGCUGUCUAACCUCAUAUACCAGCUUAAAGCGGAUCCUGCUAGGCUAUCUUGAAAGAAAUAGAUUAGCAAUUUAUCAUCACGGAUUACUUCCGCCAUUUUGUUGCAGUAGGAUCGAAGGUGAGUGUUUGGGCAUUCCAAACCGGUAUACUUAACGAACUCUGGUAUUCGAAAAUCUUUUGGUACCACGAUGUUUGGUACCAAACAUACUUCGGCUGCUCUCAUAGGGUCAAACCAAUCAUUACCCUCAACUGCCCUUAAUCUUUCUUCUAGUGCAAAUAGCUUGUCUUGGUCCAUCACACUGGGAGACCUAUUAUCCGGGACUCCCUCCGUUGUUAAGUCCACAGUGAUUGGAGCGUGAGUUGGCUGGAUAGGGGUGAUAGGCACGAAAUGUUGUUCAUUGGCCGAGUUUGCCCCCUGGUUUUGGGAUACUUGAGGGACGUACGCUGCUGGCGCUCCUUCAGGUUGUUGUGCUGAUGUUCCCUCCCCAUUCUUAGCUCUUAGAAGCUGCUCAAGUAAAUCAGUUAACCGAGAAACUUCAUUUUUUACGGACUCCAACUCGGUCUGAUAAUGUGACUCUAAGUGAGCUCUCUCUUCGUUCUCCAUUCUUGCUCUAGACCGGGUGUUGUGGACCUUGGAAGUGGGACCUAUGUUUCACGAUCUGGCGCAUAUGAUAAAUUAAACAAAUGCGUGAUGAAAAUAUGAUGCUCGUGCAAAUGUAUAUUUUAAAAUUGAUUCAUGACUUUCGUAAUCCUUUAGGCAAGAUUUCUGAGUUGACCCGAUUGCUGUAAAGGGGGUUUGCCAAGUUCUUUAUCAUAGUAGCUUACCAAAACACACUUAGAAAGAAAGAUAGGUCAUAGCCUUCUUAUAAAUAGAAGUUGCUCAUACAGUGAUAACAGAACAAGGGCGUUAUACAUUGCUAUCCUUAAAAGGCAUUUCCUCUAUUAGCUAAGUCCCCAAUAAAACAGGUGAUGGCCGCCAUAUAUUCUCGAUACUUUGAAGCAUCAUUUCCAACUUGAGUAGCUUGUCGUUGCAACCUUUCCGCAUAACGGGCUGCUUGCUCGACCUGCUUCGUUAUAUGCCUUAUCUUAUCAUGGAACACAGUGUUAUCUGCAAUUAUCACUUCGUUGCUGGCUCCUAGGGCUUCAUUACUUCUUUCUAACACUCGAACCAUAUCAUCCGACCGGGCCAACUUAUCCCUUACCCUCUGCAGUUCUUCCUUUUCGAUAUCCAGCUCGGCUAUUUUGGAGUUAAUUUGGACUGUAAAGCUGUCCAUGUAACCCUGACAUUCUUGACGCUCUUGCUUAGCCUUACUGAGCUCCUCUUCCAUCUCAAAGUAAUGGCUUCUCAACUCCCUCAACUCUUCUACUUGUAUCUCGAUCUCAGAUUGUAAAGCCAUCAUUCUUCCUUUCGAAGACUCAGCUCUUUUCUGGUAAUCUCUCAUAUCAGACUCGGCGGCCUUUCUUGCACUUCUCUCUUCCUCAAGCUGCACCAUAUAUUGAGCUCUAAUCCUUCUUUCCUCUUCUAUGUCGAGCUGGGCUAGCUGAUUCUUCUCCUUUUCAACUUCUAUUUUCUUUGAAAGAAUGCUCUUUCCCUUCUUCAAGGAAUCCAUCACCUCUUUGUCAACAUUCAUCUUGCCUUUUGUUGAUCUUUUAACCCUUGCCAACUCUUUUUCUGCGAGCCCAUUCUUCUUAACCAGCUCAUCAUAUUCGGUCAUUCGUUUCUUUAGCUCAGCCUGGACCCCUUUUGCUAUUUCUUCCGCUACCUCGGCCCUUUUCUGCCAUUCUUUCAAUGAUGUUAAUUGCUUAUCCUGUUUUUCCAACUGCUGGUUCAAGAAAACCCUCAUCGUGUUUUCUUCCUCUAACUGACUUUCUAAUAACUGUUGUUGCCCUUUACUUUUACUGAGAUCGAUUACACAUCGUUCUAGCUGCUUUCUUAACUCCUCCUCAUUAUCAGUCCUUUUCCUUUUUUGUUGCUCUAUUGUGGAUUCUGGAUGUUUUGGUAUUGAGAAAACCUUCACUUCAGAAAGCUCUUCAUUCCUCCAAACUGCAUAAUUCUGGCUAAAUGAUGUUUCAAACGUGCUCCCUUCUUCCCUUUUUAUCAACAGGGGUCUUUCCCAAUCUUGUCGGAUAAGCUCCAUCUCUUCGAGGAAGGGUUGGUGCUUGAAUAGACCGACGAAAUCAGCUAAACCCAGAGUUCUUGGUACGUACUGCAUUCCCCCUAACUGCCUUGUUACCAAGGCGGGCGCGUAACUGAUGUACCCGGUUACACCAAUCAAAGGAACCCAUAUCCUGCUUCCGCAACUCAUUGUGCAGAUGGCGUUGUUCAUCCAUGGUGCUUUCCAUUUAUCUAUCCAUGCUUUCUCAUCCCAAUUCUUCCAAGUCUCAUCCAUGGUAACCUUUAACGGUCGCAGGUCAAACCACCAAAAGUUGUUAAAAAUGUCCCUUGGUGUUUCGAUAUGACUGAUAAUCCAUAAAUACAACAUAGGGGCGCAACACCUCAUGGCUCCUUUUCCAUGCAUUCUGCAGUGGUUGAGUGAUAACAUGGUUUCUCCCAAAAUGGCUGAUGAGGGAUUGAUCCGGUCACGUUCGUAUUCUAUGAAGACACUUGCUGCUUCCAAACUGAUGACUCCGAUUUCGGAAGGGAACAAUACUAGCCCAAAAAUGGCGAAGGCCACCAACCUGUAUCGUUCUUCUCCUAACUUGCCUUCUUCAGCAUUUUUCUUCAUUCGGGCUUCUAUGACCUUCCAUUUGAAACCCCCCUCGGCGACUCUACAUUGACUGAUCUUUCCCAAGCCUAAUAAACUGACUACCUCCGAAGCUGUGUCUUCAAAUCUUCGCCUUAGAUAGAUCCUGUGGCUGUUGUUUGGAAAAUCUAGAAUCCUUUCAUAUUCCUCCAAAGUCGGUGUCAUAUCAAUGUUCCCAAAGGUAAAACUCCGAUAACUAGGAUCCCAAAAAUUCAGUAGGGCUUUGAUUGCUGUUGCUUGUACGGGUAACCUCAUUAGUUGUGCAAUUCUCCCAUAUCGCCUUUCAAAAAUAGUCUCAUCAAUGUAUUCCAUAAUAGACACUAACUUCCCCAAGUCAUUUACCAUGUGAUUUAUCUUAGUAAUGCAAGGCAACCUACUAGCAUCGAUUCUUGGGCAUUUUCCUUCAGCUACUUGAGUCAACUCAGAUUCUUGCCCAAACUCUUGGAAAGAUAGGUACUUAGUCAUGAUUUGGUUCAAAACCUGGAUUGAUGAAUUUAGCAUUAUUAAUCAUGAUGCAAAUGAACGUAAGAUAGAUAUCUUAAGGACAAGUUCUAUUUAAUAGGUGAGAAUGGGUAGGUUUUCUAUCUGGUCUUUAAAAGGGUCUCAUAUCUGCCCAGUGACGUUCUUCGUAAAGACAGUAUGGGGGCGUUGCAAGGAACAGUUAAGGUAAGUAUACCCACCAUUACCAAGCAGGCACUCAGAUAUGAGUUGGGUGUUUCACGCAUCUGAACCCUGACCGAUAGUCAUAGGGCAAAUCGCUAAUCCCCCACCUAACUUAAAGCUUUGUGUGUGCUUCUCAAAAAGUAUGUGAUGCAUGUGACAGUUUUAUAAGAUGCAUGAGACAGUUGUAUACAAAUGCAUGAACAAAAUGUGUAAAAAUAUUUAAAGCAUAUAAGCAGAUAACAAAAGGAAAGGUAUAUUAAAAAACACACGAAAACAAAAACAAUUCAGACAAAAACAAAGCUUAGUCCACAAGAAUCCCCAGUGGAGUCGCCAUUCUGUCGCGGGUGCGCGGUGUCGCGGCGAAAAUUCCACUUUUUAGAAUCUAGGAAGUGUGUAUGGUAUCUAUCUGGUAAAUGUGGGGAGACAAGAAAAUAGUCUUUUGUUGGUAGGAAAAUGGAAUGGGAGUCGCCACCUAGUAUUUUGGUCACUAGGAACCCUAACUGGUCUCAAAGAUUGGGUACGGGGACUGGUUGCGUAAAGGGAAGGUAUUAGCACCCCAAAUACGCCCUACCUAAAGUAAGCUGCAUUGUUUAUUUGUCUGAUAAAAUUCAAGGUCUCGUUGUGUUUCCUAGUUGUUGGUCCGUCUAUGGUUCAAGAAAAGUCCUCCUCAAUAAGGAGGUCCUUAUCUUAAGGGGUAAAACCUAAUCCUUCUAACGUCUAUGUAUGUUGGUCCGUCUAUGGUUCAAGAAAAGUCCUCCUCAAUAAGGAGGUCCUUAUCUUAUCGGGUAAAACCUAACCGUUCUAAUGUCUAUGUAAAAAAACCCAUAUUUUUAAUAUCAGGAAUACGUUUUACGUAUAAAUUCGUAAUCCCAAAUACUAAAAGAAGACAAAAAGAUUUUUUAAGAAUUUUUGAAAUAUUGGCCUAGUUCUCAUGGCUUGAAUAAACUGGUUAUUAAAGCCAAAAUGCAUGCUAAUACAUAUAUUGUUUUGAAAUUUCCUUUUGUUGUGUGAAAAUAUGAUGUUAGAAUAUUUAUAUAUAUAUAUUGGAGAGACUAGGCCGUAUGCAUGAAAACAAAACAUUUUUUUUUGUAAUUAUGUAUUUUUUGAUGUUUUGACGAAAAUCGGGUAUUUUAAUACCGGAUUUGUAUCUUUACCGUAUAAAAAUACAAACCGACAUUGAUCAAAAUACAGUAAUAAAAUUACAACAAAAUCGCAUAUUUUUUAAAUGAUUUUUGAAGAACCCUUUUUUAUUUUUUUGUUUUUUUUUUUUUUAAAACAUGUAUACAUAUAUAAAUAAUACAAAACAAUAUAAUAUAUAAAUAUAUAAUAUUAAAUGGGUUGGGCUGGUCCGGCCCAACCAACUGGGCCGGACUCAGCCCAAAAAAUGUUGGGCCGAUUUCGGCCCAAAAUGGAUUGGGCCGAUCUCGGCCCAAAAAACUGAUAUUCUUCUCUGGGCCAGAACAAGCAGAUAACAAAAGGAAAGGUAUAUUAAAAAACACACGAAAACAAAAACAAUUCAGACAGGGCCGGGCCAGGAUCUGCCUGCAUGCAGAACGCUACUCGUUCUGCAUGCAGAGAAGGAAAAAAAAUAAACACCAGAACAAGGGGGGAGGAAGAAUUACCUGGCGCGGAGGAGGCGAUGGCUUGCUGAUUGGAAUGCUUCGCUGGUGGUGCUGUGGUGGAGGCCGGUGGCGGUGUCGUGGCUCACGGACGGCGGCUCCAAGCGGCGGUGCUGCUAUUUCAAACGGUGGAGGGUGAGGUUACUGCUCUUCCCUUCUCCUCCGUAUGCCUUCCUCUUCUUUCGUUUUCGGUGGUUUCCUUUUAUCCUCCCGGUUUGUUGUCAAGUUUCCUACCCCGUUUCAAGCUUUUCCUUCCUCUCCGUUUGAGUUUAUCAGUGGUUCCCUUUUUAUUCGGUUCUGUUCUCUGUUUCUCUCUAUUUCCUCUUCUUUCGGUCCUCUCCCCUUUCUCCUCCCUUUCUUCUGUGUUCUUGGGUCUAUUUAUAGAGCCAAGAGGCGGGGCUUUUUAUGGCUGCACAUGGGGGGCAGGGGCUGCGGCGGUUGGUCGGCCAUUCGGGUGCAGCUGUCGAGACGUUACUCCCCUGUUUUCUGCAUGGCGCGCGGCGGGUGGUCGGCCAGCGGGCGUGGCUGGCGAGGUGCGGCUCCCUCGGUUUCCUGGCAAGGCAUGCGGUCAAGAGAGAGGCAGCACACGUGAAGAAGAAAAACCCACCAUUUUGCUUUCUUCCCCUGCUGCACGUCCAUGGGAGGAAGAAAGAGGAACAGUGUCGUUCAAAACGACACCGUUCCGAUCUUCUUCUUCUUCUUUUUUUUUUUUUUGGCAUGAAACGGCGUCGUUUUAGGCAAAACGCGCCGUUUCAUUUAAGUCCAGCAAGACGCCAAAACGCGUCAAUUUGCAAAGCAGCCCUCAAUUAUCUUCUUUCCUUCAAUUGCAUCCCUGCCAAUUUCGGUCUUCGCCCCUAUAGUUGGCCGCGUUUUUCACAUUGGUCCUUGGCCUCUGAUUUAUGCAAUUGAGCCCUCAAUUGAUUAAUAAACUUUCAAUUUCUUCAAUUAGGCCCCUGAACCGAAUAAUUGCAGCCCCUCCAUUUACGCGCCUCUUCCAAUUUGGUCCCUGAUUUCGGAUUUUCUCAAUUAAGUCCCCAAUUGGCCCUUAAACUUCAAUAUUUAUGCAAUUAAGCCCCUGAUUUGACCUAAUAAAUUCCUAAAAAAUAUAUUUUGGCCCCAGAACUUAAAUUUCUUCUAAUUAAAACCCAAAUUGACUUAAAAAUCAAUUUUUCUUACAAUCAAAUCCCCUAUAAAUUCAUUUAAAAAUCCAAUUAAGUCCAUAAACAUCCAAAUUUGGGCUUUUCUCCUCAAAUUUCAAAAUUCCCCUCUCAAUAGGGCUCUCAUCCUUCAAGAAUAUACUGUCCUAACUCCAAUCUUUGUAUUUUUAACCUCAUUGACCAAUUUUCCAACCAUUUUCUGAGCACUCCCACCUCUUAUUAUUUUUUAUAAUUUCUUCCGGCUAUAUAUUUAUAUUUUUAUGGGGGGAACCCAAAAAUGGGUUACAACAAUAUGGACUAAAAAUGAAAGAAGGGUCGAACUGUCUUGUACUUGACAGAUUUGGUUGAGUAUUAUAACAGAUAAUUUCGGGGGUGUUAAGGGCAGAAUUGGUCUUCCGAUCCUUUAGUAGAGUUGUAGAACCGUGUCUUACCUUUCCAACAAGCCAAACCACACUUAAAACUGAAUUCUAUAACUUUACUUACGAAUUAAUGAGGUAGUUGAAGAAAAUAAUCAGAAAAUGAAAUCAAAACAUGGUGAUGAAUUAAUUUGAAUGAGAUGGCAAUAGUAUGAGAACACACAUUGUGAUAAAAUUAGAAGAGGGUACUAAUUGUAUCUCUUGAUUCUCAAACAGAAGAGAUGCCUGGAGUAGGGUCGUCAGGAGUUGAUGUGACUCGAUCGGUUGGGGAAAUAGGUAGGUGCAUCACACCUUGUCUUUUCAUUUUGUGUAAACUCAUUGAUAAAUUUCAAAAUUUACUGUUUUAUUGCUUUGAUAAAUAUUGGAUUGAAUAUAAGUACCUUGUAUAUAUUGAUGUGUAUCAACUAGUUAUUAUAUAAUUGGAAUGGAUACGAGUACCUUACAUACAUUGAUAUGUAUCAAACUUGUGAUGAUAUUAUUAGAAUGAAUAAGAGUACCUUGCGUACAACGGUAUAGAUCAAUUAGUUAAGAUAAUGUUUGAAUGAAUAUGUACACCUUGCGUAGAUUGGUAUGGAUCAAGAUCGCUAGGAUAAUGUUUGAACGAACAUGAAUACCUUGUGUACAUUGUUAUGUAUCAAAUUAAUUAUGUUAUUAUUAGAAUGAAUAUGAUUACCUUGCAUACAUUGAUAGGUAUUGAAUUAGCCAUGAUAACUUUGGAAUAGAUGUUAUUAUCUUACAUACUUCAGUAUGGAAUAUGUAUACACAAUGACUAGGAGAUUGGAGGAGAAAUGAUAGAUAAUUGGUCAUUGUAGUGUCGGUGGCUAAUGAUACGUUAUGAUGCUACUUAGCACCAUGAUGAGGGUGGUUAAGGGCAUAAAUUGAUGCUUGGCACUGUGAUGAGGGUGACCAAGGUUAUGUGAAUGAUGCUUAAUGAUCGUAGUGUUUGUUACAAUGUAUAUGAUGUUAAUAAGAAGAAUAAAAGGGAAUCGGUACAAAUAGAAGGUUGAGAAGACAUUGAUUAGCUAUCUAGGUUUGGAUAGCUAAUGGUAUCGAUGAGGUUCCAUUGGUACCGACAUUUUAGAUGACAUUAAUUAGCUAUCCAGGUUUGGAUAGCUAAUUGUAUUGAUGAGGUUCCAUUGGUACCGACAUUUCAGAUGACAUUGAUUAACUAUCCGGGUUUGGAUAGCUAAUGGUAUCGAUGGGGUUCCAUUGGUGUCAGCGUUCCUUAAAUUGAUUAGUCAAUCCCGAGUAAUUAGGUGACUAAUGAUGUUAGUAAAGAUUUAUAACAUCGGCAUGGUUACUCCUGGUUAAGGGAAAAAAAUAAGUUGAUUAAUUAUUCUAGGUCGUGAAUAGUUAAUUAUAUCAAUCGGUCCUAUUGGUAUCGACAACCAUUUCUGGUGUAAUUAGCUACUCCAGGUAAGGAGGCUAAUGAUGGCAAGGGUUCUUGACAUUGACAACUUUGAUGGUAAACCAGAUAUGAAUAAGAAUUGAUUAACUAUUUUAGGGUAGAAAUAAUUAAUGAUAUCAAUUAGUUGUAUUGAUAUCGACACUUAAAUGGAAUUGAUUUGUCUAACCCGAUAUUGGGAGACUAAUGAUACUAAUGAGAUUCAAUAGUAUCGGCAAUUACCUUCCGAAAAAUGAAAGAGAAAAUAUUGAUUAGUUAUUCCAAAAGAAUGAGAUAAGCUAAUGAUACCAAGAGAGGAAUAUCUUGAUAUCAAGUGAGAAUUGAUUCAUAAGGAGAUGGUGUUCGAAACUAUUGAGUUGUAUUGAGAUUUCCAAGAUGAAAUUAUUUUCGGCAAAUGGGAUAGGAUAUUAGAUGGAUAUUGGUAAUAGAUGGAAAAUAUAUGUUGUAAAAGUGGUCUAUGCCUAAUUUUAUGUAUCAAAAGAAAUUCUAUAUAAAUGAUUACAUGUCAUUGUUAUUGUUUGUUACUACCUUUUUAUAUUUAUAUGUACAUGUUAAUUUUUAUUUCCAGGUUCAUUAGGGUCGCGUCAAGAGUUAUCUUAGUUUAGUUACCUUUUGCUUUCGGCCAUGUAAUGAUUUGUAAAUUAAGAGACUUCUCUCCUAAAACUUGAAAUGUAAUAUUAACCCGUACAUUUGGAUGUAUGACUUUAAUCUAAUGUUUGUAAUUCUAAGUACCUAUUUAACCAUGCAUGUUUAUAGUUGUAAUCGAAUCCUUCACUUGAAUAACAUUUUAUGAUGUUAUUAUGCAAGAUAUAGUUUAUAUGAUGUAACAAUUGAAUUAUGCAUUGUUAUUUUGUGAACUUGAAUUGUAUAAUGUUAUUGAAUAAGAUGUGUUGUGUUGGUGAUGAUGAGUUGAGUUAAGAUCCAGGAUGAUUGGAUCAGAUUGUGAAAUGAAAUUGGAAGUGUAAUAUGAAUUUGUCGAUAACUUGGGACCUCCCUGUAUAGAGGAGACUCUGCUAAAAUUUUGGUAGAAAUUUUGAUGGAACUUGUAUAUAAAAAUAACAAUGAUGAAAAAAAAUCAGGGUUGUUACACCUUCUCUUCACGCAACCAGUCCCCAUGUCAGAUCUCUGAGACCAGUUAGGGUUCCUAGUGAUCAAAAUACUAUGUGGCAACUCUCAUUCCCUCUUUCCACUAAUAAAGGACAAGAAUUCCUUGUCUUUCCCAUUUCCCAACCCGAGAGGAUGUUAGCCGUGAUGUCACACACGUGCGACAACCAUCAACAACUCUUGUGAGCCACCAAGAAUCUCCAUUGUGUAUAUAACAACCAACCACAUAACUCAGGAAGCUCUGACUAGUACUAGCAACUUCAAACUAACCACUUACCCUCUCCCAUGGUGACUGUAGCACCUAUAAGCAGUAGAGAGAAGAAUUAAAGAGAAAGAGGAAUUACAAUAGAAAUAGAACAAAGUAGAAAUUUCAACUCAGCCGAUCUUCUUUCUCUGGUUGUUGUGAGCCUCACCAUUGGGGUUAGCAGGAAGAGGAAGGACUGAUCUACCAUACUGAGGUCCUCACACGAUUUGAGGUCUCGUCAGCAUGACGCGCCAACAUUGGCAGUUCUCUUCUAGGGCGUGCAACAGACACAAUGCCAUUGAUCAACCUACUUCCAAUAGAUUCCAAACAUCUUUAGGCAUUCUCAAAGGUGAAAUAUUAAUGUUAAGAUUGAAAUUUGUUAAUGUUGUUUGGUUUUAUGAACAUAAUUUUGAGGUGAUGAGAAAGUUGUUUGAUUUGGAGUUUUGUUAUAAAUAUAAUAUGAUAUAAGUAUCAUGUGAAAAUAAUAAAUGAGCAUUAUUGAUUUCGAUUGUUUGAUUAAAAAAUAAUUGAAAAGUAUGAAUUGUGAUUUUGAAGAUAUGAUAGACAACAUGUACAUUUUUUUAUAAAAGAAAUGUUGAUUAGAAAUUGUUUGUUAAUUGGCUAUGUCCAUAUAAAAAAUAAAAAACAUGCAAAAUGUGUGAGAUAUUUGUUUUUGGAAGUUAGUUGGAUGAAUAUUAUAAGAUGGUUGAAUAUAACCAUAAAAUUUAAAAUUUGAGAAUUUUUAGAUCAUUGUGAAAAUUCUUGCAAUGAAUAUAUAUGGACCGAUUAUUUUUAUAAAAAUAACGAUUGAUUAAUUAACCCAAGAUUGUAUGGUCUAACCUUAGGCUUUAUCUUUCAGGUGUUGAUUAAUAAAGAAAAAGGAAAAGAAAAAGAAAAAGAAAAAGAAAAUUGUCCUUGUAUUGAUUGUUCUUAUUAAUUGAUUAAUUAAUCCAAGAUGGAAUGGUCUUCUACUAGGUCCUCUCUUUCAGAUGUCGGUUAUCGAGUAACAAGAUCAAUUAAUAUUUGAUCGAUGAAUUAACUGUUUCUAUUAAUUACUAAUUGACCCAUGAUGAUAUGAUCUAAUAUUGGGUUAUGUUCUUCUAGUGUCGAUAAGUGAAUAAUAGCACCAAUUAAUACAUGAUCUCUAGGAUAUUAACCAAUAAAAUUAAGUAGCCCAAGAUGGAAUGGUCUAAUAGCGGGCCCUGUUCUUUGAUUGCUACAUAAUGAAUAAUAUGAAUUUUUCAACCCGCAAUAAGCCUCAUAUAUAGGUGUGCUCAUCAUUUGCAAAUAACUGAGGAUAGAAAGGUCCAAUAGUAGAACUUGUCCUUUAAAUGUUUUCUAAUAGAUAAUAAGAACUAUACAUCGAAUAACAUACAUACUAGUUUAGGUGAACCAAAAACAAAACACAUUUAUCAUUAAAAACAAACAACAAUGCAGCUUACCUUGAGUAGGAUGUAUAGGGUUAUGUCUAUAUUACCUAAUACAUAACCAACCCCUUACCUAGAACUUCUAAAGAUCAGUUAGGAUUUCUAGUUACUAUAAAUCUAGGUGACGACUUUUUUUCACAUAGCUCGCCUCGAUGUUCACAUGCAACACAAGUUUGAGCAAGUGAACCGAGUUACAUGUUGACCCUUUAAGUCACUCGAGUUUGACUGGAUCAUUGUCCACUUCUGUUCAGAAGAAAAUCAAAACAAAACAAGGUUUUGGGUCAACGAAUCAGGAAUGCAUCCUGUUGGACUAGACCAAGUUUAAUGACUAUGACUUACAUAACUUCUCGUAGAAAUUGCACUUGGAUCUAAGUUUUUUGAGGUAAAAAAAUAUUAUAAAAAUAGCACAAUUAAUUAGUUGCAUUGUUAGGAACGAUUCAACCAUAUAAAUUACGUUGUUCUCAACCAUACAAUUCAAUAUGCUACACUAUUAAGAAUAUCGUAAACCUUGUCAUAAUCCAUUUUUUGGUUAUUCCCAAAAUUCACUUUUUCUCUUCCAAAAAAUGAAACAAAAUAUUAAAAAAAAAAUCUAAAAAAUAAUAACAGUGAGAAGAGGCUGUCAGAGCGCCCUGAAAAUAGCUAAAAAUUGGUUGAGGAGGCUCAAAAAUUCAAAGAUUAAAAUUUGACAGUAUAUUUUACAGAUGAAGAGCCCUGUUGACAAAGAAAAAUUCAAUUUGAGGAAAAAGUCCAAAAUCAGAUGUUUAUGGACUCAAUUAAAUUUUAUUGGAGGUUUAAUUGAAUUUAUAUAGGGUUUGAUUACAAGAAAAAAUUAUUUAAAGUCAAUUUAGGCUUUAAUUGGAGGAAAUUAAGGUUCUGGGUCAAAAUACAAUUUUUUAGAGUUGAUUUGGUCAAAUCAGGGGCUUAAUUGAAUAGAUAUUGAAGUUUGAUGGCCAAUUAGGGACUUGAUUGAAGAAAUCCAAAACCAAGGACCAAAUUGAAAAAGGCGCGUAAAUAAAGGGACUGGAAUUGACCAAAGCAGGGGUCAAAUUGAAGAAAUUGGAAGUUUAUUGAUCAAUUAAGGGUCAAAUUGCAUAAAUCCAAAACCAAGGACCAAAGGGAAAAAUGCGCUGAAAUCUGGGGUUUAAAUUGAAGUUCUUCAUGGGUAAAAUUGAACAAAAUUAAAAGUUUAAAGCCAAUCAGGGGUGUUGAUAGAAAUUAAUCACAAAUUGAAGGACUAAAUCGUAAGAUACUAUUCAUCUUCUUCUCCAGCUAGGCUGGUUGGGUGGCCACCUUCCCAAGGCAUUUGGCGCCUCGUUUCUUCACCAAAUUGGAUGAAACGUACAAGAAAACAAUCCUGUGAUACCUGACUACACGCUAGUGUAAGACGUUCGGGUUGAUCGAGGCUGUAGAGGCGGUGGCACCGCCCCAAAGUGGCCAACCCGACCAGCCAUUUUUCCUGCAAACUGACAGUUCAUCAUUGCUACUUUGAGCUAAUGGUUGGGAUGCUUUCGGGUUGAGCCAAUGGUUGGGAUGCUUUCGGGUCGAACCAAGAGCUGAGAUUUUGCACCAGAAGAGACAAAGUGUCCCUCUUCCGCCACCUAUAAAUAGAUUUUAUCUUCAUGCUCAGGGGGUGGAGAAAUAUGGGUCCAAAGACAGCAAAAAAACCAGCCUUCCUCCCAAGAAUUUUUUCUUUUCUGCCGUCUGCCUCUUCACACUCUCUCUCUCUACGCCGUCCAGGCCACCACUGUCAUCACCGUCAGCUUUUAAGCCACCAUCUCCACCACAGGAAGCCAACACAGCCACCACCGCUUGCACCACGCUGUCCUCCGCCACUGUCAGAACCACCGCAGGUCAGCCUUCCCCCCCUUCUUCUUCUUCUUCUUCUUCAUCCCAGCUGUUCACUGCGUGAACAGUAGACGUGAAUUAAUUCAAUAGGCGUGAACAGUAGGCGGCCCAAUCACAAAAAUUUUCAAAAAAAUAUUUUAAAUUUUUAUACCGUAAAGAUACAAAUGCGAUAUUAAAAUACCCGGUUUUCGUCAUAACAUUGCAAAAAAAUUUAUAAAACAAAAAAAUAUUUUGUUUUCAUGCAUACAGCCAAGUCUCUCCAAGAUAAAAAAAAAAUUAUAUCAUUUUUUCUUAUACAAAAAAAAAAUAUAAAAAUAUAAAAUAUGUUUUAGCAUGCAUUUUGGCUUUAAUAACAAGUUUAUUAGAGCUAUGAGAACUAGGCCAAUAUUUAAAAAAAACCCAAAAAAAAUAUUUUGUUUUCUUUUAAUAUCCGGGAUUAUGAAUUUAUACGUAAAGCAUACUUCUGAUAUUAAAAAGGUAGUUUUUUUAUUUGACGUUAGCACAGUUAGGUUUUUACCCGAUAAGAUAAAGACCUCCUUACCGAGGAGGACUUUUCUUGAGCCAUAGAUAGACCAAAAAUUAGAGAACACAAUAAGACCUUAGUUUUUAUCAGACAAUAAAACAAUGCAACUUACCUUAGGUAGGACGUAUUUGGGUACUAAUACCUUCCCUUUACGCAUCCAGUCCCCGUACUCGAUCUCUGAGACCAAUUAGAGUUCCUAGUGACCAAAAUACUAGGUGGCGACUCCCAUUCAAUUUUUUCCAUUGAUAAAAGACAAGAAUUCCUUGUCUUUCCAUGUUAGUUGUAGUGAAAUUAAAGUUCAAUAAAAUUCUUUAACUUUAUAGGUUAAUUAAUAAUUAUCAAUGAAAAUAAUUAGUUGUAGUCGAUAUAAAUUUUCUUAACUUGGUUAAUUAAUAAUUAUCAUAAUUAUCACACCAUGACAAAUGCGAGACUCUUCAAAAUUGAAGGAAAAAAAAAUAAUGAAGUCACCACCUAGUAAUAAAAAAAAAACUAGAAAUCCUAAAAUAGACACCGGUCAGUAGGUAUUGAGUUAGUUAUACCUAUGUCACCCUUACCGCAUCCUUUCAAACGAAAGGUUACCUCCACAAUGUUUUGUUCUAAAUUUAUUCUAUGCAUCCUUUCAAACGAAAGCUUACCUCCACAAUGUUUUGUUCUAAAUUUAUUCUAUGCAUACUAUUAAUGCAUACGAAAAGAAGACUCGACGAUAAAAGAAAAUCUUGACGUUAAUCCCUAAAAAUAGAUAAUUUCAUCGAUUUAGAAAAAAAUAUUAAUGUUAAUCUCUACUGUAUGUUUUUUAAAACACCUCCACACACAAAACCCUUCAUACUGAAAAACUAAACAUAUAAGAAAAAUCAAACAUCCACAUUAAAAUUUCAUAAUUGAGGGCAUCAUACCCCAUAAGUUGCCACACCAUAGUGUAAAUCCCAACGCUUUAAAUAUCGCAAACAUUCACAUUAAUACAUGAUUAGUCUCAAUCAAUAAGCAUUUCAUCAUAAUGUCUAACAACAUAAUAAAAAAUUAUUCAAAAAAUUAAUUUAGGCCUCAACAACCUUUUAGAGUGGCUAAAGUUAAUCAAAACAAUUGGAAUUGGGUGAAGAAACUAUUAGAUUAUUGAGGGCAAUAUUGGCAUAUGACAACCACGUGCUAGUGUGUGAUAACAAUUAUUGGUGGUAUCUGGUCCCAUGCGCCAAUGAUGGUCACAGAGGUGGUUAGCUAGAUCGGGUGUGCCACUAUAUUCUUUUCUCUUCCACAUUGGUGGUGUAGUCCACCACUCUUUGACGAGGGAGAUUGAGCCACUUGAACAUUUAAUUUCUCUCUCUUGUUUUCCUUCUCUCCCCACCUCUACUUCCACUGUUACUACCUUGCUACUACUGGUUAAGAAGCUAUUGUGAUGAUGUUGGAAAGAGAUUACAACAUUGAUAGUGGUGUUUUGUUUUGGUAAGUGAGAUUGAUGUUUUUCUCUAUUUUUGGGUCCCUGGAUAAAAAGGAGAAAAAAGAAAAAAAUCAAGAAAAAAAUUGUUGCAAGAAAACCAAAAAAAAUAUAUAGCAGUAAGAAGAAGACAUGGGGGCGCCCAAAAAUGGCCAAAGAUUGGUUAAGGAAGUUCAAAAAUACAAAGAUUGAAAUUUGACAGUAUAUUAUUGAUUGAUGAAGGCCAUAUUAACAAAGAAAAUUGAAUUUGAGGAAGAAAAGUCUAAAAUCAGAUGUUUAAGGGCUCAAUUAGAUUUUGUUGAAAGAUUAAUUGAGUUUACGAAGGUGAUUGCAAGAAAAAUUAAUUUUUAAGUUAAUUUUGGUUUUAAUUGGAAGAAAUUAAAGUUUGAGAGUCGAAUUAUAAUUUUUAGGUGUUAAUUUGAUCAAAUCAGGGGUUUAAUUGCAUAAAUAUUGAAGUUUGAUGGGCAAUUAGAGACUUGAUUGAAGAAAUCCAAAACCAAGAACCAAACUGGAAAAGGUGCAUGAAUAUAAGGGCUGAAAUUGACCAAAUCAGGGGUUAAAUUGAAGAAAUUUAAAGGUUUUUGAUCAAUUGAUGGUCAAAAUGCACAAAUUCAAUACUAAGGACUAAAGAGAAAAAGAUGGCCAACAUCAGAGGUGACCUUUGAAUUUGGCAAGGAUGCAAUUGAAUUAAUUCUUAAAAUCAAAAUUCCAAUUGAGAACUUGAUGAAUAAAUAAAAAGCUAAGGACUGAUUUGGAAAUUGAUACAUUUUGGUGCCAUUUUCAUUUAAAUGAAACGACGCAUUUUGUACAAAAUAACGUUGUUUCAUUCACUGUUCAUAUAUAAAAAAAGAAGCUUGUUUUGAACUGCAUUGUGCAUCUUCUUCUUCCCUUGACGCGCAAAGGCAGGGGAAGAAAGUUUUUCUUCCCCUUACUUUCUUCCCCUUCUUUGCAGUGUCUCCCCUCCCUCUUGCCCAAAAACCCUGACAUAACCCACACCCCCUCAUGACCUACCACCAUGAUGAAAGGGGCAGGGAAGACAAGCCCUGCAGGUGACUCUAGGGUGAUUGCACAGAGGCCGCCCCAGCCACCCUACCCCGUCACCAUGACUAGACAGGGGUAGGGUCGCUCUCACUCCCCUACCCCUUAUAAAUACCCCCUCACCACGAGGUGAGGAGGGAGAAAAAAAAGGGGGAUGAUGAGAACAAAAGAAGAAGAAGGAAUGGAAAAAAAUAAAAAGUAGGAGAGGGAAGGAAAAAAACGAAAUAGAAAAAAAUAGAGAAUAGAGUUUGUUGGGCCGAAAUCGGCCCAAGUUUGUUGGGCCAACCUCGGACCAGUUUGUUUGAGCCAAAUCUCGGCCCAACCAGGGUGGGUUCAGCCCACAUUAUUGGGCUGGGCCCAACACAAUAUAUUUUUAUAAUAUAAUAUUAAUAUUAUAUAUUAUUCAAAAAAACAAAAUGUUCCAAGAAUUUUCAAAAAAACUUUUCAAAACAUUUGUGAUUUUCUCGUGUAUUUUUCUAUCAAUUUUAAUUAAUAUUGGUUGAUAUUUUUAUAUUGUAAAAAUACAAAUCUGGUAUUAAAAUACACAGUUUUCUCCGUAAAUGUUGUGUGUGUGUGUAUUUGAAAAACAAAACAAAUGCUUUGUUUUCAUGCAUAUGACCAAGUCUCUCAAAAUAUAAAAAAAUAUUUCAUAUCAUAUUUUCAUGCAAAUAAUUUUUUUAAAAAAAUACGUGUGAGCAUGCAUUUUGAGCUUUAAUAACUAGUUUAUUAAAGCCAUGAGAACUAAGCUCAUAUUUCAAAAAUAUCAAAAAAAAAUAUUUUGUGUUUCUUUUAGUUUCUGAGAUUACAAACUUUUAUAUAUAGACAUUAGAACAAUUAGGUUUUUACCAAUAUUAAAAAUAUAGUUCUUUUAUAUAUAGAUUUUAGAAUGGUUAGGUUUUUACCCGAUAAGAUUAGGAUCUCCUUACCGAGGAGAUCUUUUCUUAAACCUUAGACAAACCAACAAUUAGAAAACACAACAAUACUCUAGUUAUAUCAGACAAUCAAAUAAUGCAUCUUACCUUAGGUAAGGAGUAUAAGAGGUGUUAAUACUUUCCGUUUACGCAACCAGUCUUCGUGCCCAAUCUCUGAGACCAGUUAGGGUUUAUAGUGAUCAAAAUACUAGAUGACGACUCUCAUUUCCUCUUUCCACUAAUAAAGGACAAAAAUUCCUUAUCCUAUCCAUUUCCCCACACCACAUGCCAAUAUGGAAUUUCAGGAGGAUGUUCGCGCGAUGUUGCAUCAUGUACGACAAUUGAGAAAAGUGAUGGUUGGAUUUUGGUCUCGACUUGAGUUGUUUUGGUUGUGAUAUUGGUGAUCGAUGUUGCUAUUAUCAUUAUUAGUGUAUGUCAUUGGAAGCUGCUAUCAGUGGUCGGUGAAUUAAGUGUUCCACUAUUAAUAACAAAUGUUGAAAUUAAUUCAAUUAAACAUAAUUAACGAAUAAUAUAAUUAAAUUGCAUAAAGUAAAGUGUAAAAGGAUAGGAAUUGUAAACUCAGUUUUUAACAUGGUUUUGGCAAGUCUAUACCCACACCUCAAGCACCUAAAUUGGUCUUGUGUAUUUUGUUCUUUCACUAGUCCAAGUUGAAGAUUACAAUUGUCACUUGAUGAAUCCACACCAAGAUUUUACACCACUUGAAGAUAUUCUUUUUAUGACAGUUUGAACCUGCUGAAUCUUGAACCGAUACUAAUCCUAUAUAUAUACAAAGAAGUGUUUGAGUUCAUUUUAAUUAUGGCAUUAAAAUAAAAUAUAAAUAUUUAUAUAAUUACUGCAAUGAACAAUUAAUUCUUAAAUUCUCAUUUCAUCUUCAUUUUCUUUGGUGGCUAGGUUUUAGAGAAGAAGAAGACUCUUUUUUUCUACACUUUCACUCCAUUUUGUUUCUUUCUCUAUCUUAAAUUUUUCUUCAAGGUUUGCUAGGGUUUCUUACCCACUUUUUGUUUUCCCUCUAAUUUUUAUGUAGAGGCUAGAGUUUUUUUUUACACCUCCUCCUUUUUCUUACCUUGCCUUUCUAUUUAUAGGCUAUGGGGUAGGUUCUAGAAUCUUUAUAGGUAGAACAAUCAUAUUCUUUGAUUUUUUUCGGUACAUUUGACCCUUCAUCAUUGUUGUAUAUUUGGCAGAACAUGCUCGUGUUCUAUAAAGCUCACACCAAAUCUUAAUCAUAAAGAGUGGGAAUGAGAGAGAGAAAAAAGAAGAAGAAGAAGAAGAAAAUGGGGCUGAAAAACUUCACUGCCAUUUUUCAAAAUCAGACGACCCGUUUCCUUUCAAAGGGUAGCCAAAAAGUUCCCAUACACACCCAUUAGCGAGCUUCUUCUUUACGAAAAAAAAAACUAAAAAAAUUAGAUCAUCAUUUUCAAACCACCUUCUAGCUAGAACUGGAAACAAAAAAACAGUACAGACUCUCUCAUCAGCGCUGUCUCUUUACGCCACCCUCGAGUUACUACUAUCUUGCCCCACGUUGACUCAAGGAACCAUAGCCGCUGCUUCCACAGUACCGUUAACCUGAGGUGUUCAUUACCGGAAUCAUAACACAAGGCAGGCCAGGAGCCCACUCACGUCGUCCAUGUGCAUCUUCAGCGUGCUCGUUUUACAUUCUUGCCUCUGACCUCUCUGGACUUAGCUUUAUUCAAGCACUAGCCACUCAAAAAAAGAGUGAAGAUGAGGUACGGGAUAUCCAGUGGAGCUGUCUCCAUCAUAAUCACUCAAGGUAUAAAGCUUCCACCUAUUCUCAUGUAGUUGUAAUCUUUUUGCAUGUGCAUGCUACUGCAAAGGCAAGCUCCCGUUUUUCCUUUAUGUGCUAUGAAGUUAACAUAUAGUGUUGUAAGGUGUGUGGAUCUUUUAAGUCCUAACCUGGUCACGGGUGUUCUUUCACUUGCUACGGGUACUGAAGGGGAUGGGGUGUGAUUUUUCCUUCAAACGCAUAUGGUCUUGAAAACUUGAUUGCAUGUCCUAAGGUCAUGUUAAGACCUUGCCUAGUUAAUUAAGAAUGCUCUUACCCAAGGUUAAAGUUCAAGAACGGUAUGAGAAGGUGGAAAAAGAUGUUGACAACUAUUGGGGUCAUAGGUUUUCCUUUUUUUUUUUUUGUCUUCAGAAAAUAAAAAUGCAUAGGACUGUCAGGGAGUUUUUCCAUACCAUGCUUGGGCUUCGGAUGUAUGUUUCCUUUACGUACAUGAGAUGAUGGUUACCUUGCUUUACGUACAGAAAUCUCCAAUGACUAAAUAAAAUGAUUUUUGGUUGAAGAAGAAUCGGUAUGUGCAAGGGUUUCUGGUUCAUUUCUUUUUACUGUCCCAUGGCUUUUCGUUAAUGCUAGUACAGCUAUAUUUCUCUUUUCUAAAGUUAAGUAGGUUGAUAUAUAUAGAAAUCGGUUUAUCACGGGUUUAAGAAUAUUAAAGAAAAAAAAAAAAAAAAAGCUUUCAUGGGUCUUCAAGGCACAAACACUCAUAUGACAAAUUUUAAGUUUUCUUUUUCACUAAGGACAUGUGUGGUAAAUAUGACCAAACAUAUUUUUCAUGGCCUUUAUUUUCUUUUCUUAAUUUUUUUUUGUUUUGUCUAACAUAUCUUAGUCUAAUUUUAAUUAUUUUUCAAGUUUUGAAGAGCCAUUUUGCAACUAUAUUUUUGGUUUUCCACGUCAUUUUUUACCUUUUCAUAUUUAAAAACAAGUUUAUUAAAUCCACAGGGAUUUGGCCUAAGUUUUAAAAAUACUAAAAAAAUUAAUUUGUUUAUUUUAAUACAAUGAAUUAUGAGCUUAUAUCUAAAAUGUAUUCUCGAUAUUAAAAGGAACAAAUGCAAAAAUAUGUUUUGGCUCUAGAAUGGCUAGACUUGACCCAUAAAGCCAUGGUUCUCUGUACUAGGGUAGACCUUCUUUAACUAAUAGACAAAUCAAUGAUUAGAUAAAGAAAACAGUGCCUUAGUAAUAAUCAGAAAAAUAAACAAUAAAGCUUAUCUUAGGUAUGAUUACUAAGGGUGAUAAUGUCCAUCCUAUAUACAACUUGUCCCCUUGUCUAGACUCUGAAGACUAGUUAGAGUUUUCAGUGAUCAAAAUACAAGAUAGCAACUCCAAGCAUUUUUUAUUUAUAAAGGACAAGAAGUCCAUGUUCUUUCCACACCACACCAAAGUCCUGAUCUAGGAGGAUGAUCGCAAUGAUACCACAUCCGUGCCACAUUCAACAUUGUAUUUUCCAUGAGUUAUCCUUUCUAUUUUUCAAUUACUUUGAUCCAAAUAAUGUGUUACCCUCUCAACAUUCUUCAAAGUCAACAUGUACUUCUACUAAUUGAUCUAAAUAUGAAUGUGAUGCGAUGUAAAUGAGUAUACAAGAUUAAACAUAUGGAAGAUGGGACUUUUUAGCACUACAAAACAUGUUUGGUGGCCAAAUGCUAUUAUCGACAAAAAAGGGUUUGAUUUUCAAGAGAUAUUUAGUGUAGUGAGGAAGCCUUGCACUAUUUAGACAAUGCUCGAUAUUGGUGAUACUUGAGGUUGGUCGGCUUAUUAGAGGGAUUUCUUCAUUUAGAUGUGUUUAUAACCCAAGCCAGGUUGUUAAAAUCGCGAGUUAUGAGUCAACAUGUAUCUAACGUGCUAAAUCGGACUAAAAACUCAAAAAUAGUAAAAUCAGACUUGUGCAAAAUCAGUAAAAUCGGUAAACUCAGUCCGAUUUUAUGAGUUUACUAAAUUUGUGAUAUGAAUCAAGUCAGGUUCAAAUUUGGCCUUAAAAUAUCUGCUGACUAGUUUUGCGAGAUUGAGCAUAUAUUUCAAACUGUAUAUUGGAUAAAACUGAUAUUUUACAGGAAAAUAUUAGAUACAUAAACAUAUAUUGUGGUAAAUUGUUAGGUCAAAUAGAGUUAGGAAACAUAAUUUUAGAGGGUCAAAGUUAGUAAACUAAUAUUGUCAAAUAUGUCAAACAAGUCCUUCGUGUACUGUUUGGAACAUAUCCAGAGCUACCGGUGGAAUUUUGCUUCAAUUAAAGUUGGGAUAGAAACUAGACAUCUGAAACUUUCCAACUAUAUACGUAGGCCCAAGAAUUCAUCCAAACAAGAGAGAAUGACAUGUUUGAAAUCAGGACUCAAAUCUACCAAGAAUAUGCAAAAAAUAGAAGAUUCAGGUUACAUGGAUGAAUUUUAACAUGAAGACUUUUUUAUUAUUCUAUUUUAUUUAUUUAAUUUUAAAUAAUUAUUUUUAAUUUGAAUUUUUUCUAGCGCAUUAGACAUUGUUUAGGAAUUUGUUUUAUUAUUGAAUUUAUGUUAGUUAAUUACUAAUUUAAACUUAUUAGCUUGCAACCCAAAAGGGGUCUAUCAAGACUUAUUGUGAUAGGAACAACCAGGUUGUCACUAGGUUUAUGUGUGCUUCCUACCUUUCAGUGAUUCCCUUGUAUUGAAAAAUUUUGUUCUGUGACUUUUUAUUUCUCCAUGUCAUUAAUUUAUUGAUUCAUACUAUCUAUCUCUCUCAUUUUAUUUAGAUCGCUCAUUGAUUAUAAUAUUGUUGACUCAUUUUAUUAGAUUUUAAUGUAAUUUAAUUUCUUGACUAAAAUUAUCAAUAUAUAAUUAGUUAAAAAAUUAUUUAUGAUUUUACGAUUUUACGAUCUGAGUUUAUUUUAUAUUUUUCGUGUCGUGUCAAAAAAUAUUUUUGACAACCUUGAACCCAGGCUCUUGACUUUAUUGAUCCACAAUCCCCAAACCAUAUUCGCAAACUAAAACUUUUUUUUUAUAGUUUAAAACAAGCACCUCGUGCAUGUAUUGAUUGCUUAGUGAAUUCUUAGUUUCUCAAUGGAUUUUAUAUUCGUAAAUUUUUAAGUGAACCCAGGUUAUAUUAUCAUGAUAACUAAAAUAAAAUGAGCUAAAUUUAUUUAUAAAAUGAGCACCACACGCUUAGAUUUAAAUUCCAUAGAAAGAUUAGCACCUGAUGACAAGUUAACUCGGGAAACAAAGGUAAUAACAAAGUUUUGAGAUUGAAUUCGACACUAGGUCUACUUAGUAGUUAGUACAUAUAAGUUGAAGGAUUGCUACCUUGACCAAUGAACUGAAAAUAUCUUUAAUUUAUAAUGAAUGGCAUACACCAUACAGUUUUACCAUAUCAACAGCAUGAAAAUUGAUAAUCGAUCCUUUAGGGAUAUUAUUCCAUUUCUUUAUUAAUUAUCAUAAAAACAUUUAUUAAAUGUGUUGUCCUCCAACUCUUUCCAUAAAAAGAAAGAGUUGUGAACCACAACAUACAUUUGAUCAUGGACAAAAGGUAAUCAAAUAGUUGCCUCCACUAGGACAAGUAAACGUGCUCGAUUUAUCAUCAAAAGCAUAACUAUAAGCUUGAGGACACUGCUGCUUGAAAGUCAUCGAAUAUUGGGUAGGAGGACAUGUUUCAGCUGUAUUAUACUCUCCUGUGCAGCAGUACUGCGGCUGGUUAAAUGCCAAACACGCACUCUUGCAGGCAAUCACAGUCCCAUCUGAACCUUUCACUGCUAAACUAGGAUCACAAACAGCAUUCACGUUAGCUGCACAGCUUGUAGAAGGGCAGCCAGUAGAACCUCCUUGCGGGGUUACCGAAAUUGGGAGGUUAAAGCCAUCAACAAGGCUUAUAUCGUAAUAAUCUUUCCCACCAUCACCGCUUAGAGUAAAUUCUGCCAAGGAUGCUGGUGGGAUCGCACCGGCUCCAUUGCAUUCUAUGACACCAGAGCCACAGUCAGCAGUAGCACAAACAAACUUUCCCGAGGCAUCUGUAGAGCAUUGCGUUCUGGCCCACAAGCGGCCAGACCAAUUGACAGGGACACUCAGCGAAGAUGAAGCACCCGUUGCCAAUGUGAAGCCAGUUGAAGAUAAAGACGGACCGCCAGCAGCCGUUAGAGUUCCUGGCCAGACUGUGUAUGGACAGUUGUUUGUGAAGUCGAAAGUCACAGAUUGAGCUCCUGCAUGCGUGCAAGAUUUAUUUUUGUUGAUAUCAAUAAUUAAAUCUUGGUCGAUUCAAAGAUAACAUAAUUCAAUAUUUAAAAUCUUGUAUUAAUUCAGUUAUUUUUCUUUUAAAAAUAUAACAUAACCCAUGUUUUUUUUUAAUAUAUUUUUUUCUUUUUUCUUUUUUAUCUGGAAACUCCCUCCUGGAUAAAUUUAUUGGAUUCACGAAAUCCAUUGAAUAAUGAAAACUAGUUAAUAUUGCAUACGCAAACAGAAAAUAUAUAUGUAGAAUAAUCAAAGUGAAUAAUAUGCAUAAUAGAGUUUUCCAUGCAAGAAUCUAGUAUAUGUAAUAUUGUAAAACUACUUGCCAUAGAGGAAGAUGACGAGGGUGAAGGUAAUUAUAGCAAUAUUGGGCAUACGACUCUCCAUUGCCGAGAUGCGUCGAAUUAAGACCUUUUCAGUAUCUUUCAAGAGAUUUGAGGUAACCAAGAAACACUCUAUAUUUUAAAAAUAUUAUGAAAUGAGCAGACUUAAUAAAUAGUGUAAAAUUUGCAGACUAGUAAACAGAGGAACGUCCUGCUUCUCACGUCAAAUGAAAGCAACACCCAAUUGAAUAUUGAAUGCAACUCUGGUCCAGCAGACGAGCCGUGAUGAAUGUGAGAGUCUUCAAAAUUAAAGAAAAAAAAUUCACCACCUAUUAAUUAAAAACUUUAGAAUUUAAAAAUAGACAUUGGUUAGAGAUUUAGACAUUGAGCUAGUUAAGUCUAAGAAAGAUCAAUAUCACCCUUAUCAUAUCCUUUAAAAUGAAAAGUUACCUCCACAAUGCAUUUAAGAAAAAUUAUUCCAUGCAUAAUAUUAAUUAUCUAAAUUUAUUUCUAAUCUUUUCGUGAUUUAUUUUAAUAAAAAAUUGGCAAUUCAAAAUUUAUUUCUCAUACAGACUAAACUAGAACUAUUUAUCAAGAAUUAUUUGUGCUAAUAAAUAUUAAAGAAACUCGUUAAUGAUAAGUAAAGACUAAACUAGGAUCAAAUUGAUGCUUAAAAUCAUAAUUCUCCAUUAAGUUAUCAAACAAUUCUGAAAAUUUGUGUGGACCCUUCUAAUAUGAUACUUUAACUUGAGUUAAAAUUUCAGAGUUUUUGAAGAAAGUCAGAAAUUUGAUGAAAAAUCACAAUUUUACCAGUUUUACGUUAUUGGGCGUAAUUUUCAAUCCGACCAUCCAAUUGAGCUGAAAUUUUACAAGGAAUCUUCAAAUAUAUUGAAUAAAAUCUGAUUAAAAUCUGAUUAAAUGAACGGAGCUUGGUAGUGCUAACAAAAAAAAGGACCGUCAAAUAAAAGCAAAACAACUCAUUAAGGGCAAAAUAGUUAUUUGCCAUUAAAAAUAAAACAAAUUAUCUCUUCCUUCUUUUUAUAUGUUGCCGACUGAGCAGAAGCAAAAUAGAAAAAGAAAGAAAAGAAAAGACGAGAGAGAAAGAGAGAAACGUAAGGGAAAACAUAAAAAGAAAAAUCAAAGGAAAAAAAAUAAGUGAGAGAAUAACCUUGUACACUUAUAAAGUCCGACUUAUAAAACACUAAUCUUAGAAAGAAUCAAGUGAAGGAAUGAGGAAUUGAGAAAGGGAAAAAAAUUUAAUUAUUUUUUUUCCAGUUGAUAUGAGAUUGUUAUUUUAUCCUGGUUAAGGGGUUGUUACAAUAUCGAUUCAGAUUCGAUUAUAAAUGAAUUAUAUUCCACAAAACAUCGAAGGAUAUAACUUCAAUAGUAGGUUUAUUUUUACUUUCACUUCAAUUUUAUGUACUUUUAAAUUUAUUUUUUAAUAUUUUGGAUAAUGUAUUUCAAUUAAAAUUUUACUGUUAACUUAAAAAAUUCAUAUACAUAAGUUAAUAAUUGAUCUUAAAAAAAUUUAUAUAUUUAUUUAAUAACCCAGGACGGGAAAAAUUCUUGACUCUGCUGGUAACAACCAUCUUCCACACGCACCGUCUCAUCCACGAUGACAUUUGACAAUGAAUGUCAAAUUAUAAAAUUAUAAUUUAUUUAUAUUUAUAAAAAAUUAAAUUAUAAAAUUGGGUCUAUCACCUAAAGUGCGCAGAGACCGUCCAUGCACUGACCUGCACUCAUCCAAAAAUUGAAUAUUGAAUGUAACUCUGGUCCAGCAGACGAGCCGUGAUGAAUGUGACCCUCUUCAAAAUUAUCACACCGUGAUGAAUGCGAGAUUCUUCAAAAUUAAAGGAAAAAAAAGUCACCACCUAUUAAUUAAAAAAUUUAGAAUUUAAAAAUAGACAUUGGUUAGAGAUUUAGACAUUGGUUAGAGAUUUAGACAUUGUGCUAGUUAAGUAUAAGAAAGAUCAAUAUCACCCUUAUCAUAUCCUUUAAAAUAAAAAGUUACCUCCACAAUGCAUUUAAGAAAAAUUAUUCGGUGCAUAAUAUUAAUUAUCUAAAUUUAUUUCUAAUGUUUUUCGUGAUUUAUUUUAAUAAAAAAUUGGCAAUUCAAAAUUUAUUUCGCAUACAUAUUAUUAAAUAAAUCAAGAAUUAUCUAUGCUAAUAAAUAUAAAAGAAACCCGUUAAUGAUAAAUAAAGACUAAACUAGGAAAAUUAAGAGAUAAAUAUAAACCAAAAUAUUUGAUAUCGCAACACGAAGCAUGUACCUAGUUGUGUUUAAUAAUUUAUUUAUUUGAAUAAAUUUUGUAUUUAAUAAAAUGAUUAUCCGUGCCAAUAAAAUGAUGUCUACCCAAUACAUUUUUUUUUGUAUUUCAAAAUAUUAUGAAAUGAGCAUCACAUGCUUAUAUUUAUUAAAUUAUAUUAUAUUAUAUUAAAUGAAAAAAAUAUUUAUAAAAAAAAUAAAUUAAAAAACAAAUAAAAAUACUCGAGAUAUCCCAAGUCCUUUUCAAAAUAAGUGAAAAAUCCUAUAGAAAAAACAAAAAAAAAACCUUCUAGAGGAUGAUAUUUUAAAAAAAAAUUCAAAUUAAAAAAUGAUCUCAAAUAAAAAAAUAAGAAUUAAAAGAACAGGGACAAAAUUUGGAAGAUGAAAAAACCAAAGGGAAUGAAAUUGUCAAAGAAUUUCAAUUUUAUAAAUUAUUCCAAACAAAACAAGUAAUAAUCAAAAGAACAGGGACCAAUUAAUAUGAAGGAAUAACAAAUUGAAGGCGUGCUUUGAAAUUUUGAAGGGGCACACACGAAAAUCAAGGGGAGAGUGCGAAGAAAAAGAAAAAGAAAAGCUUGUCGGCACCAAACCGAACAACUAUUUGCCACACACGUUGCCUCAUCCACAACGGCCUUUGUUCAACGAAUGACCCUACACCCGCCACCUGAAGUGCGCGGAGACCGCCCAUACACUCACCUGCACUCAUCAACUAUUUUUUUAAUAUUAUUUAUAUUUAUUAAAUUAUAAAUUUGGAAAUAAAACACCCUGAUAAAAAAAACCCAAUGAAAUAUACAAAUGCCCUUGGUUUGAACCACAAGUGACUAACUUAGAUAUCUCAAUUUAUGAGAAAGCAGAAUAGUAAACAGGCAAUUAGAGGAACGCCUUGCUUCUCACGUCAAAUGAAAGCAACACCCAAUUGACUAACGAAAGCACUAAAUAUCCCAAUUAAUGAGAAAGCAGACUAGUAAACAGCCUAUUAGAGGAAUUGAAACUAUAUAUCCCAUAUCCCAGUUAAUGAGAAAGCAGACUAAUAAACAGCCUAUUAGAGGAAUUGAAUGAAAGCAAUUGAAUGCAGGAAGAGGGCCAGACUAGUAAACAGCCAACAGUGGGAGUUCUCCUCUAGCACAUAGUUAUUAAACCCGGCCCAGGGGUUGACCCGGCCAAGGGGCCGGGUCCCAGGUUUCAUGGGUCGACCCAGGUCGACCGGGGUCAACCCGGAAAAAUUUAAAAAAAUUAAAGUUUUAAUAUUUUAUAUGAAAAAAUUAAGAAAAAAUCCAUGUAAAUAUAUGUUAUACAUAUUGUAAAUAAUGAAGUUUAAAAGAAUAUUUUAAAAAAAAUUUAUUCUGCAUUAAAAAUAUAUUAUGUUAAGUUUUUAAAUUGAAGUAUUUAAACCAAAAAAUUUUCUUAUCCCACAUUGAAAAAACAUAGUUUUUUUCUUAUGAACAUAGAGUAUAUAUACUAAUGAGUUUCAAAUCCCACAUUGAAAAAAGAUAACUUUUUUCUUGGGAACAUAGAGUAUAUAUACUAAUGUGUUUCAAAUGUCACAUUGAAAAAAGAUAAUUUUUUUCUUGGGAACAUAGAAUAUAUAUAUUAAUGGGUUUCAAAUCCCACAUUGAAAAAACAUAGUUUUUUUCUUGUGAAUAUUGAGUAUAUAUACUAAUGGGUUUCAAAUGCCACAUUGAAAAAAGAUAACUUUUUUCUUGGGAACAUAGAAUAUAUAUACUAAUGGGUUUCAAAUCCCACAUUGAAAAAACAUAGUUUUUUUCUUGUGAAUAUUGAGUAUAUAUACUAAUGGGUUUCAAAUCUCACAUUAAAAAGAUACUAUGUUAUCAUUUUAAGUUUUUUAUCCCACAUUGAAAAAACAUAAUUGUUUUCUUGGAAACACAAAGUAUAUAUACCAAUGGGUUUCAAAUCUCACAUUUGAAAAAAAAAACACUGGUUCUCACCCGGGUCGCCCAGGUCACGGGUUGACCCACUAGGUUUGAACGGGUCGUUGCACUGACCGGUCUUUUGACAAACUUGGACCGGUCCAACUCCCGGGUCGGCCGGGUCCCGGGUCAACCGGCAAGGUCAGGCCGGGUUUAAUAACACUGCUCCAGCAUGUGAAACCGAGGAGCCGUGAGGAAUGCGACACUCUUCCAAAUUAUCCCUUAAAAAUUUGGCAUUAAUCUUUAAAAAUAUAUGAUUUCAUCGAUUCAGGAAAAAUUGGACAUUAGUCCCUAAAAUAAAUAAUUUCAUCAAUUUUUGAAAAAUAUGAUAUUAAUUCUUAAAAAUAGGAGAUUUCAUUGAUUUAGAAAAAACAAUUAACAUUAAUCCCUAAAACUAGGUGAUUUUCUCGAGAUAUAUGUGUUUGUGUGUGUGUGUGUGUGUAUAGAACAUUUAUAUAUAUUUUAAUCCAAUAUAAUAUAUACAUAUCUCAAUAUUGAUAUAACACACACACACACACACACACAUACAUGUAUAAUAUUAUUCAUUUUAUCAUUUAUUACAUGUAUACAUAUUUCAAAUAUAUCUAUUACUAUUUUAUUUUUUGUUGAAUAUUAAAUAACAGUAGAACAAUGGUUACCAAUAUAGAUAUACUCGAAAUCUAAUGAAUAAAGUAUGAAUAUCUGAAUUUUUUACUUGAUGAAUAAUAGGUAGGGUAUAUAUAUAAAAAAACUUAACAUGUAGAUAUCCAUUGGGAUUAUACAUAAUUUCAAUAUAUAAAAUCAAUGCAUUAAUUCAUUUAUUUUUCUUUUACAAAGAUAAAAUGAUGAUAAAUGCAAAAUAUAUAUAUGUUUUUAAUUCUUUUACAUUAUGCUUUUAAUGUGUUUUAAUCUUAUUUGAGCUGAUUGAAAGUAAUUUUAUGAGUUUGGCAUGCCUAAAAGACUUGGUGAAUUAAUUGCUAAAAGAUAAAAAAAUUCUGCAUUUUAUGUUUCGAACCUUGGUAUUUCUGACAUCUUUUUCACCAUGUUGGAGUUACAGAAUAGGAACGUGGCUUAAUCAAAGUUGAACUACACAUAUCCAGCUUUCCAGGAAGGUAUUAUGGGAAGAAAUCUGAUCUUAUUUGAACAUCUAAUCAGACCUGCAAAAUCGAGCCAGAAUUCUAUUUGUAGCAGAAUUCUCUGUUUUCACAUUAGAUAUUCAAAUAGAUAUAUCUUGAGUUUCAGAUAUCGCAAUCAGACUAUUCAAAAGCCCAAAUUCAUCUACACAUCCAGGGAUACAACUUUUAUGAAGGACUCCAGAUCUGAUAAAAUUAUUUUCAAGAUGAAAAUCCUGAUGCAAGCUAGAUGACAAGUUUUGUCUCUUGAUCUGAUGAGAAACUAACAAGAUGAGAGUCCUAUCUUUUAAAGAAAAUCUGAUGGGAUCAGAUAGAUAUUCUUUAUAGCUUCUUACCUCCUAGUCUUUAGCCUUGAUAUUUUAUCAUGAAGGCUGCCUCUUAGGAUCAACGUGACAAAGCAACGAGGAAAAAAGCGUUCUUUGCCAAAAAAAAAUUUAAAGAGUUCAUCUUCGCUGCUGGAAUUUUCAAAGACCAUGAGCAACUAAUUCUCAAUUUCGGUUCAAGGGGAAUAGACACCUUCUCCAUUAUCAAGUUGUGAGAAAUAACAUUAUCAUUGUAAUUAUUUCAGACUCAAGUACUUAUUUUUUUUUUUAAGAAUUAUGUUAUUGAUUUAUGUUCAAGAUAAUUGAAUUGUUUUGAGAUGACAUGUAUGAUUUCUAGUUUCUUUCAAUUCAUAAUUGUUGUUGGGGACUAAAGUUAGAAGCAAAAGAAUUAAUUUGAUUGUUGCAACUCUCAUCUUAAAUUAUUUGGAAAGAAUAAGUUAAGUUAAAUUGUCAAGCUUUUGAAGGAUUGUUUAGUAUAAAUCUGACAGCCUUUUCUCUUAAGGCUAUUGUCAAAUGAAUGAGAAUUGCUUUUCAAUAUUACAUUUGUUUGAUAGUAAGAAAUUGAUUAAAAAGCUUUGUCUAAUUAAUUUACUGAUAGUCUCAUCGAUUCCUCGUAGUUUUAAGGAAUAUCGAAUUUAUUUGCUUGAUUUGAAAGAACAUUUAUUUUUACUUUGAUGAUUAAUAAAUUUAUAGGAAUGGAUGUAUGGACCCUUUGAACUGAGUUAAUAACAUAUCAAUUUAUCAAUUUUAUUUUUAGAAUUUUGUUUCUUUAAUUAUUCAAAUCCUCCACGUUUUAUUUAUUUUAGUUUCUUGUAGGAAGAUUAAAUAAAAUUUUCUUUAAAGAUGAAAACAGAAGAUUGGUCAAAAGGAAGGUAUGUUUUUUCAAAGAAGAACAAGGAAAUAAAAUAUUCUCAUUUGACUGUAAUUUUAUUUCAUAUUUUUUUCCUAAAUUGCUAGAUAUACUUAAAAUUUCCGAAUGAGGCUUCUGCGGAUUUUACAUGAACUGGCUAACUACUCCAACUUCAUAUGUAAUAUCUGAUCGUGUCAAGAUUAAGUAGAUAAGACUACCUAGUAUUCGUCAAUACAUAAUUGUAUUGCUUCAAACCUUUUAGCCUAUAUAAAGAUCAUUAUAUGUUUGUAGUAAGUUAUUUGAAUAAAAUUAAAUUAUACAUGUUUUUUUUUACAACUCAUAUACAAUAAAUUAAAACAAAUAUUAUAUAUUGUUAUAUUAAUUUUGGCCCCCCCUAACAAAUAAUCCUAGCUCCGCCCCUGCUUAGUUGUGCAUAAUUUUCCUUGAACCUUUAUCAGGGUAGAGACAGACUUGCGAUUGAGGAUUCCAUAUCUUUAUAGUAAAUCUUUUUGUAUACUGAUGUUGGCUAGAAAUAAAUGACUUUGUUCACUCAACUUCAAGUCCAAGGAAAUGUUUAAGCUCUCCAAGCUCCUUCAUUUGAAAACGGGCUGCUGAAUUUUCUCUUAUUUGACCGAUUUCCUUGGUAUCGUCUCUAGUAACAAUGAGAUCAUCUAUAUAGACCAUUAUUACUGCUAUUUCUCCUCGAUUUUUAACAGACAAGUUUGAAUCUGAUGAAGCCAUUGAGUAGCCAUUUUGUAUUAGAAACUCUUACCAUACCACGUCAUUUUAGCUUGUUUUAACCCACACAGGGCUUUCUUUAGCUUGCAUACUUGUUCAGGAUAAAUUUUCCUUUGAAACCCUUGCGGCUGCUCUAUAUAUAUAUAUAUAUAUAUAUAUAAUAGAGAUAUUAUUGAUGGAAUCAAUUUACCGUUAAGGCUAUCGUAAACUAGAAUUCAAAAUAUUAAGAGAUGUACAAAAAGAAGUAUUGACAAGCUCCUAAACCAAUAACACUUUACUUAUUAGUUCAUGAUAAAAUGUUGUCAGCGCCUCUAAUUAAAUCAUUUUUUGUGUAUGUAAAGUUAAUGUUGCAAGCCUUUAACCAAAGUGUAAGAUGGUGGAGAAUGAGUUGAAACUGUGCAUUCUAAUCUGGCAUCUUAUCCUUAAAUAUGAGCUUGUUCCUUGCAAUCCAAAUACCCCAUAAAAUGCCAUACGAUAGCAUCAUUAAGGCACUUCGCUGAAACUUGCCUUUUGCCAUGUCUCGCCAUUGGCUGAUGAUUUGAUCUAUUCUAUUCAGCAUGCACCUAGAAAUGCCAAACCAAUUAUGAAAUUGUUGCCACAGUCUCCACGUGUGGUAGCAAUGGAGGAAAAGAUGAUUAUCAUGUGUUGGGAAAACUAGGGACAACUAACCGGAUCAAUUCAGCGGAAUACAAUUCACAAUUUACAAGUCCCAAUCCUUUUUCCCUCUCUGUGCAGUAAAAACAGAAUCAAACAAUGAAUAAAUAUAAUGCAACAAUCACACAAAUCAACACCAAGAUUUUUACGUGGAAAACCCGAUACGGGAAAAACCACGGGACCGGAGUCCACCUAAAAACUUCCACUAUCACAAAUAAUGGGUUCACAAUUGUUCUUCCUCAGAUUCAACUAAGGGCUACAACAAAUAUAUCAUCAAGAACAACUUAUUCUCGGAUUACAACAAGAUUAAAGAGAGUAAUGUUAGAGAAAAGCUCACAACACUGACAGCCCCGUUUUCUGUCAAAACGAUCAGCUUUCACACCACCAAUAUUCAAUCCAACCGUUCAGAAUGAAGAGUAACGUGUCUAGAAGCUGCUGUCCAAAUCUCAGCCCGAUCCAACGGUGAACGAACUGGAAAUAAAAGAAAGAAGACAGACUGCUCUGCUGCCUCCUCUUCUUUCUUUCUCUCGGUUUUUCUCUGCUCUCUUGUUCAAAUUUUGCUACUACCUCUACAGUGGUAGUUUCAUUUUAAUUUAAACCAAAGAGGCAGCCAGCUGCCUCCUUAAUUAAUGUGGUGGUCCCCCCAUCACAUGGUGCGGGACCACACAACAAAUCUCCCCCUCACGCACCAUGUGAGGAAUUCGCCAUACUGGCGAUCAACAUGUAAGCUUCAAUUUAGGAGGCUCUGACAAGCCUGCCUCCCUUCUGCAAAACUCAAACUUCUCUCUCGGUAGAGGUUUGGUCAUCAUGUCUGACACGUUGUUAUCAGUAUGGAUCUUCUCAACAACAAAUGACUUCAUCUCCAUAGCAUCUCGAAUCCAUUGAUAUCUAACCUCAAUGUGCUUUGAUCGAGAGUGAAAAGUAGGAUGCUUACUGAGAUGGAUUGCACUUUGACUAUCACAGUGCAACACAAAGUUCUCUUGAACUAGGCCAAGUUCAUGUAGGAACUUCUUCAUCCAUAACAACUCUUUGCCCCCUUCAGUAAAAGCAAUAUAUUCAGCCUCUGUAGUGGAUAAUGCCACACAUUUUUGCAACCUUGAUUGCCAUGAGACUGCUCCCCCUGCAAACUUCAUCAAGUAUCCUGAUGUGGACUUUCUAGAAUCAACAUCACCAGCCAUAUCUGCAUCUGUGUAUCCAUCCAACACAGGUUUAUCAUUACCAAAACAUAAGCUGAAACUAGAAGUACCUUUGAGAUACCUGAGUAUCCAUUUCACUGCUGACCAGUGUUCUUUACCAGGAUUGGAGAGGAACCGACUGACCACACCAACUGCAUGAGCUAUAUCCGGCCUUGUGCAAACCAUGACAUACAUCAAGCUACCAACUACAGAUGCAUAAGGAACCUUUUUCAUCUCAUCUCUUUCUUCAUCACUUGAAGGACACUGCUUAGAACUUAGUUUAAAGUGGCUUGCAAGUGGAGAACAAACCGGUUUGGAUUGCUCAUGUUGAAUCUCUCAAGUACCUUUGGAACAUAUCUCUCCUGAGAUAGCCAAAGUUUCUCCUUCUUCCUGUCACGUGUGAUCUUCAUGCCAAGAAUCUGUUUUGUCGGUCCUAAGUCUUUCAUUGCAAAAGACUUGCUUAACUCUUCCUUCAAAAUCUGAAUCUUCUUAGCAUCAUGGCCAACAAUCAACAUAUCAUCCACAUACAAUAGGAGAAUAAUAAAGUUUCCAUCUGGAAACCUUUUCAUAAAUACACAAUGAUCAGAAGUGGUCCUGUCAUAACCAUGAUCCACCAUAAAAGAAUCAAACUUCUUAUACCACUACCUUGGAGCUUGCUUUAACCCAUAUAGGCUCUUUUUCAACUUGCAAACUAGCUGCUAUUUACCUUUUGCUUCAAACCCUUCAGGCUGUUCCAUGUAGAUCUCUUCAUCUAAAUCACCAUGGAGAAAGGCAGUUUUCACAUCAAGUUGCUCAACUUCAAGAUUCAAACUAGCAGCUAAGCCAAGCACAACUCGGAUUGAAGACAUCUUGACCACUGGUGAAAAGAUUUCUUCAAAAUCAAUACCCUUCUUCUGACCGAAGCCUUUCACAACCAAUCUUGCCUUGUACCUUGGUUGUGAGCAAUGUUUAUCAAUUUUCAACCUGAACACCCAUUUGUUCUUGAGUGCUCUCUUACCUUUAGGAAGCUUCACUAACUCAAAAGUAUGGUUUUCAUGCAAGGAUUUCAUCUCUUCUUGCAUUGCUUGCAACCACUCACUUUUCUUCUCAUGUGACAUGGCUUCAUCAAAGCAUUCUGGCUCUCCCCCAUCAGUAACUUGCACAUACUCAUGAGGAGAAUAUUUGGUGGAAGGUUGGCGAGGUCUGGUUGACCUCCUUAAUUGUGGCUCAUCUGGAGCUUCCUGUAUAACCUGCUCAGGAAUAACAUCAAUAUCAUCAUUAGUUGAUUCAUGAUCACCAACUAAUGGCUCAAUAAGAAAACCACCAUUAUCAUCAUUUUGCAAAUCUCCCCCAUGAUUAGCAAGCAUCAAAGGUAACUGUGGAGUAGGUCUUGGAUUUGAAUUAGAUGGAAUAAAAGUAGUAGACUCUGUUUUCUCCUUCAGUUCAAAGUCUUCAAUGGUUUGAUCUUCAAAGAAGAUAACAUCUCUGCUUCUCACAAUUUUCUUCUCCUUUGGAUCCCACAACCUAUAGCCAAACUCAUCAUCUUCAGAUCCCAAGAAAAUACACUGCUUUGUCUUGCUGUCAAGCUUGGACCUUUCAUCCCUUGGAACAUGUACAAAUGCUCUGCAUCCAAACACUCUCAAGUGUGCAUAGGAAACAUCCUUUCCUUUCCAAACUCUAUCUGGAACAUUAAACUCAAGAGGAACUGAUGGAGAAAGGUUGAUCAUGGCAACUGCAGUCUUCAUUGCCUCACCCCAAAAGGACUUAGGCAGCUUUGCAUGAGAGAGUAUACAUCUAAUUCUUUCAACAAUGGUUCUGUUCAUUCUCUCAGCCACUCCAUUCUGCUGUGGAGUCUUAGGAACUGUCUUCUCCAACUUGAUACCCUGUUCCCUGCAGUACUUAUCAAAAGGACCUCUGUAUUCACCACCAUUGUCUGCUCGAACACAUUUAAGCUUUCUACCAGUUUCUCUUUCAACUCUGGCAUGGAAAUCCUUAAAGACAUCAAGCACCUGAUCUUUGGAUUUCAAACAAGUGGCCCAAAUCUUCCUGGAGUGAUCAUCAAUAAAACUAACAAAGUACAAUGCACCUCCAAGAGACUUAUCAAUCAUAGAGCAAACAUCAGUAUGAACUAAAUCAAGAACAUGUGACCUUCUAUGUGAAGGUGAUCUUUGAAAUGCAACUCUAUGUUGUUUACCAACUAAACAAUGAGUACAUGUGUUCAAGUUCAUACCUUUCAAUGGAAGGUAGUUCUUCUUGGCAAGGAUGCCAAGGCCUUUCUCACUCAAAUGUCCAAGCCGCUUAUGCCAUAGAUCAGUAGAGCAAUCUUCAAUUGCAUUCACCUCCCCUUUGAUCACCUUGGCUUGUGACAUGUAGAGACCCAUCUUCUUCCCUUUAGCAACAAUUAGGGAAUUUCUGGAGAGCUUCCAUUUACCAUCUCCAAAGUAACUAUGAUAGCCUUCUUCAUCAAGAGUACCUGUAGAGAUUAAAUGUAGGCGCAUAUCAGGCACAUGCCUAACAUCUUUGAGUAGCAACUUGCACCCAGUAUUGGUUUCCAACCAAAUAUCUCCAAUGCCCACAACACUAGCCAUCCCUUGAUUUCCCAUCCUAACUUGACCAAAGUCACCAGCAGUGUAGGAUGUGUAAAAAUCACGUCGGGGUGUAACAUGGUAAGAAGUUGCUGAAUCUGCAACCCAGGUGGUAUCUUGACAUGCAAGAUUAACACAGCCAUCAUCACACACAAUGGCAACAUCACCAUCAGAUACAACUGCAGCUGUACCAUUGUCUUCAUUCUUGUCUUCAUCUCUACCCUUUUUAUCUCUUUUAUACUUUCUGCAAUCUUUUUGCAUAUGUCCAGGCUUGUCACAAUAAUAACACUUGAAACCCUUUCUUGACUGAGAUCUUCCUCUUGGCUUCCAUUUGCCUUUUCUAUUGCUGAAUUCUCUAUCUUGCUUGUCAUGAGAGAACCUGCUUUGACUUCUCCCUCGACUUUCUGUAACAAGUGCAUGAGACUCGGAAAUGCUUGUCCCUUUCCUCCUCUUCUCUUCAUUGAGGAUACAAUCCUUCACUGUUUUCAAAGUGUGACCUCCACUACCACUGAGCUGAGAUGUACUCCCUCAUAUCCAGCAAGCAUGAUGAAGAUGUUGUGGACAAGGAAAAUAGGCAUGGAUAAAGAUCUUUUAACAUCCCACCACAUAACCAUUUGUCUGUCUAGAAAUGGAUGUGUCUGCCAUUACCAACCCGAUACCAACAAUUGUUCUUCAAAGCCUCUCCAUGUACAGAGUUUGUGCUGUUGAGAGAAUUUAUGGAUUGCCAUGUUUCUGAAAGAGGUGGAUGAAGAGUUGAUAGGCCAUUAGUGAAGGAAGCUUGAUACUUUUUACUGAUAAGCUCUUGCCAGCCUCCUAGAUUAUUAUCUCGUAGCCUUCAUAGCCAUUUAAAUAGCAACGCCUUGUUCUUGCCUUCUAGUGAACCAAUGUCUAAACCUUCUCUAUUCUUUCCCCUGACCACUAUCUGCCAUGCAACUUUAUAAAUUUUCUGAUCUUUUGAAUCCCCACACCAUAAGAAUCUCCUCUUAAUUGAAGUAAUGACCUUAGCAACUCUCUUUGGCAUAAGAAACAAAGACAUGUGAUAUAAGGGGAGGGUGGAUAACACUAUUUUAAUAAGACACAUUCUUCUUGCCAUACUUAAUAAGCAUCCUUUCAACAGGCAUAGUCUUGUAUGAAUGCUAUUUAUUAUAGGUUUCUAAGUGGAGAGUUAUUUCGGAUUUGCUCCCAAGUAAAGUCCCAUUUGCAAUAUAUUGCAUUUUUCAUUCCUGUCGUAUAUUCAUCAUCUAAAUUGAUUCCAACCAGUGAAUUUUUAUGGAAGUUGACUUUCAGACCUGAAGCCAACUCAAACCACCUCAAAUUCCUUUUAGCGGUUGAUAUCGAAUGGAAGUCGUUAGGACUAAACACUAAGGUAUCAUCUACAUAUUGCAAAUGACUCAAAUGCAUGCCAUUUCCACAAUUAAUUCUUUUACACAAGCCAUAAUUUGAAGCUCUCUUGAACAGAACUGAUAACCCUUCCACAGCUAUGUCAAAAAGAAAAGGCGAUAGUGGGUUGCCUUGACAUAGACCACGGUGGACUCCAAACUCCAUGCUUGGUGAACCAUUAAUAAGAAUUGAUAACUUAAAUCCCAUAAUGCAUUCAUGGAUUAGAGAAAUCAACCUCUGCUCAAAGCCCAUAUACGACAUCAUUUCCUCUAGAUACUCCAUAUUAUAGAAUGUGUGUGUGUGUGUGUGUGUGUAUAUAUAAGAAAUAUUAUGGGCACUAUUCUAGUGUUGUAAUCUCUACCUUUACUAUUAUAAAUUGCCCUACACAUAUAAAUAGAAAAUGAUUGGAUAACUAAUAGGUUAAGCCUCCUACUUCUUCUCAACUCUCCCAAACAACUUAUUCAAAAGCCUUAAGAAAGUCCACUUUCAUAACAAAACCAUGCUGCCCACUUUUCUUAACACUGAGUACAACUCCAUUUUCCAUCAUGAAACCAUCUAAAACCUACCAGAGAUGAAAGUUGUCUGGUUAGCACUAAUAAUGCUAGGCAUAACCUGUCUCAAUCUGUUGGAUAACAAUUUUUCAAUAAUUUUGUACAAGUCAUGCACUAAACUUAUCGGCCUAUACUCUGAAAACUUAGUAGGCAGUUUAGUCUUUGGGACCAAAGCUACAUGAGAGACAUUAACCCCCUUUAGAAAUUUUCCAAGCCUGAAAAAUUCAUGUACAAUGUAAAAAAUAUCAUCCCUAUCAGAUGCCAUGCUAUCUUGUAGAAGGUGAACGUAAACCCGUCAGGUCCUAAAGCUUUGGUCCCAUCACAACUCCAAAUUGCUUGCUUGACCUCUUCGAUAGUUACCUCUUAUUCUAGUUGUUGAACUUGUUAUGUGAAGAGUUUAGUGAACCCAAGUGGUCUCAUUGUAGCUCUAUCAGUAGUGUCAUUAGUGAACAGACUUGAGAAGGAUGACGUUGUCGCCUCCUUAAUGUCUGCUGGAGAGGUAUGUAGUUUAUCAUUAUAUCUGAUUUGAUUAAUAAAGUUUCUGCCUUUUCGAGUCUUAGCUGUCAAGUGGAAGAAUUUUGUGUUUUUACCCCUAAGCUUGCACACCAGGUCUAUCGUGAUUUUUUAUGCCAGAUUGAUUCCACACACUUGCAUCCCACUGCUUGGAUCGUAAUGUUUGUAGCUCAGAAAUUUCAUCAUUGUUAAGUUGUAUAUCCUCUGUUAUGUUCUCAAUGGUCUGGAUUUCAUGCUGAAGAUGUAGCAGUUUUAAGUCUUGAUUGUCGAACUCUUGGUUGUUCUAAAUUCUGAGUUUUGUAGCCAUAAAUGCCAUCUUUUUAACUAAUUGAACUCUCCCAUCAAACUUAAUGUCAUACCUGAACAUCACGGUGAUCGAUCAAAAAUAUUUUCUAAUGAAAAAAAAAAGAACAGAUAUCUAACAUCUUGUUCUUUUGGGGAAAAUGGUCUAGUUUAAGAAGUCGUCACCUAAUAUUAUGAUCACUAUGAACUUUAAUUAGUCAACAAAGAUUUUUUGGUACGGGACUAGUUACGCGAAAGGAAAUAUAUUAUUACGUCUUAAGCGUUCUACUUAAGGUAAGCCGCAUUACUGGUUUUGUUUUAAAUUGCUAAAGGUUUGUUUUUGUUCUGUUCUUAUGGUCUUCCUAUGAUAUUCCUGACUCUGACGUCAAUGAAUAUUCGCCUAUGAAUAUUUUCAACUUUGGUGUUGGUAAAUAUUGCGUAACCCAAAAAAUACGGUAUUCUUGACUCUAACACCAGUAAAUAAAUUCACAAAAUUCUGCAUUAAAAGAAACAGAAAUUAUUUUUUUUCUUUUUUAUCAUUUUUUUUGUUAUUUAUGUAGCCUGGUCUCAAAACUUAAAAAGGGGUCGGGUCACUGGUCCAAACCAGUGACCCGGCUGGCCACUGUUGCAUGCAUGUGUGAAUGGUUCACGCAUGCAUGCAACAGUAACCAGUUAAUUAUUUUAGCAAGCAAGGAAGGAAACUUACUUGGGCGUGCUGCUGCUGGAGCCGAAGUCAAGGGAGACGGUUGGGCGCUGCUCACGAUUGUCAAUCCAACAUGCUGCUCAUGAUGAAGUUGGGGUGUUGUCACGGAGGAGAUCUUCCAAACUGUUGCGGCACUUGAAGAUGAAGAUGACGAUGAUGGAGGGCUGGCCUACUGAAACCAUCUUCUUCUCCUCUGUUUUCCUUUCGUUCUUCCCUUGGUCUUCUUUCUGUGCUCUCCUUGUCUGUACUGUGCUCGUCCGUUUUCCUUCUCUCUCACUGGUUCUUUUUAUGCUUGUGCUGAGGACGUACGGAUGUCUACAACCGUGGCUGAAGAGAAACAACUGUUGUUGCUCACGGUGGUUGCUGCUCAAGUCACUGAAAUUCGUGUUGCCACUACUGAGAAGAGAAGGCUGCUGCUGGAAAUGCAAGGGUGUAGCUGAUGCUGAUGGCUGUUGUUUUAGGCGAGGAGGAAAGGAAAGACAGUAACUACUAGAAAAUUGAUAAAUACAAACAAAAAUUUUGAGGGAAUAACAGUGGGGAAAAAAAUUAAAACAAAGAAAAAAAAAUGAUGACGUGUUAUUUUUACUAACGGAAUUACCAAUGGAAUAAAUCUCGUCGGUAAAUUUUGUUGGUAAAAUCGUUGGUAAACUGUAAACACUAUUCAUCAUGUCAAUUACAAAGGGAAUCAUCGACGGAAACUUCCAUCGGUGGUAUUUUACAGGAGAGCUCUAGAACUAUUCACUUCCCAAUUGCACUGUUAAAUAUUAUUCUUUACAGACAAAAUCACCGACGGAUUGAAAAGUUAUCGGUGUUAUAUGACGGUUUUCUAAAAAAUCUAGCUUAAAUUAAAUAUUACCAGACGGAUUUUUUUUUAAUUGGUAUACUUUAUGAAUUUUGUUUCUCUCUUAUUAUCUUCACUUGCAACUACAUUAAGGUAAAAAACAAUUUCUUCUUUUUUCGUGUUUUUUUCACAAUAUUUGUUUUUUAUUUUAUUUUAAUUGUUUUUGUUCGUAAUAAUUGUUUGAAUAUUAUUGUAGGAUUUCUUUUUUCAUAUGAGAUCAAUUUUCAGUUGAUUUAUUUAUAGGAUUUUUAAAAAAAAAUUCAUAUGAAUUUUUUUAGUUGAAUUUAUUUGUUUGUGUUGUUUAUUUGUUGCAAAUUUGUUUGAGUUGAUUUUCUUCUUUUUUUCCAAGCAUUUUGAGUAUUAUAGAGUUUUGAUUAAUAUUAAUUUAAUUAUUUUAUAGUUUUGUAAAAUAAAUUUUUAAAAAAUAUUUUUAAAUAAUUACCGACGGAAUUAUAUACAGUAUUUUUCCGAGGGAAUUACCGACGGAAUGAAGUGGGUAAAAAUUUUUUUGCUUGUUUUUUCCAUCAGUAAAUCCAUCGGUAAUAAUAUUUUUUUAUUACCAACGGACUUACCGACAAACAAAAAAUUACUGACGGAGCAUUUCCGUCGGUGAUUUUGUUGGUAAAUUAAUUACCAACGGAAUAGUAGUGCAAAUACCGACGGAAAAUUUCAUCAAUAAAUUUAAAGAUUGUUUUAGUGGGUCCCCUCUGAUGUUGCUAUUGGCUUGCAUUUAAUUUAUCCCGGUUGCUGGAGUUGUUGAUGACGUUGUUGCUAAUCUUGACUGCAACCAACAUUGGGGAUGGAGCUCACAGUUGGAGGCAACGCUAUUGAUGGCUGAGGAUGGAGUCCUGCUGUUGUCAACAUGAACUAGCUUUACUGCCGUAUUUCUCAUAAAGGGGAGCCAACCUUGAGGGAUAGGGAUGAUGCUGUUGCUGUGGCGCAGAGAAGAAGUUCCUGCUGGACUGGAGGGAAAGAGGAGACGAAGGCCUCUCCUGCAACACCGGAUGAAAGCCUAUAUGGUGGCUAGUAUAGGGUUCGCCGCUACCUCUUCUCUUUCUUUUUUAUGUUUCUCUCUUUAAGGGUUUCUGAUAAUAGCCUCUCAUUAAGUUUGAAUUUGAUUAACAAUCAAAUUUGAAAACGAAUAAUUAACUUUAUCUUGAAGAUAAGAAUAAAAUAACAAAAACAUAUUGUAGUAUCUAAUUUUCAUAUAAAAGUUGAUAAAAAUUUUUUAUUAAAAUAUCUUUGAUAUUUUAAUUUUACCUUUUAAACCCUAUAAAAUUAAAUAAAAAACCAACAUGUCAAAGUUUCUCCAUGAAUAGAGGUUGGGAUACCCAGCAACUUAGAAAACGAAAUGGCUCCCAUCCCCACGUUUGGCAUUGCUGUCCUAAAAUAAUUGGACAGUGGUCAGACAACCCUCGUGGCAAACGACUCAUGAGAAGAAGGCCUGAGAAUUUUAAAUGGCAGUCUGGAGUGGCAAAGGCUCUAUCAAUUCUACUCAUUGAGGUGGCAUGAAAUCGUGUGUAUCGGUGGCCACUGAGGGAAUACUCCAAAAGGUUAGAGCUUGAGAUGAAACGUUUGAAAUCUGCAGACCCAAUUGCAUUCGAAAACCCACUAUUCCUUUCAUAUUGAUGCAAAGUUUCAUUGAAGUCCCCAACAAUGAACAUAGGUGUGCAAAUGCAGCUUGUAAGAUAAGAAGAUAAUCCCACAGUUCACGCCUCUCAUGUACUGUGGUUCCGGCGUAGACUCCUAUUAUUGCACAAUUAAAUUGCUUCUCCACGUGUUAGACCAAGAAGCGCUACCCAUUGCCCACCAUAUUCGAUUGACUAUCUAGAGCCUUCCGUGAAAUUGCAGGAAUGCAUUAUUUACAUCCAUUUACCAUAGCUUCUACGGAUUUUUAGCUGUUAAUGCAAUUAAUAUUCUCACAAUAGUUAUUUUUGCUACUAAACUGAAUAUUUCAUCAUAAUCUAAUCCAUACUGCAAGAACCCUCGAGCUACCGAACUUGCCUUAUAUAUUUUGAUCGAUCCAUCUGGACAUGUCUUCACCUUGUAACCCAUUUAUAAGAUAUGUGCUUCACGUCUAUAUAGGCUUCGACACUAAGUCUCAUGUCCGAUUUUCCAUUAGAGCAUGGAUCUCCUCAUCCAUUUCUUUCUUUCAUUCACUACUCUGUGAUACUUCUUCUUAAGUCAUAGGCUCUAUAACCUAAGCUUUCAAAGCUAAUGUUAUGUUAGCAUAUUUUGGAUUUAGUUUCCGUUGUCUCCUUGACCUUUUCACUUAUGACUGAUGUGUACCUUGUUCUUAAACUUUUGCUAUCUUGGUUACUCUUCUUUCGAAGAUAUUUGAUGAACACUAGUUUUCCAGGGGCUUGCUCGCAUUAUAGGAUUUUCUUGAUCAUCAAAUGUUGUAGACUCCUCCAUUUUUCAAGGUAUUUGUUACAUAUUUUAAGAUAUGAUUUAUAUUAUUUUCUAACACACCCCUUCAAGUGAAAGCCAUUUGAGCUUGAAACUUGCACAUGUUCACACCACAUUAUGCUUGAUUUUUAUCAAAUAAAUGGAGAUGAUGAGAUUUGAACUCGUGAUCACUUGGUCAUCAAGGCUCUGAUACCAUAUCAAAAAACCAAUUCAACCCAAUAGCUUAAACUGUUAGGUAAAGUUUCAAAUAUGAUUUAUAUUAUUCUCUAACACACCUUCACCUUUUCUAUUGGCCACUAGGAAGUUGCUUCAUCAAACAUGACCUUCCUCGCAGUGGUGGAGCCAAGAUUUUUUAAAUAAGAGAGCAAAUUACUAGCAAAUAUUUGAUAUUAUAUGCUAUACAAACAUGUGUUAUAUAAAGAAAUUAAUUUGAAAUAUAUGUACCAACUCAAGUCAAGUAAAAUUAAUUUAAGAAUACUUUUAAAAUAAAAAAACUUUAUAAUUGUUCUCUUCGAGAUUUUAUAUUUUAAACUGCUUUAUAAUGAUUUUAUUUUUAAUUUUUAUUUUUAAUCUCAUUAAAAAUAUCUUUCUCAAUAUAUACAAUAAACUUUCAUUUAUCUAUUUCUAAAUCUUCUAAAGACUAGGAAAGUUCUUGGCAACAAUUCUAUGUUGACAUAUAGUACAUAACAUCUAAAAUCAUAGCUUAAAAAGAUUGUCACAAAUUGAUGUUGUUCUUGCUAACUUAUUGUUUUAUACAAAUGGAUUAAACAUAAAUAUUAAAUGUUUUAUUUUUAAUUUAUAUAUUAUGAUAAUUUUUUGAAUUGUCUUGUAUUUUAUUUUUAAUCACUAGUAAAUUCAUCAUCAUCAUUUUUCAUAUGAAAUUCAUAGCAAAAUACUUAUCAAUUCAUCAAAACUCAUUUCAAUUCAUAUCUAUUAACAUAUAAUAUUACCCAUACACGUAUUAAUUCAACAAACCCAUAAAUUAUUAUAAACCCCAACAUUUUCAAUAACUAAUUAUAAAGAAAUAAAACUAAAAUUAGAUAAUGAAACAAAUAGAAAAAAUGAAGGAAAUAAAUUAGAUAAUGAAACAAAUAGAAAAAAUGAAGGAAAUUUUCCUUAAAUAUAAGAGGUUUGAAGAAAAAUUUUGUAGAAGAGAGAAAGACAUGGACAAUAAUGAAAAAAGAAAAAGAGUUUGGAUUAAUUAGUAGCUAAUAAAAAAAAUUAACCCUGUAAAGCUAUAAUAUUAAUAUUUUAAUAUAAAAAGAUACUUUAAAAAAAAAGAGAUUAAAGGGGCAAUUGCCCUCUCUUGAUCUAUUGUGGCCACUACACUACAAGAUUUAACAGUUUUACCAACGGAAUUUUUCCGUCGGCGUAAGACACAUAUUCCGUCGGUAAUUAAUUUUCCGACGGAAUCACAGACGGAAAUGCUCCGUCGGUGAAUCUUUCGUCGGUAAUUAUUUUUUCGUCGGUAAAUCUGUUGGUAAUAAAAAAAUAAAUUUAUCCGCUUCAUUUCGUCGGUAUAUCCCUCGGUAAUAAUAUUUUUUUAUUACCAACGGAUUUACCGAUGGAAUUGCCGUCGGUAAUUCCAUCGGUAAUUAUUUAAAAACAUUUAAAAAAAUUCAUUUUAUAAAAUUAUAAAAUAAUUAAAUUAGCAUAAAUUAACACUGUAUAAUAUAUACUCAAAAUGCUUGGAAAAAGAAUAAGAAAAUCAACUCAAACAAAUUUGCAACAAAUAAAUAAAAUGAAAAAAUAAAUUCAACUAAAAAAUUCAUAUGAAAAAAAUAAAGAUGCAAUUGCUAAAAAUUUAAAAAUCCUAUAAAUAAAUUAACUAAAAAUUGAUCUCAUAUGAAGAAAAAAUCUCACAACAACAUUUAUACAAUUAUUAAGAACAAAAACAAUUAAAAAUAAAAUAAAAAACAAAUAUAGUGAAAAAAAUCAUGAAAAAAGAAGAAAAAAAAUCUUACCUUAAUGUAGUUGCAAGUGAAGCUAAGGAGAGAAAAAAAUAUUUCGUUAAGCAUAUUAAUUAAAAAAAAACUAAGAGGAUAAAAGAAGAAAGAAGAAGAAGACAUACCCAAGCAUGAAGGAAAAGAGAAGGAGAUGAGGAGAGAAAAGAAGAGAAAGAAAUAUAUAUUGAUGUUUUUUACAUAUAGCGAAGAAGAAGAAGAAGAAGAAGAAGAAGAAGUAGAAGAACAAGAAGAAGAAAUGAGUCUGUCUCUUGUGAAAUAAGGGGAUUCAUGCUUUUUAUUGGGGCGCGUUACCGACGGAUUUACCGACGGAUAAUUGAAUAUUAAUAUUUUUUAAUUAUUCCGUUGGUAAUUCCAUCGGUAAUAUUUAAUUUAAAUUUUCAAUUUCAUAAAAAUUUUUCAGAAACCGCCAACAAUUACCGACGGUUUUUCAAUCCGUCGGUGAUUCCGUCUGUAAUAUUUAAAUGAAAAUUUUAAAUUAAUUGAAUUUUUUCAGAAAACCGCCAAAUAACACUCUCUGGAAAAUACCGACGGAAAAUUCCGUCAGUGAUUCCCUUUGUAAUUGAGAUGAUGAACAGUGUUCACAGUUUACCGACGGAAUUACCAAGGGAAUUUACCGACGGAAAAUUCCGUCGGUAUUUCCGUCGGUAAUUCCGUUGGUAAAAAUGACACGUCAUCUUUUUUUUUUUGCUUUGUUUUAAAUUUUUUUCCCACGGUAAUUCCGUCGGUAUAUACCGAGGGAAUAUUUCCGUCGGUAAAAUCCCUCGGAAAUUUACCGAUGAAAAUAUUCCCUCGGUAUUUCUGUUUGUAUUUAUCAAUUUUCUGGUAGUGGGCUCCGUCACUGCUUUCUCGAUACCAUACAUUUUAUUGGUACUGGGAUUGCAACAUUUCCAUGCUUUUCGUUGCUCAUUUUAAACCCAAGAAUAUGCAAUGAAUCACUUUCUUAUCUAAUUUUCUUCGAAGAAUAUCGGGCAUGAACACAUAUCAUACAUAUCCAAACACUCUAAAGUAACACAUCUUUGCCCUUAUGCUCGUAACUUUUCACAUGAUGUGGUGAAUCUAAGAUUUGCUUAGGUAAGCCUAUUGAUAACAUGUGUAGCUGCCUUCAUGCACUCACCUUAGAAUCUCCUUGGAACAUUCUUGACAUGUAGCAUACGUCUACAAGUUUUCGCUAAGUGCCUAUUCUUUCUCCCCGCUACUCUAUUUUGAUGGGGCCCUGCUGGACAAGUAAGUUGUCGACAAAUACUGCAUACUCUUAGAUAGUUAUUGAGUUCUUCACAAGUGUCACGUUAUCUGUACUAAGUAUUAUAGAAUGUGUUAGAAUAGGAAAUAUUGUAUUAUUAAUGUAUUGACUUAUCGUAUAUAGCAUACUAUACUGUAAUAGAUGUACUGUUUUAAUUAUAUAAAUAGCAGAGGUGGUUAUCUCAUUAGCUCAAGCCUCUCAAUUAUCACAAACUUUGUUGCAACUUGAUAUCAGAGCCAAUUUAUCUUCACAUAUUUAUUCUUCAAACAGCAGCCCCUCUACUACUUCUCUGCAACAAAAUCAUCUCCUCUGUUUGUUGUCUAUUUCUACUCCUCCAUCAGCUAAUUAUUCUUCAAACGACAGCCCCUCUAAUUAUUUUUUAUUACUACUGCUUCAAACAAAAUCCAUUAGCAACGAUAUUGCUUCUCUGCAACGCUGACUUUCUGCCUCAUGAUCAGCGUGUUAAUUACUUGCUUCAUUGUGCUAUUGUUUUUUCUGUUAAUUACUGCAUUGUUGUUACGAUGUCGCGGUCACACAAAUUAAUUACCCUAACUUAAAAUACAACACACAAGAUAAUAUAGAGCAAAUAAGGGGUCGAUCCCACGAGGAAAGUUCGAGUCAGAUUUUUAUGCUGUAUGAUAUGCAACUGGGGGGUUGUGAAGUUAUCUAGGUUAAAGCAAAAGAAAACAAAAAAAUACCAAGCAAAAUUAAAUAAAAUCAGAAAAUAAUCAAUAGAACAAACCUUGGUCACAAGUAAACGUCCACCUACAGAAAUCAGAACUGAUCAUGGAAACAAAACAUCAAUUUAUAUUCCGAAUAUUUAUCUCUUCUUAACAUUGGUUAGUUAAUGGAUCCGCUAUAUAACUAACCCUAGUCAUCAAACAACCACAGUGUCCGCACUAGUAAUUUAAUUAAAUGGCAGCCUUAAGAACUAGAUAAGUUAAUUAAUCAAGAAAAAAUAACUAUCUGCAGUCUAUGUUUGAUUUGAUUGAAUAUUCUCCUUAAGAUUAAUAACAUAGAUCCAUCACAAUUAUUAAACUCAGUUGCUUCACAAGUUCAUAUACCACAACUCCGGUUUUGAUAUCAAACUUAGCAAUAAAUUGUCUACAAUAAUAACUUAGAGUCCGCUCUAGCAAUUAAAAUAAACAAUCAUAGAAAAAAUAAGCGUAGGAGAACAAACAUAUUCAUCAUAUAAACUGGAAAGAAAAGGUAAAAUAAAUCUCACAGUUCUUGAAAUCCGAAGGUUUUUGUGUUCUUGCAACCAAGAAAAAGAGUUUAGCCUUGCAUGUUUGUUGAAAAACUAAUCAAAAAGAAGGAGGAAUGCAUGAUUUCGGGUUUCUUAGAGGAAAGGGGUGUUUUUCUCUUCUUUCCAGCCUGCCUCUCUUCUCUUCUCUCAUUCUUUUUAUAUCCUAAGAAACCUAGUCUCUAUUUUACAAAAUAGUCCUCCCUUAAGUAGAUAGUUUACAUUUAAGUACUUCAAUAACUAUUUUCCUAAAAAAAAGAAAUAUCCUUGCAUGAAAUCUUCAAUCUUUGACUUAGAGGAGCUAAAUUGGUGAAACAAAAACUUGAAUGUCGGUUUAAAUGCCCCUUAACGUAAUUUGGACUCGUUUCUUCACGAAACUUGUUUGCUGGCAGAAUUAAGUUGUGAUCUUUGAAAAAUCAUAUCUCCCUCAUAUGACAUUGUUUUUUGAUGAAAGUUGGAGUGUUGAUAUUUAUUUGAGUCCAGAAUCCAAAAACAUUGAGUUUGCAUCAAUUGGAUUUUUGUAACUCAAGAUAUUCAAGUUGGAAUGGCUGAAGGUCAAUACCAGCAGAUUGCAAGAUUUGACUUUGAAGGUUGCAAUUUCCAUAUUCUUCCUUAUUUUAUUUUCUUGGCUUAGAUUUCCAGAAAGGUAUGGAUGUUAGCUUUUUAUUCCACUGGAAUCACUUCAUUUUGACCUCUAGAACUCACACUCUGCACAAAACAUCUAUUGAAGGUCAAAUCUGCCAAUUACCUUUAAUUUACUCAUUUUUACAUCUUUCAUCCAAAAGUGCCUUCAAAACAUAAAACAAAAAAUAUUAAGGCAUUUUAUAUAAAACAAAACAUAAGCAAAACACUAUGUAAAUGUGUGUUGUUAUCCAUUUUUGGGUUCCCGCACAAAAAAUAAAAAAAAUACAUAUUAGAAAAUAUAUUCGGAAGGAAUCCAAAAAAAUAAUAUGAGUGAGAAAAGGAUGUUGGAACACCCAUAAAAUGUCUAGAAAUUGGUUGAGGAGGUUCAAAAAUACAAGAAUUGAAAUUUGACAAUAUAUUUUCAAGUGGUGAGAGCCUUGUUUACAAGGAAAAUUUAAUUUUUGAGGAAGAAAAGUCCAAAAUCAGAUGUUUAUGGACUUAAUUAAAUUUUAUCUAAGGUUUAAUUGAAUUUAUGGAGGGUUUGGUUACAAGAAAUAUUGAUUUUUAAGUCAAUUUAAGCUUUUAUUGGAAGAAAUUAAAGUUCUGAGAGCCAAUUAUAAUUUUAAAGAGUUGAUUUGGUCAAAUUAGGGGCUUAAUUGCAUAAUUAUUGAAGUUUGAUGGCCAAUUAGGGACUUAAUUGAAACAAUCCAAAACCAAUUACCAAACUGGAAAAGGCGCUCAAAUCAAGGGAUCCAAUUACAAUUUUUCUGGGGUCUUGAUUAUAAACUUGCAAAAACAUCCAAGGACCAAAUCAGAAAUAUCAUUUAAAGUUGCAAAACGGUGUCGUUUCACUGAACACUGCUCACUGUCGUUACGUGCAGCUGGCCGAGAGACGUUGCAGCAGCGAAGGCGUUGAUUUGCUUCAAUCAAUGGGGCAUGUUUCAUGGCUGAUAUCUCUCGCCACCAUGAUGCACGCCGGCCGUUACUCUGUCCCUGCAACAACAAAUGAAAACGCCUGCAUCCUCUGGCUAUAAAAGCUAGAGGAUGUACUGAACAGAAGGAGAAAAAAAAAGGAACGAGACAGAGGAAAGAAAAAACAGAGGGAGAGGGGAACGUAAAGAAGAGAAAACAGAGGGAGGAAGAGCGUAAGAAACUAAAAAAAAGCAGUAAGAGAAGAAAGCAGAGAGAGGAGAAUAGAGGAGAGCAAACAGGAAAAGAAAGAAAAAGAGAAAGAGAGAGAGAGAGGAGAGUGAACGAAAAAAAAAACAGAGGAACACAUUAGCAACCUAAAGCAGAGAACGCAGAUAGCAAAAGAGGUCAGCACCAUCAUCGUCUUCAUCUCUCCAGCACCAGGUAUGUUCACUUCCCUCCUCAGUCCCUGUAAUAAAAAGCGUCAUAGUAACUCUGCGCCAACGUUUCUGGUUUUCAUCAAGCAUCACUUCUUCUUUCUUUUCACAUAAUUUCCAACCAUAAUUCCAUGAUAUAUCACAAGUAUAUGCUCUACUAAUCCUUGGCCAGGGUAAAAGAGAAAAACAUAUAAAAAGUUAAGGCUUAUACAUGGAUAAAGCAAAGAAAAGAUAAACAAGCUCAAAAGGGCUCACUAAGGAUAAUAUGUUUUAGGUUGGCUUUUUGGCUCAAGUGAUUGAAAUUCCUAAUGCCUUUGUCAUCUUCAUAUAUAUAUGUAAUGCGAAUGUAAUCUCAACAAGAUAUGAAGCAAGUUCUAGAGAUACAUAUCAUUGAAAGAAUGCACAAUCAAAGAAUAUAAUGUUGAAGGCUCAAAAGCUUGCAUUGGUAUAACAGUAUAAAGUCAACAUGACAUAUUUUCAAAGUCAAUCCUUAAACCAAUUACACAUUAAAACUUGCAUGCACACUCAUUCAUUAGAUUUAUAUCUUUAUCUAUCUCAAUUAAUUCUCAUGCAUAAUACUCAUAUUCUCAUAAACCAAUGGGAGUUCAAAAAAAUCAAACAUAGAAUUUUUUUUUUUUGAAAAAUAACAAAGAAAACCAAAAUUCCCUUAAUACCCCCACACUUUAAACACAACAUUGUCUUCAAUCUUGAAAUAAAAGAAAAGGAAUAUAGGAGAAUGACAAAAAUAAAGUAAAAUGUGAAAAAUAAAAGAUAAGGGAAAAAGAAAGCAAAUAUGAUUUUUUUUUCUUUUUGUGAUGGGUUGCCUCCCAGUAAGCGUUUUUGUUUUAUAUCAUUGGCUCAACAUGUGGCAUACUUAUUCUUCAUAGAUUGGUUUUGCUAAAUCCACAGAAGCGGUGAGUUCUGUCGUCCAACCUUCAAAGAAAGGUUUCAAGCGAUGCUCAUUGACCUUAAACACUUUGUUUGUUUCUAAACUUGUAAUUUCAAUUGCACCAUAAGGAAAAAUAUUAGAAACAACAAAGGGUCCAAUCCAACGAGAGCGCAACUUUCCAGGAAAAAGUUCCAAACACGAAUGAUAAAGAAGGACUUUGUCUCCAACAUUAAACUCUUUUCUUUGCAAAUCCUUGCAUUCUUAAGCAUCAUUUCAAAUCUCUUCUAACUCUUGUAAUAGCAACUUUCUUGCAAUCCCAGCAGCAUCAUAAUCCAUGUUACAUUUUUUAAUGGCCCAAAAAGCUUUGUGUUCAAGCUCCACCGGUAGAUGACAUGUUUUCCCGUAAAUCAUCCUAUAAGGUGACAUUCCUAUAGGUGAUUUGUAAGCAGUCCGAUAAGCCCAAAGUGCAUUACCAAGUCGUAGACUCCAAUCUCACCGGUUAGGUUGCACUAUCUUCUCCAAAAUGGAUUUGAUUUCUCAAUUUGAAAUUUCAGCUUGGCCAUUCAUUUGAGGAUGGUAUGUUGUGGAAGUUCAAUGAGUCACAUGUAUUUGUGUAACAAUGUUUCCAUUUAACGAUUGCAAAAAUGAGUGCCAUGAUCACUAAUGAUAGCUUUAGGGAUUCCAAACCUAUCAAAUAUGUGAGUCCUGACAAAAUCUAAAACAACCUUAGCAUUGUUAGUUCAUGUGGCUUUCGCCUCAAGAAGGAUAUAAAGAUUGCCUAAAGAAGAAGGAAAUGGACCCAUAAAAUCAAUACCUCAAACAUAAAAAAUUUCACUUACAAGAAUAUUCGUUAAAGGCAUUUGAUUCUUAUGAGUGAUAUUACCUGUUCUUCGGCAUUUUUCACAUGAUUUUCAAAAAUAAUAUGCAUCCUUAAAAAUAGAAGGCCAAUAAAAACCACUUUCAAGUACCUUAUGGAUCGUUUUUUUUUCUCCAAAAUGCCCACCACAAGAAUGAGAAUGACAAAAAGUGAGAAUGGAAUGAAAUUCAUCCUGUGGUACACAUCUCCUAACUAUUUGAUCCACACAAAAUUUUCACAAAUAGGGGGUAUCCCAAAAAUAAUAUUUAGCAUCAGCUAGUAACUUGUUUUUUUAGGAUGUAGACAAACCUGAAGGGAAUUCUUUGGUGACUAAAUAGUUCACCAAAUUAGCAUACCAUGGUCUUGUAGAGGAAUAUAACACAUACAACUGCUCAUCGGGGAAUGUCUCUCUUAUUGUUUUGGUUUGUAUAUCCUCGGUCCUUAGUCGACUCAAGUGAUCAGCCUCUUGGUUUUCAACACCUUUUUUUUCUUUGAUCUCAAGAUCAAUUUCUUGUAAAAGCAAGAUCCACUUAAUCAAUCUUGGUUUGGACUCCUUUUUCUUCAAAAGAUACCUCAAAGCUACAUAGUCAGUAAAAACGACUUUUAUACCAAGUAAAUAUGACAUGAAUUUUUCUAGAGCAAAUAUCAUUGCAAAAAGUUCCUUUUCAGUUGUAUGGUAAUUGCAUUGCGCUCCGUCCAACAUGUGGGAAGCAUAGGCUAAACAUGCAAAUUCUUACCAAUUCUUUGCCCAAUUACAACCCCUAUCGCAGAGUCAAUCGCAUCACACAUUAUCUUGAAAGGCUCAUCCUAGUUUGGUGGUUGCAUGAUAGGGGUAGAUGUGACAUGCCUCUUGAGCUCAUCAUGGACAUCUUUACAUGCUUGAUAAAACACAAAAUCCACUUCUUUCACUAAUAGUUUGCACAAGGGUGUUGUGAUCUUCAAGAAAUCUUUGAUAAAGCGUCGAUAGAAACCUGUAUGGCUCAGAAAAGAACGAACUUCCCUCACGCAUGAGGGGUAAGGAAAUAAUGAAAUAAUGUCUAUUUUAGCUUUAUCAACCUCUAAUCUACAUGAAGACACAACAUGUCCAAGAACUAUUCCUUGUUCUACCAUAAAAUAACACUUUUCAAAAUUCAAGACAAGGUUAGUUUCAAUGCACCUUUUCAAAAUUAAAGAUAAAUUUUCUAGACAUUUAUCAAAAGUGUCGCACCCGACAUCGCGGCGGCCUUAAAAAUUAUUAAAUCUUUGGAAAGAACGGAUUUCUGGCAUCCUGUUCUUUAAUGCGGAAUGGUCUUGUUUAAGGAGUCGCCACCUAGUAUUAUGGUCACUAGGAACCCUAACUGGUCAACAGAGAUUCUAUGGUUCGGGACUGCUACGUAAAAGGAAAGAUAUUAUCACUCCUUAAAUGUUCUGCCUGAGGCAGGCUGCAUUGCUAGUUUUGUCUUAAAUUGCUAAAUAUUUAUUGGUUUAUGCUCUGAUGGUUUACUUGCAAUAUUCCUGACUCUGGCGCCAGUGAAUAUUUAACUACGAAUAUUUCCAACUCUGGCGUUGGUAAAUAUUACGUAGGUACCAAAAUAAAUAAAUUUAAAUCAUCAUUUUCCUUUUUUAUUCCUGACUCUGGCGUCAAUAAAUAAACAAAUAAAAAUCAAUUUAUUUUUAUACAUACGCAUUUUUAUUUUUAUGUAGCUAAAUAAAAGCAAAAUACAAAUAAAAAAUUAAAUAUAGUUGACAAUGGGGUUAAGACAAAAAGAAUCACCAUACACUGUGAAAUCAUCCAUGAAAACUUCAAUUAUUCUUUAAACAUAGUCAGAAAAAAUACUCAUCAUGCAUCUUUGAAAAGUUGCAGGUGCAUUACAGAGACCAAAUGACAUUCUCCUAUAUGCAUAUGUACCAAAUGGACAUGUAAAUGUAGUCUUUUCUUGAUGUUCAGGAUUAAUAACAAUCUGAUUAUAUCCAUUAUAUCUAUCAAGAAAGCAAUAAAAAGACUUACCUGUCAGGCGUUCAAGCAUUUGGUCCAUGAAUGGUAAUGAGAAAUGAUCUUUGCGUGUAGAGAGAUUAAGCUUUCUAUAAUCAACACACAUUCUCCAUCCACUCAAGAUGCGAGUAGUAAUGAGUUCCUCAUUUUUGUUCUUUAACAACGUGAUCCUGAUCUUUUUGAGCACCACAUGGAUAGGCACCACCCAUUUACUGUCCAUGAUGGGGUAAAUGACUCCUGCAUCUAAUAGUUUCAAAAUCUCAGCUUUCACUACCUCCAUCAUAGGCGGAUUCAACCUCCUUUGCAUUUCCCUCAUUGGUUUUGCAUUGUCCUCCAAUAAUAUGUGAUGCAUACACAUGGAGGGACUAAUGCCUUUGAUGUCGGCUAAAGUCCAUCCAAUUGCCGUCUUGUGAUCACACAACAACUUCAUAAUUUUUUCCUCUUGCGCCCUUGUCAAAUCUUUUGCUAUGAUAACGGGAAGUGUGUUGUUGUCGCCAAUGAAUACAUACUUCAAAUUAUCGGGCAAAGGUUUUAAUUCUAACUCAGGGGCCUGUAAAAUAGAUGGCAAAAGCUUUUUAUGUGAAAGUACUAAAUCAACAAAGACAUUACCAUAAGGAAUGGUUUGCAAAGCUUGCAAAGCCAAUGCUGAUUCGUGCAUGUUUUGGGGAACACAUGUGCCUCUCUAUCUCUUUUAUCUUGGUAAAAUCAUAGCCAUAACUCAAAGUCAUGCUUAAUUCGUUCUCACGGUCAUAAUAAAAAACUUGUCGCACACACUUAUCAACUUGGUCAUAGCAUGUGAUAGAAUAAACAUUGUUGUAUGGAUAUUUCAUUGCAUCAUGAAAAUUAAAUUCAAUUUCUUCAUCUCCUACCUCCAUAGACAAAGUAUCCUAACCACAAUCAAUCUUUGUAUUGGCAGUUUUCAAGAAUGGUCUCCCAAACAAUAUAAGAGUGUUGUUUGAUGAAUCACAAGAGUCCUGUUCCAUAUCAAGAAUAUAAAAGUCGCAUGGAGUAACCAAACUAUCAAUCUUGACUAGAACAUCUUCUAUCACACUAAGUGGAUAAACAAAACUAUGAUCCGCAAGUUGUAUUACAAUACUAGAUUUAUUUGAGCUCCAAACUAAGAGAAUCAUAAACAUGUUUAGGCAUAACACUAAUGGAUGCACCUAAAUCGCAUAAAGCCCUUUUAAAACUAGCAUUACCAAUAACACAUGGGAUAGUAAAUACACUUAGGUCUUUUUGCUUCAAAGGCAUAUUCUUUUGAAGAACAGCAGAUACAACUUCACCCAUACUUACUAUUUCAUGACCUUUCAGUUUGAAAGCUCUCUUGGUAGUACACAACUCCUUCAAAAAUUUGGCAUACUUGGGAAUUUGCUUGAUAGCAUCAAGUAAAGGAAUGUUGAGUUCUACUUUCUUGAAAACCUCUAAAUUAUCUUUUUCUUUGUCCUCUUUCUUUGACCUAGAAGAACUCACAGAAAAGGAUGGAAUUGUUUUAAAACUAGAAUUCAUUGACUGACGAGUUACCUUUGGAGUGUUGGUCGUUGUUUCAUUUUGUGGAGGAGAAGGGUGUUUCUUCUUUGUACUCAAUUUGGUUUCUAUCUCUUCUUCUUCCUCCAUCUCAAUUUGUUUCAACCUUUGCCUUUCAAGUUCUUUCCCACUUCACAGCAUGAUUGCACUAACAUUCUCUUUUGAAUUCAAUGCUUGGGAAGGCAAUUUUCCAUUCAUUUGUGCUUCCAAUUUCCCCACACUUGAAGCUAUUUGCUCCAUUUGCUUCUCCAAAUUAUGAAUACUUAACCUUGUUCUUGUUGAAAAGACAUGACGUUUUAUUGCAAGGUCAUUGUAUUAAAAGCUAAUGUCUUCGUCAUCUCAUAAAGAUCAUCAUUGGAUGACGAACCCAUAACAUUAGAGUUUGUGAAUGGAGGGGGCGGUCUCACUUGAUAAUUCUGCUAAGGCUAAAAUCCAUGGGGAUGGAAUUGUCGGCCUUGAUUGCCUUGUUGAGGCAGGUUCCCAUAGCGUAAGUUUGGAUGAUCUCUCCAUCUGGGAUUGUACAUGUUGGAAAAGGGAUCAUAGUUACGCUAGGGUUAGCCGUUGAAUCCUCCAUCAACUGCAUGAACUUGUUCAAUAUAAUCUUCUUGUAUUGUUGGGCAUAUAUCUGUGCUAUGUCCUUGUAAGGAACAUAUGCUACAAACUUUCACUUGUUGUACAUUUCCAUAAGCCAAAGAGCGCAUAAGAGAAGUAAGAUCAUUAACUUUAUUUUCAAUGUUAGAAAUACUUACCUCAUUUACUCGUUUGUUUGAGAUGUCUCCACGGGUGCCAAACUGUUUUGAGUUGGCUAUCAUGUUUAAGAUCAAUUGGCGUGCACCCUCUGGUGUCUUGUCUACCAAUGCCCCUCCAUAUGCAGCAUCAAUGAUACUACGAUCAGUAGGCAUCAAUCCUUCAUAGAAAUAUUGAAUGAGCAGCUGACCGGGUAUUUAAUGAUGAGGGCAUUGGAUGCACAGUUGCUCAAAUCUUUCCUAAUAUUCGGAGAGUGUCUCGCCAUAAGAUUGCCGAAUCCCACAUAUUUCUUUCCUUGUGUUGGCAACUUGAGAUGCUAGGAAAUUACUUCUCAAGGAAGAUCUUCUUCAUGGCAUUCCACGUUCCAAUGGAACCUGGGAGAAUAGAGAAAAGCCAUGCCUUUGCUGCCCCUUUUAAAGAGAAAGAGAAAGCUUUCAACUUAACUUGUUCUUCAUCAACUCCAUUCAGUUUCAUGCCAACGCAAACCAUAUGAAACUCCUUAAGAUGAGUAUGGUUGAUUUUCCAUGUUAGGAGCAGCAAGCUCUAUGAGUGUUUGUUAUCAUGCAAUAGCCUUAGUGUUGACGCGAGCUUCGUUUCAUAACCUGAGUAAAGUGUUUUCUAUUUUGAGAUCCACAUGUACUUGACUCUGGUUAAUAGAACGGGUUACAGGCAUAAAUCAUCAAGAAAACUCAAAAGAAACUAACCACACAAGAGAUCGAAAACAAUGCAAAUUGUACGAAAAUCCUAUCCUCUCUCCCGUUCUCUCUUUUUCUCUUAUUUUUCUGCUCCCUUUUUUUGCUAUUUUUUUGCUCUCUUUUUGCCGCCCCUUGCUAGGUCAUUAAAGGGGUUUAUAUAUAGUCUAGAAUAUCUCUAUUUAGGAAAGAUUUAAUGCAUUAAUUCUAGGACGUAAAUCCCUACUGAUUUGCAGUAAAAAAACGCAAAAGGAAGCUGCAAUAUUCUGAUUUUGUGCUGGUGCUUUACGUCUGAUUUCUUUCCAAUUUUAGAGGAGGGUGUGGCUAUUUUCUUUCCUUCCUUUCAUAGGGCCAGCUGCUCCCUUUCAAAUGAGGCAAGAAAAAACGUGGUUGCAGCUCCAAAAUUCAGGCAUGAUGAUAAAGGAAAAACAGCAGGAAUUUGCAGCGAAAAAAAGGAAAGAAAUCAGAUGGAGGGUGCAGCUGCAAAGUCUCAUUUUCCUUAUUCGGUGUGGAAAAAAUCCUGUCAUUUAUGAUGAUACAGCCCCCUCUCCAGCUUUCAAUAUCCUUCUUCAAUUCAAUCCCUCAUUUUAACAAUUUUUGAUUCAGUCCUGGGUCCAAAAAAAAUCCUUCGAAUCAGCCCCGCGAAUUGGGCUAUAUCCUUCCCGCGGCAGAAUUUUCUAUCCUCACGUUAGAUAUUCAAAAUGGGAAUAUCUUGAGCUUCUGAUAUCGAAAUCAAGUGAUUCAAAAGCCCAAAUUCAUCUACAUGUCUAGGACUAAAACUUUAAUGAAGAAGUCGAAGUGAGAUAAAAUCUUUUUACAGAACAGAAACUGGCAGUAAUCUAGUUGGUCAAAAGGAAUCUCCGGGUCUAACUCAAAAACUGAGGAAUGUCGAGAAUCCUGAUAUGACUGAGAGUAUGAACUAAGAACGAAAAUCACAAAAACUAGGCCAAAAAUAGAGUUUCUUUAGUGUAGACUCGGGUCAAUAUCCUUCUCGCGGCAGAAUUCUCUGCCUUCACGUUAGAUAUUCAAACGGGAACAUCUUAGGCCUCUGAUAUCAAAAUCAAGUGAUUCAAAAGCCCAAAUUCAUCUACGCGUCUAGGACUACAACUUUGAUGAAGGAGUUGAAGUGAGAUAAAAUCUUUUUACAGAACAGAAACUGGCAGUAAUCUAGUUGGUCAAAAGGGAUCUCUGGGUCUAACUCAAAAACUGACGAAUGCCGAGAAUCCUGAUAUGACUGAGAGUAUGAACUAAGAACAAACAUCACAAAACUAGGCCAAAAAUAGAGUUUUUUUAGUGCAGACUCGGGUCAAUAUCCUUCUCGCGGCAGAAUUCUCUACCUUCACGUUAGAUAUUCAAAUGGGAACAUCUUGAGCCUCUAAUAUUGAAAUCAAGUGAUUCAAAAGCUCAAAUUCAUCUACGCGUCUAGGACUACAACUUUGAUGAAGGAGUCGAAGUGAGAUAAAAUCUUUUUACAUAACAGAAACUGGUAGUAAUCUAGUUGGUCAAAAAGGUUCUUGAUCUGACAAUACUGAGCAUCCAAAUCUAAAUGAGAAUCUGCUCUAAGAACAAUGAUCCCUAGGACCUAAUAAAGGUGUACGUCAAUUUUUCAAUAUGUAAUGAGUGACAGGAUAUACCUAGGAUGGUCAGAUAUCGUAUGAAACUGAGUCAGAAUCAGAGCCUAAGUUGGAACCAAAAAAAAUUGCGACAGCAGCAGAACUAUUUUUUUAGUGCAAAUUCUGAGGGAUUUAUUCAACUUUAAAGACCAGAUAAAAAAUAAUGAAUUUAGCAUUAUGAAGACUCCUGAUCAAACUAAGAAAACCUGAUGAUUUUGGUAGUAAAGGGGAAGGAUAAAAAGAGCAGAAAACAACUCAAACAAGGUUUCAAAAUAUUUCUUUAUGUGCCUUUGUCAAUCUUUUGGUGAAUAUGAGCUAAUCUCCUACACUCUGUUCAAAAGAGGUAUACACUGUCUUCAGCACGUGGGGUCCAAAAUUGAGUAACAACAGUUGCCCCCUCUUUACAAUGCUUACGAAGCAAAACUUGUCAAGCGCUUCGCGUAGUAAGUGUUGUAAAGAUAAACCAUUUGAUCCUGCUAAAUCUCACUGCUUUUCCUAAACAAUGGUCUCCCUAUCAGAUGACCUGCUUAUUUAAGAUUUCUAGAAAAACUUCAAUUUUUUUUGAAAUGGUCUGAUUAUCGGGUGACCUGCCCAUCUUAAGAUUCUUUGAAAACUCCACGCUUUUCUAAGAAACGGUCUCAAUAUCAGGUGACAGGCCCAUCUUAAAAUUCUUAGAAAACUCCACGCUUUUCUAAGAAACGGUUUCAAUAUCAGGUAACCGGCCCCUCUUAAAAUUCUUUAGAAAACUCCACGCUUUUCUAAGGAAUGGUCUCAAUAUCGGGUGACCUCUUAGAAAACUCCACGCUUUUCUAAGGAAUGGUCUCAAUAUCGGGUGACCUGCCCAUCUUAAGAUUCUUAGAAAACUCCACGCUUUUCUAAGAAACGGUCUCAGUAUCAGGUGACCGACCCAUCUUAAAAUUCUUAGAAAACUCCACGCUUUUCUAAGAAACAGUUUCAAUAUCAGGUAACCGACCCCUCUGAAAAUUCUUUAGAAAACUCCACGCUUUUCUAAGAAAUGGUCUCAAUAUCGGGUGACCUGCCCAUCUUAAGAUUCUUAGAAAACUCCACGCUUUUCUAAGAAAAGGUCUCAAUAUCAGGUGACUGGCCCAUCUUAAAAUUCUUAGAAAACUCCACGCUUUUCUAAGAAACAGUUUCAAUAUCAGGUAACCGGCCCCUCUUAAAAUUCUUUAGAAAACUCCACGCUUUUCUAAGGAAUGGUCUCAAUAUCGGGUGACCUGCCCAUCGUAAGAUUCUUAGAAAACUCCACGCUUUUCUAAGAAAUGGUCUCAAUAUCAGGUGCCCGGCCCAUCUUAAAAUUCUUAGAAAACUCCACGUUUUUCUAAGAAACAGUUUCAAUAUCAGGUAACCGGCCCCUCUUAAAAUUCUUUAGAAAUCUCCAUGCUUUUCUAAGGAAUGGUCUCAAUAUCGGGUGACCUGCCCAUCUUAAGAUUCUUAGAAAACUCCACGCUUUUCUAAGAAACGGUCCAAUAUCAGGUGACCGGCCCAUCUUAAGAUUCUUAGAAAACUCCACGCUUUUCUAAGAAACGGUCCAAUAUCAGGUGACCGGCCCAUCUUAAAAUUCUUAGAAAACUCCACGCUUUUCUAAGAAACGGUUUCAAUAUCAGGUAACCGGCCGCUCUUAAAAUUCUUUAGAAAAAUCCACGCUUUUCUAAGGAAUGGUCUCAAUAUCGGGUGACCUGCCCAUCUUAAGAUUCUUAGAAAACUCCACGCUUUUCUAAGAAACGGUCCAAUAUCAGGUGACUGGCCCAUCUAAAAAUUCUUAGAAAACUCCACGCUUUUCUAAGAAACGGUUUCAAUAUCAGGUAACCGGCCUCUCUUAAAAUUCUUUAGAAAACUCCACGCUUUUCUAAGGAAUGGUCUCAAUAUCGGGUGACCUGCCCGUUUUAAGAUUUUUAGCAAAUACUCCAUGCUUUUUUUCAAAAAAAAAAAAAGAUCUCAAUAUUGGGUGACCUGCCCGUUUUGAACUUCAAAAGAAAUCAUCUUACCUCGUGGAAUGAAGCAAUGCUGGUUCACAAUUCCUAUCAUUUUCCAUAGUUUCGUUGACCUGAGAUUUUGUACCUCAGCAGUUCCCAAAAAACUUGGAAAUUUAUUUUGUCUUUCGUCACGCCUUUUCCUGCCAGGUUAGUGUUAUGACAAUAUAGCAUGCAUGUUUUUUUGUUACCUAUUUUGGAAACAUAGGUCCCCCUUUCUGUUGUAGACUUAUUGAGCUCUUGUUUCCACUUGUUUUGUCCGACUUGUCCUCUUAAAACAAAAUAUGCUCCACGCGCUAUACUUCCUAUCCUUUUGGUGAAGAGAUCUUUGGUUCCUUAUGGGGCCCUUUAUUGCUCCACUGAGUAUUGUCUUUUUAUUAUUAUUUUAAAAGGAAAACUCAAAAUAUUUGGUUGUUCAUGAAAACUGAAACUUCAAUGCAAUUGGCAAUUCUCAUAAGAGACGCUUUUUCUAGAAAUUUUUAUGAUGAUACCCCUUUUGGCUUUGGUUCACUAUGGACCCCUAUGUGCACUUCGUACACUUCUUGCCCCCAGUGUGGUGUGCAUAAAUACGCCAAGUUUAGAUUUGAUUUGGUUCCCUCCAAUUAAUGGAGUCAUUUCCUUAGUCAUGUGUAAGAAAAGAGUUUGUUUAAGUAAAAGAUUUCAAAUGCUAUGAGAUCAUGCUUUUUAUGAAAAAAGGUUUUUUUACAAAGGAAAUUCAUGGCCAAACUUUAUUUUAUUGAUUGGGAGAUUACAGAAUACAUCAAGCGUAAUAUUUCCUUACAGAGUCAGAAUUCACUGGCCUAACUAGAUCUUCUCCAUCCAUUCUAGAUAACAGCAAAGCUACUCCCGAGAACGCUUUCUUCACCAUGUAAGGGCCCUCAUAGUUCGGCGCCCAUUUACUCUGAUCUUCUCCUGGUAAAGGCAAUAUUUUCUUCAGUACGAGAUCUCCUUCAUGGAAUCCUCGAGGUCGAACCUUUUUGUCGUAUGAUUUGGCCAUCCUUCUUUGGUAAAGUUGAUGAUGACAGAUUGCAGCUAUCCUCUUUUCACUGAUCAGAUUCAGCUGUUCAUAUCUAACUUUUGCCCAUUCUACCUCUUCCAGCUCAGAAUUUACCAGUACUCUCAAUGAGGGGAUUUCCACUUCUAAAGGCAUAACCGCCUCCAUUCCAUAUACCAACGUGUACGGGGUGGCUCCUAUUGAGGUUCGGACUGCGGUGCGAUACGCAUGAAGGGAAAAUGGCAACAUCUCAUGCCAAUCCUUAUAGGUGACUACCAUCUUCUGAAUAAUCUUUUUGACAUUCUUGUUAGCAGCUUCUACCGCACCAUUCAUCUUUGGUCUAUACGGCGAAGAGUUGGAAUGCUUGAUUUUCCAUUUAGCGCAGAGUUCUAUUAUCAUCUUGCCAUUGAAAUUCUGGGCAUUAUCAGUUAUAAUCUUUUCUGGUGGACCAUAUCGACAAAUCAAAUCUCUCUCAAUAAAUUUCUUCACUACUUUUUGCGUCACAUGAGCAAAUGACCCGGCUUCUACCCAUUUUGUAAAGUAGUCGAUAGCCACGAGAAUAAACCUAUGACCAUUGCUGGCUUUUGGGUUUAUAGGUCCAAUCACAUCAAUUCCCCACUUCGCGAAGGGCCAUGGAGAUGUCAAGUUAAAUAGAGGAGUUAGAGGGGCAUUGAUUUUGUCACUGUAUACUUGGCACUUAUGACAUUUUCGGACAUAGUCGAUGCAAUCCUUUUCUAAUGUCAUCCAGAAGUAACCGGCUCUUUGUAUCUUCCUAGCCAUCACGUGUCCAUUAGCAUGGGUUGAGCAAAUCCCUUCAUGGACUUCUCGUAACGCGCUUUUUGCCUCAAAUUCAUCCAAACAUCUCAACAAAGUCCCGUCGAAUGAUUUCUUAUACAAAAUCUCCCCAUCAAGAUAAAAAUCCAUUGCCAACCUCCUCAAGGUCUUCUUGUCGAUUUUGGAUGCCCCCAUGGGAUAUGCCUGGUUUUGGAUGAAAUUCUUGACAUCAUAGUACCAAGGGUUUCCAUCCACUUCUCUUUCGACUGAGCAACAAUGAGCUGGGUUAUUUCUGAUAUUGAUGUGUACUGGUUGUACCCUGUGCCCGAAGUCUAUUUUGGCCAUAGAUGCUAGUGUAGCCAAAGCAUCUGCAAACUGGUUUCCUUCCCUUCCUAGAUGGGUGAACUCUAUUUCCUCAAAUUCUCCAGCCAGUUUAGAUAGGUAUUCUUGGUAAGGCCUUAACUUCUCUUCCUUGGUUUGCCAUUCUCCUUUUACUUGACAAAUGAUCAGCAUUGAGUCUCCAUACACAUCUAUCUUUCUGAUGUUUAGCUCCAAUGCAGCCUCAAAACCGAGAAUGCAAGCUUCAUACUCAGUCGUGUUGUUGGUACACCCGAACUGUAGCUUAACUGAAACCGGAUACUGCUUCUUAUCAGGAGAGAUUAUCACCGCACCCGCUCCGUUACCACAUACAUUUACAGCACCAUCAAAGUACAUAAUCCACCAAUCUGAUUUCUCUUCCUCGAUUGCAAGCACAUCUUCAUCAGGAAAUUCAAAGUCUAAUGAUUCAUAAUCUUCCAUAGCAUGGUCAGCCAGGUGAUCGGCAAUAAUACUCCCUUUUACAGCUUUCCUUGUCAUAUAUAUUAUGUCAUACUCAGCCAAUAGAACUUGCCAUCUUGCAAUUCGGCUCGAUAAAUAGGGCUUUUCACAAAUGUACCUCAACGGGUCUAAUUUGGAAAUUAACCACGUAGUGUGAUACAACAUAUACUGACGUAAUCUCUUUGCAGCCCAUGUCAGUGCGCAACACAACUUCUCAAUCACAGUAUACUUAGACUCACAUUCCGUGAACUUCUUGCUCAGGUAAUAAAUGGCCCUUUCCUUCCUUCCGGUUUCAUCGUGUUGCCCAAGCACACAUCCCAUUGCUGUUUCUGUUACUGUUAGGUACAAUAUCAAUGGCCUUUCUGGUACAGGAGGAACAAGCAGGGGUGGAUUUAACAAGUACUGCUUGAUUUUCUCAAAAGCCUCUUCGCACUCUUCAUUCCAAUUUCCAGGGUUCUUCUUCCUUAACAAACGAAAGAUCGGGUCACAAGUCGUGGUUAAUUGGGAUAUAAAUCGAGCAAUGUAAUUCAACCUUCCUAAGAAACCUCUCACAUCCUUCUCAGUCUUGGGAGGUGGCAUAAAUUGAAUAGCCUUUACUUUGUCGGGAUCCACUUCUAUCCCUUUAUCACUCACCACAAAUCCCAACAACUUCCCAGAUUUCACCCCGAACGAACACUGUGCCGGGUUAAGUCUCAACUUAUAUUUCCUUAAUCUUUCAAACAAUUUCUUCAAUAUUUGGACAUGAUUCUCUCCCUCUCUAGAUUUAGCAAUCAUGUCAUCCACGUAUACUUCAAUCUCUUUGUGCAUCAUGUCAUGAAACAAAGUCACCAUAGCCCUUUGGUAGGUGGCCCCAGCAUUCUUUAAACCAAAUGGCAUGACUUUGUAGCAAAAUGUUCCCCAUGGUGUUACAAAGGUUGUCUUCUCUUUAUCCUCUUGCGCCAUUUUUAUCUUAUUGUAGCCCGAAAAUCCAUCCAUAAAGGAAUAUGUGGAGCUACGUGCUGCAUUAUCAACUAACAUAUCUAUGUGUGGUAGAGGAAAAUUAUCUUUAGGGCUAGCCCGGUUUAAGUCCCUAAAGUCCACACAAACUCUGAUUUUACCUUCCUUUUUGGGUACCACCACUAUGUUUGACACCCAUUGUGGAUACUUGACUACUUCCAAAAAACCAGCGUUCCAUUGUUUUUCAAUUUCUGCUUUUACUUUGAUUAAGACCUCCGGAUGAGUUCUCCUCAACUUCUGCUUAAUCAGUUUGCAUCCUUCCACCAGUGGUAUCCUAUGUACUACGAUAUCCGUAUCCAAACCAGGUAUAUCCUCGUAGGACCAAGCAAAGACAUCUAUGUAAUCUCGAAGCAGUGCAAUCAAUUCUUCCUUCUCUUCAGGGGUGAUCAAAGUCCCUAUUUUCAGCUCUCUCUUGAUUUCUUCAUUACCCACAUUUAUGGUUUCAAGUUCCUCUUUAGCGGGCCUCCAAGCCUGUUCAUGCUGUUCUAUUAAUUUUGUGAAUUCACUUAUGUUUUUCUCCUCCCAUUCCUCAUCUUCUACAGCUACUAUGUAUUCUUUAAAGUUUGGCCAUUCAUUCUCAAUGUAAAGUGCAGGUGUUGUUGUGGAGGAUCCACUUUCAGGGUUCCUGAAAGCGGGAAGUGAUGUGUAAAUGCACAGUAAGACAUCAAGAUGAAUUUUGAAAAUGCAUGAUCUCAUUAAAAGGAAAAGAUUGGCUCAAAAACAAAAAUAAAAUCCAAUUGACAUCUUGAGCUUCGAUUGUCAAUGAAAAAAAAAAUAGAAAGAAAAAAAAAGGCAAACAACAUAGAUAAAAUUAUAAUCUAAUAAUCAUUGUUGAUUACAUUUUGAGAACCAAUGGAGCUUCUUGGGUCUCCCAAUUCUGGAACUUCUCUCCUUCGGCUAGCUUUCGAAUGAAAGUCUUGGCGGUAAAUUCUUCCAGAGUGUAGAUGGUUAAUUGCGGUAGCUCUUCAUCCCUUCUUCCGGAUUCAAUCUUCUUAGCAAUGUCCUCGACUUGAUCUCCCUCCAAAGUGUUUAUGUUCAUUGAAAAAAACUUCUGAAGAAGGUUUCCAUGUCCCUUAUCAGGUUGCAUCUCAUAUGCGGCCUUUGGAAAAGAAAUCCUGAUUGGAGGGAUAGCUAAGCUUUCUUCUUCAGGCUUCCUUCCUUCAAUCCUAGCCAUUCUUUUCUCCCUUCUUGCACCAGCAGCUCGCUUGUAAUCCUCUUUCUUGGGCUUAUAAUCAAGCCCAAACCUCUGUUCUGUAGCUUUCAGCUUGAUUAUAUCAAUCCAUUCAAGUCUUCCUUUCUUGAUGUCAUAUGGGCAAGGAAUCUUGUGUUUCAAAAAGCUUUUAGCGGCUAUUUUGGUGGCCUCCGAGAUUUCUGGUUUCCUCACCACAGUGUUCUCGGGCACCCACUCGAUAUUCACAACUUCAAAUGCAUGAAGGUUUCCAUCCUUACAAUCUUCGGCUUCGAUGAAUGGAACCGCCACAUUUCUUACCAUUGAUAUAGUCUCCUCAGCCUUAACAGUAACCAGAACACCAUUGGCAAUGUACUUCAAACAUUGAUGCAGUGAGGAGGUGACAGCUCCCGCAGAAUGUAUCCAUGGCCUUCCUAACAACAUACUAUAGGAAGGGUGGAUAUCCAUCACUUGAAGGGUUACUAGAAAGACUUGUGGACCCACAGCUAGUUCGACCUCAAUUGUCCCUAUCACUUGCCUUGGCGAGCCAUCGUACGCUCUAGCCGUCAUCACACUGGGUUGCAUAUGUGAGGGAUCUACUGGCAUUUCAUCCAGCAUAUGCCUUGGUAACACAUUAAGGGCUGAGCCGUUAUCAAUGAGAACUUUACCAAUGAGACAAUCUUUGCAUCGAACCGUGACAUAUAAGGGCUUGUUAUGUCCCGUUCCUUCAGCGUCAAGUUCAUCUUCCGUGAAAUAUAAGUAAUUAGCAGCAUGGAUCCUCCCUACUAGAUGCUCCAUAGUUUUUUGUUCAAUAUCUUGGGGUACGUAGGCCUCAUUCAGUACUUUUUGCAAAGCAUUACGAUGCGGCUCGGAGCUAAGUAUUAAUGACAUGAUGGAGAUCUUGGCAGGGGUCUUCUUCAACUGAUCCACUAUACAAUACUCACUAUGCUUCAUCAAUUUCAGGAACUCAUUUGUUUCUUCCUCAGUCACAGGUUUAUUUACCUCGAGCUCUUUAUCGAGGUCCAAUACCUCCUUGCCUUUAGCCUUUCUUUGCUUCUCUAGUUCUUCAGGUGUGAAACAACGACCACUCCGAGUUAGCCCACUUAUCUCAUUUUGGAACAAUGACAAAGGAGUUUCGACAUUCGAGGUAUAACCAUAAUCUCCAGGCAUCGCUCCAUAGUCUACUUUGUUUGCAUACGAGGGCUUAGUUAAUACCAAUUUCGAGAGCCCAUUAGCUGUUGAUUGGACUCUACAUUUCCCCCGAUUCUCUAUCAUCUCUAUCUCUUCAUUAUCUUUUACAGCCCCAAUCCUUAACUCUCCUAAAGUCAGCAUUCUCACAACCUUUUGAUGAAACUCAAUGCAUUCAUCAAUGUGAUGCCCUUUCUUUCUAUGGAAUGGGCAAAAAUCAUCUUCCCUUAUGCAAUGUUCAGAUGGUUUCUCCAAAUGUCCAGAUUGUACCAACAUUUCAUACAGCCUUGCCAUGGUCACUCUCAGCACCUUCUCUUUACUACCGACCUCCAUAGUAUUCACUCCACUACCACCUACAGCAUGUUUGGGUAGAGGGUUUGAAUUCACAUUAGGCGAAUCUUCAAAAGUGACCCUUCCGAUUUUGAUCAACUGCGAUACCCUUUUCUUAAAAGCUACGCAGUUUUCGAUGUUGUGACCCGUAUUACUAGCAUGGUAUUCACAAGUCAACUCGGGGUUGUACCAGGUAGGGAAAGGCGGUUGCAUAGGAGGUAAUGGUAGGGGAGCUAUCUGCCCAAUACUUAGUAACUUGGCAUAUAACUCCUUUAGGGUUAUUGGCAAAGGUGGUAAUUGUUCUUCUAGUUGUCGGUUGUCUCUCCUUUGGUAAUUGUUUUGGCUAUUGGUGGGGAAUUUUGUUUGAUGGGGUUGGUUUGGGACGGAGGGUUUGGAAAAGUUGAUGCUAGUGAUUUGGGAGGUAGGUAUUUGGUAGUUUUGGUAGUUUUUUCCUCUCCCUUUAUAACUGUCUUCUAGGUUAUUUACCUCAAUUUCCUUCUUCUUCCCAACAAAACCCCUCUUCUCUAUAGGUUCCGCAAUUCUCCCACUUCGGAUUCCUUGCUCAAUCCUUUCAGCAAUUCGCACAGCAUCAUAGAAAUGUUGGGCUGAGCUACCCAUAAGAUGCUCAUAGUAUGGGGCCCUAAAAGUAUUGGCAAACAACGUUACCAUCUCCGUCUCUAUUAGUGGAGGUUGUACAUUGAUAGCUUGGUCUCGCCACCUCUGAGCAUAAGCCCUCACGGACUCUUGAGUUCCUUUCUCCAUGGUAAUUAGACUGGUCCUAUCAGGAGCAAUCUCAAGAUUGAACUUGUAUUGUUUUAAGAAAGCAUCUGCCAGAUCUGUCCAUUUCUUGAUCCUAACGUUGUCCAGCCUCAUAUACCAGCUGAGGGCCGAUCCUAUCAAGCUAUCUUGGAAGAAGUAAAUUAGCAACUUAUCAUCGUGGAUAACUUCUGCCAUCUUGUUAUAGUAGGAACGAAGAUGGGUCUUUGGGCAUUCCAUCCCGGUAUACUUAACAAACUCCGGCACUCUGAACUUCUUUGGAAUUACGAUGUUAGGUACCAAACAUACUUCAGCGGCCCUAAUUGGGUCAAAUAAAUCAUUUCCUUCAACUGCCCUUAGCCUCUCUUCUAGCGCAGUCCAUUUAUCAUACCCAACAUGAUCAGAGAAUCUGACGUCCUGUGGAUCCUCGUUUGUUAAAUCCAUUGUAAUAGGGAUUUGGAUGGGCCGAGUGGGAUUAGGAUGCUGCUUAUGUGGUGUAUUUGCCCCCAUGUUUAUAGGUGCGACAAGGAUUUGAGCUGCUGCUGGUGCUUCAUCAGUUUGAGUAGACGUUCCCUCUCCAUCUUUGGCUCUCAACAUUUGCUCAAGCAAACUGGUCAGGUGCGCCACAUCAUUCCGAACUCCUUCAAGUUCCCUUUGAUACUAAGCUUCUGGUUGUGACCUUUCUUCAUUUUCCAUCCUUUUUCUUUGUCGAGUGUUGUGGAUUCUAGAAGGGGGACCUAUGUUUCUUAGUCUGCAGAUGCGUGUAUAGAUGUAUGAGAAAAUGCAUGAUUGAGAAUGCUUUGUAUAUUAGGUAUGGAUGCAACCUUCUUGUGAACGAAUAAUAGCCACCACCUUAUAAACAUAGGUUCUUUUGUCACAUUGCUAGGAGUACUGCCUUUGAAGUCGUUUGCUUGAAUCAUAUUCACCAAGAGACAGAUUUUGCAUAAGAAGAUGGGUCAACGCCCUUUUCAUUAAUGCUUGAUAAGUUUAUUACAUUAAUAAAUAAAAAGGAAAUACAAAAUUUAUUAAUCCCUUUCCUCCACAAACUCUCUAGCCAAAGGUAAGAAGGCAAAACCACGGUUCUCAAUCUUCCCUAGAAAGACAUCGGUUUCAGCUAGGCUUCGGCGAUAGCGAAUGAUAUCCCCUCCCACAUUCCGCGCAUUAAUUCUAAUAAUUCGAGCAUGUGCAGCAGCUUCAUCCAUUUGCUCAUCUGUCUUGGUCAUCUUUUCUAUGAGCAACAUAUUGGUUCUGUUCAAAGCAGUGUUGUUGGCGUCGAUUUGAUCCUUGUGUUUUUCCAUUGCUGCUAGCUUCUCGUCCAAAUACUUCACCUUUUCACGUUCCUUAUCAAGUUUUAUCCUCAUAACUUUUAUCUCAUUCCUCUUAACCGCUAAUUCUGUUUCAAAAGCCUCAAAACCUUUCCUUUUAUUAUCUUUUUUUGCAAUCCCCAUUAAACGGCUUUCCAACUCCAUAUAUUUCUUGUUCAAAUCCUCAUACUUCCCAAUCCUAUCCAUCAAUUCAAACUGGACUUGUGCAAAUUUUUCUUGGAAAUAUUCUGCACUUCCUUGGCAAUCGUUAAAGUCAAUCUCCAUUGCUUCAAGUUCAGAGCAACUUUGCAUCCAAUCCAAACUCAUCCCUCUUAGCUCCUUCUCACUCUUUUCCCUAGCAAUCUUCUCCUCACCCAGCUUUAACUCAAGCUUUGUUAUUCGCGCAUCUCUAGAUUGUAUUUGCUCAUCUAGAAAUGCUCUCCUUUUAUCUUCUUUUAGCAUCAUUUCUUCCAACAUUGCCUUAUCUUUUCUGCUUUUGCUCAACUCUGUCCGAAGUUUUUCCACUUGUCUUCUCAACUCCUCUUCAUUAUUGACCCUUUUCCUCUUAACAGACUCUUCUAUAGUUUGGGGAGAUUUAGCCUCUACACAAGGCAUGGCUAAAGCAGCUAAGUCUCUCCAUCUUGCAUAUCCUUCGCUUGCACUUGGAUCCUUUAAACCUUCUAUCUCAACCAAAACCAGAUGCUUCCAAUCUUGUUUGAUGAUCUCCAAAACUUCUUGUGCAAUGGGAUCUUUGAACAAACCAAAGAAUUGAGCAAUUCCCAUAGUCCUUGGAACAAACUGCAUGCCCCCAAGUUGCCUUACCACCAGGGCAGGAGCAUAACUUACAUAACCUGUAAUCCCUACCAAUGGUACCCAACGUCUUUGUCCACAACUCAUUAGGACUUUCACUAUCGUUACCCAUGGGGCUCUCCACUUAAAAUCACUAUUAGGCAAACCUUCUAAUUUGUCAACCCAACCUUGGUUGUCUAGAUCCACCCAUUCUUCUUCUUCUACUAACUUCAGGGGUCUUUGGGUGAACCACCAAAAAUUAUUGAAGACGGGUUUUUUUGUUUCGAUAUGGCUAACCAUCCAGAUAUACAACAACUGCGUGCAGCAUCUCAUUGCCCCUUUUCCGGUCCUCCUACAAUGAUUAAGCGUCAAGAUGGUUUCAGCUAAAAUCGCAGCCACUGGAUUGAUUUGUGUAUUCUCAUACUCUACAUAAGCAGCAGCGGCCUCCAAACUCACUAAACCCGUCUGACUUGGAAACAACACAAGGCCAAAUAUGCCCAAGGCAAUCAAUCUCUCUUUUUCUAAUCCUGACUUCUUUUCCAGUUCAAUUUCUAGCAUCCUCCAUUUCAGACCGGUAGCAUUCUUUUCCAAAAACUUUUCCAAGUUGGAGAUUCUGAGCAGUUUUGACAGUUCGGGGAUGAUCUUGUCAGAUCUCAAAGGCAAAUAAAUCCGAUACAGAUUGUUUGGAAACUCAGUCAACAUCCCAUAUUCCUCCAUAGUGGGACAUAGGUCUAUACUUCCAAAAGAAAAACACCGGUAGUCUGGAUCCCAAAAAUGAACUAUGGCUCGCACAGCUGGGCUUAAAACUUCUACCCUUGCAAUUUCCAUCAAACGUCCGUAUUUAUUAAAAAAUGCAUCCUUAUCCACAUUCUGAAAGUGAGUCGUUAACUUGUUCACCUCAUUCAUAAUGCAAUUCAGGUUCUUGAUUGGUGACAGUUUCUUAGCAUCGCUUCUAAGGCAGUCUCCUUCAGUCAAUUGUGACAGUUCAGAAUUUUUCCCAUAUUCUAUGAUGGAAAAUUUAGCAAUGGUGGCCAUUUCGUUCACAAGUCCUGCAAUUCAAAAUGCCUUGGGGUUAGACUUGUUUUGAUACAAAAGAUAUUAUGGAUCAUACAACCUAAGGAUAGGUUCUAGUUCCUUUACGUGAGACAUAGGGUAGGUUUACUACUUGGUCUCUAAAAAAGGGUCUCUUGCUGUCCCAGUGAUCGCCCUCGUAAAGGCAAUAUGGGGGUUCAGCAGAUAGUGGGAUGGCACAUGUACCAAUCACUAUCAGUCUAAACACUCAGCAAAAAGUUGGGGUUUACACAAACUUAAACCUUGACUCAAGUCAUAAGGCAAGCUGCUAGUUCCCCACUUAGCUUAAAGUUAAAUGUGUGUGCCCUCAAAAAAAAAAAAAAUAAUAAAGUGAUGCAUGAUUAUACCAUGUAUGACAGAAUGUAAAGAUGCAUGCUAAAGCUUUUAAACAAGGUAUCAUUCAUAUAAGAAAACAAAAAUCAAUAACACAUAGCAUAAACAAACAAAUUACCAAGCCUAGUCCUAAGUCCCCAGUGGAGUCGCCAUCCUGUCGCACCCUCGCGGCGGAGCGCGGCGUCGCGGUGACCAUCGAUUGAUUUCGGGGUCUUUUUGUGUAAAGGAGUCGCCACCUAGUAUUAUGGUCACUAGGAAACCUAACUGGUCUUUCAGAGAUUCUAAGGCAAGGGACUGGUUGCGUAAAGGGAAGGUAUUAGCACCCCUAGUACGCCAUACCUAAGGUAAGCUGCUUAGUAUUUGGUUUGUCUUAUAAUUGCUAUGGUGUUGAUGUUUUCUAAUCCCAUCAGUUUUCUAGGUUUUGAUUCAAACUAAAUUUAUUAGGAUAGAAACCCAAGGAAGUUCCAUGUGCUUUAAAAGCUCAUUUUCCCCUUAGUUUUUCAAGGGUUUGCGACUCAUAAAUCGCAAGGAGGAGGGGCAAAAAUUUAGAAAUCUAGGGUGCUUUAAAAACCUAUUUUUUUUGUCUUAGUGUUUUAACUCUCACAGCUCGUAAAUCGUGGAAAAAAAAUUUGAAAUGUCCUCGAUUAUAAUCAAGGCUUCUUUCAAGGAUGUGUGCGGAUUUAUUACUCCCAAUAAUAUUUUGGAUAUUCGUCCUUUAAGGAUUUCUUUAUCCAAACAUUAGCGGUGAAUAAUAGAUGAAUUCCCCUCAAAAUAAGAUUUUUAUAUUUUUUGGAAUAUUGACCAAUACCCUUUGGAGUUUUACAAACAUGUUGUAAAAUCCAGAAAUGCAAGAAAAACAAUUUUUGGUGUUUAAGAAAUCCAUGCGAAAACACAUUUUCGAAACUUCCAAUGUUUUUUUGUGUAUAAAAAAAAGAGCGUUCAAAACAUGUUAGGGUAUUGGCCGUAUGCAACACGCAAGAAAAUAUUUUUUAUUUGAUCGAAACAUAAGCAUCACGGUAAUCACAAAUAAAGACAACAAGUCAUCACAUAUAUUUCAAAAAAAAUCAUAAGCCUUAAACAUUUCAGUUAAAAUAAAGCAGGAGAAAAAUAAAAAAAGAAAAGCGCUCCAAAGCCAAAACUCAUCAAAUAGAAUUUGAUCCAUCAAAUCACUCAGAGCCUAAACAUAGCAUGACCUAUUAUUUUCGACAGAAAAAAAAAACAAAAGAGUCCAUAUCACGUAAAAAAAAAACAACCCUUUGAACCCAAUCCUAUAGCAAAACCCCUGACUCCUUUUUCUGUCUGUGUUAAAAACCCAAACUGCGCCUAAAAGCCAACUAUUCCUAUGCAACAUUCUAACAGAGAGCACUCGGACAAAGAAAUGAAGGAAUAAUGAAGACCCUUAAAGUUUAAAAUUCCUCUCAAUAAGAGAGCAAAACAAACGCAACUCUAACAUAUAUAAAAAAAUCUUAACUCAAAGACACGGGAGGGACAGUGGGCAAGCAUGCAAAUUUGUAGCUAAGAUAGAAAACGAAGGUGCAAAACCAGAAGACAAAACAGUUUUUAAACAUCAAAAACAAGGACCUGCAGGUCUCACUGAAAUGUCUUAUUGCAGCAGCUGAAAUCAAAACCAAACGAACGUUGCUGACAGAGUUUAGAGCAAAACCCGACUCACGCCUCUCCUUUUUCAAAGCAAUGCAGGUCUUACUGAAAUGCUUUACUGCAGCAGCUAAAUAUAAACCAAAUGAACGUUGCUGUCAAGGCUUAGCAGCAAAGCUCCCUCUCCGUCUUGUCUUUUUUUCCUCCUCUUUCCUCACAGUAACUCAAGAAUGCAAGAAAGAAACUCUCUCUGUUUUUCUGCUUUUUUUCUACUGCCUCUCUCUUGCGUUUUUCUUGUCUUUCUUUUCCUAUCCUCUCUCCCGUUCUCUCUUUUUCUCUUAUUUUUCUGCUCCCUUUUUUUGCUAUUUUUUUGCUCUCUUUUUGCCGCCCCUUGCUAGGUCAUUAGAGGGGUUUAUAUAUAGUCUAGAAUAUCUCUAUUUAGGAAAGAUUUAAUGCAUUAAUUCUAGGACAUAAAUCCCUACUGAUUUGCAGUAAAAAAACGCAAAAGGAAGCUGCAAUAUUCUGAUUUUGUGCUGGUGCUUUACGUCUGAUUUCUUUCCAGUUUUAGAGGAGGGUGUGGCUAUUUUCUUUCCUUCCAUAGGGCCAGCUGCUCCCUUUCAAAUGAGGCAAGAAAAAACGUGGUUGCAGCUCCAAAAUUCAGGCAUGAUGAUAAAGGAAAAACAGCAGGAAUUUGCAGCAAAAAAAAGGAAAGAAAUCAGAUGGAGGGUGCAGCUGCAAAGUCUCAUUUUCCUUAUUCGGUGUGGAAAAAUUCCUGUCAUUUAUGAUGAUCCAGCCCCCUCUCCAGCUUUCAAUAUCCUUCUUCAAUUCAAUCCCUCAUUUUAACAAUUUUUGAUUCAGUCCUGGGUCCAAAAAAAAUCCUUCGAAUCAGCCCCGCGAACUUGGGCUAUAUCCUUCCCGCGGCAGAAUUUUCUGUCCUCACGUUAGAUAUUCAAAUGGGAAUAUCUUGAGCUUCUGAUAUCAAAAUCAAGUGAUUCAAAAGCCCAAAUUCAUCUACACGUCUAGGACUAAAACUUUAAUGAAGAAGUCGAAGUGAGAUAAAAUCUUUUUACAGAACAGAAACUGGCAGUAAUCUAGUUGGUCAAAAGGAAUCUCCGGGUCUAACUCAAAAACUGACGAAUGUCGAGAAUCCUGAUAUGACUGAGAGUAUGAACUAAGAACGAAAAUCACAAAAACUAGGCCAAAAAUAGAGUUUCUUUAGUGUAGACUCGGGUCAAUAUCCUUCUCGCGGCAGAAUUCUCUGCCUUCACGUUAGAUAUUCAAACGGGAACAUCUUAGGCCUCUGAUAUCGAAAUCAAGUGAUUCAAAAGCCCAAAUUCAUCUACGCGUCUAGGACUACAACUUUGAUGAAGGAGUUGAAGUGAGAUAAAAUCUUUUUACAGAACAGAAACUGGCAGUAAUCUAGUUGGUCAAAAGGGAUCUCUGGGUCUAACUCAAAAACUGACGAAUGCCGAGAAUCCUGAUAUGACUGAGAGUAUGAACUAAGAACAAACAUCACAAAACUAGGCCAAAAAUAGAGUUUUUUUAGUGCAGACUCGGGUCAAUAUCCUUCUCGCGGCAGAAUUCUCUACCUUCACGUUAGAUAUUCAAAUGGGAACAUCUUGAGCCUCUAAUAUUGAAAUCAAGUGAUUCAAAAGCUCAAAUUCAUCUACGCGUCUAGGACUACAACUUUGAUGAAGGAGUUGAAGUGAGAUAAAAUCUUUUUACAGAACAGAAACUGGUAGUAAUCUAGUUGGUCAAAAAGGUUCUUGAUCUGACAAUACUGAGCAUCCAAAUCUAAAUGAGAAUCUGCUCUAAGAACAAUGAUCCCUAGGACCUAAUAAAGGUGUACGUCAAUUUUUCAAUAUGUAAUGAGUGACAGGAUAUACCUAGGAUGGUCAGAUAUCGUACGAAACUGAGUCAGAAUCAGAGCCUAAGUUGGAACCAAAAAAAUUGCGACAGCAGCAGAACUAUUUUUUUAGUGCAAAUUCUGAGGGAUUUAUUCAACCUUAAAGACCAGAUAAAAAAUAAUGAAUUUAGCAUUAUGAAGACUCCUGAUCAAACUAAGAAAACCUGAUGAUUUUGGUAGUAAAGGGGAAGGAUAAAAAGAGCAGAAAACAACUCAAACAAGGUUUUAAAAUAUUUCUUUAUGUGCCUUUGUCAAUCUUUUGGUGAAUAUGAGCUAAACUCCUACACUCUGUUCAAAAGAGGUAUACACUGUCUUCAGCACGUGGGGUCCAAAAUUGAGUAACAACAACUGUUUCUACUCCAUUCUGCAACGUUGAUUUUGCUACUGCUUCAACAUUUUCUGCUAUUUUCUUUGCUAUUGUUUCAUCUUCCCUGCAAUUAUCUGCUAUCAACUUCUGUUUUCUACUCAUCUUCUGUAAUAUGGAUCCUUUGUUUUUUGCUACAGUUGGCACCACUAGCAGUCCUUCUUCUCCCAACAUUAAUGUUGUCACGCUUCCCUCUACUGCGACAGCAGCUGUUAUUCCACUGCCAAAUACACAGCAGGCCAUCAACCUCAAACUCACCAAUUCCAAUUAUUUAUUUUAGCGUAUGCAAAUGAAGCCAUAUCUGAUUGGCUAAGGGUGUUCUCGUUUGUCGAUGGCUCGUAUUCUUACCCUUCUCUGCUUGAUCUGUCCAGUCACUCUACUGUCACCUCUACAAACAUUAAUUCUGGUCCUUCCUAAAUGUUUCUCUCAUGGAAACAACAAGAUUAACUCAUACUCAAUGCUUUACUCUCAUCCUUCUCCAUUGAUGUUCUUCACCUUGUGGUGGACUGCCCAACUGCAGCAAGUGUUUGGAGCACCCUUGAAAGUACCCUUACCUCUCCAUCCAACUCUAGGAUUAUGCAAUUAUAUGGCUCUCUUCAGGAUCUUCAUCAAGGUGAUGAUAUUGUCACUCUCUACCUGCAGAAAGCUAAAGGCUUAUUUGACGAACUAGCCGUAGCAGGCAGGCCUAUCUCCUUCACUGACUUCAAUCUCUAUGUUUUUCGAGGCCUUCGCGAUGAAUUUUGAGAUUUGGUUACUAGUCUGUUGACCAACGUUAAGCCUCAUCCAUACUCUGAGCUCCAUAGUUACUUGUCUACACAUGAAUUUUUACACAUGAGCUCUCUUCAAUCCAUUCCAGCUACUGCACCGUUGCUACCCACACCCUCCCUCUACAUAUGCUGCACAACGUGCCUUUGUUGGAUUUAAUGGCAGUGGCUCCUCUUCUUAUUGGGGUAGAGGAAGAAGAGGAGGCUGGAGAGGUAACUUUUGCAGCAAUUAUAACCAGUACCCUAGCCAGCCUUACUAUGGAAACAGUGGGAGCUCCUCCUAGCAGAACAUAGGAGCUACGACAUCAACAAAAACAAGGAGGGCAACACCAGUGGCCUCGACAGAUUAGAUGCCAACUUUGCAGCAACAUCGGACACUCUGCACAACAAUGUUCUUAGCUUGUGCAUAAUGGGAAUCAAGCUUCAACCAACCUCUCCUUUAGUGAUGCUUUAACAACAAAUCCUAUCACUUGGUUCCCCGAUACAGGUGCGAAUCAACAUGUUACUUCGAACAUUGUCGGUAUGACACAUGCAGACCCUUAUCUUGGUAAUGAUCAAUUGUAUGUUGGUGAUGGCAAGACACUUAUUAUAUCUAAUACAGCUCAUAAAAUUUUGCAUGCUCUAAAACGAACCUUUACUUUGUCUAAUAUUCUACAUGUUCUAAAAAUUAAGAAAAGACUCUUAUCUAUUCAACAAUUUUGUCAUGAAAAUUGUGUCUUUUUUAGUUUCACUCUUUUUUUUUUCUAUAUGAAGGAUCUUAUAUCCAAGAUAGUGUCUUCCCCAGGCUUUUCUAUCUACCUUUGCUGAUGUUUGGCAUCGUCGUCUCGAUCAUCUCAGCUCUCAUGUUCUAAGUCUCUUAGCGUCAAAUAAAAAGGUUGUUUGUACUUCUUGUCCUUUAAAUUUUCAAUGUCAAGCUUGUCCGUUAGGCAAAUCAUCUCGUCUGUCUUUAGGCCCUACAGGUCAUCAAACAUCUGCUCCUCUUGAACUUGUUUUUAAUGAUGUGUGGGGCCUUACUCCUAUGUUAUCUUCGGAUGGUUUUUGUUAUUUUUGUUAUUUUUAUGGAUGCACAUACAAAUUUUAUCUGGUUUUAUCCUCUUGUCCUCAAAUUUGAUGUCUUCAAUAUGUUUCAUCUCAUCAAUUUCAAGUCUUCGUCGAACGACAAUUCUCUCGAAAAAUUAAAUUUGUUCAAACUGACUAGGUGCUAAAUAUCGUAAAUUAAAUUUAUUCUGUAAAACCAUUGGUAUUCAUCAUCACCUCAUAUGCCCACAUACGCUUGAACAGAAUGGUAUUGUUGAGCGUUGUCAUCGUCACAAUGUUGAAACUAGUCUUACCCUUCUUGGUCAAUGUAAGGCACCUUUAAAAUUUUGGACUUAUGCUUUUGAAACCUCUGUUUACCUCAUUAAUUGUAUGUCUACACCAGUUUUGCGCAAUAAAUCCCCUUUUGAAUGUCUGCUUCGUCAACCACCUAAUUGAUUUUUUAUGUACUUUCAGAUGUUUAUGUUUUCCCUUCCUUCGACCUUAUAAUGCUCAUAAGUUAGACUAUCGCUUUACUACAUGUGUGUUCUUAGGCUAUAGUUCAUCUCAUCUAGGGUAUCAUUGUCUGGACUUAUUGUCUCUACAUCUCCCGUCAUCUUCGAUUUAAUGAACAAGUGUUUCCAUUUCUCGAGUCUGCCCAUCUCCCUCCACCCACCAGCCAUACCCAUCCGCCUACCACUGUCACACACCUUCCCUCACUCACCAUCUUUCCGUCUACCACACCAUCAGCCCCACCACCAAUUUCCUUUAACCCUGAUGUCCCCUUAUCACCAUCUGCCUCCAUAUAUGUUGAUCAUUUUGCAAGUACAGAGUCUGCAACACCAGUGUUGUUUGUGUGUGCGUCUCCUCCAGCUGCUGUCUCUCCAGCACGGUCAUCCAGCUCUUCCUCUCCAUCCAAAUCAUCUACCAUGUCUUCACCAAGUCUGGACCUCUGUGUUGAUUUGUCCAGUUAUACUCUUGUGUGGCACCGUCCCCUAUUCAAACCCCUGCUCCUUCAGCACAGCGACAACACCCUAUGGUGCUGAGUCCCAGAUAUAACAGGACUGCCAACAUCACUUCAGUCGCUUAUUCUUCCUCAUAACCUCCAGCUUCACGGGUAAUGUCUCCCUCCACUCUCAAACCUCUUACUUUUAAGGAGGCCGACCGUUUUAUUUGUUGGCAUACUACCAUGAAGUCAUAAAUUGCAGCUUUACAUGCCAAUGGUACCUGGUACCUUUUGAUCCCUCCAUGAAUGUGGUUGGCUAUUGAUGGUUGUAUAAAAUAAAGUGUUAAACUAAUGGUGUUAUUGACCACUAUAAGGCUUGCUUGGUUGCGCGCGGGUUCACUCAACAGGAAGGCAUUGAUUACUCAAAAACCUUUAGUCUUGUUGUUAAACCAACUACUGUUCGAUUAGUUCUCACUAUUGUCAUGUCCAAAGGAUGGCAGAUUCAACAACUUGAUGUCCACAAUGCCUUCCUUUUGUAGACUCUACUUUGCGAAAUCAUGUUUGUCUUCUUCACAUGUCUCUAUACGGUCUAAAACAAGCCCCUCGGGCUUCGUACACCCACCUGAGUGACUUCCUUCAGAUUAUUGGUUUUCAGGCUUCCAAGGUUGAUACCUCUCUCUUUGUUCUGACAAGGAAUCAUGAUAUUUGCUAUUUAUUUCUCUAUGUCGAUGACAUCCUACUUAAUGGUAACAACUUUGCCUUAAUUCAUCGCCUUAUUACCUUACUGAGUUCAAAAUUUAAGCUAUGUGACUUGGGUAAUGCUUAUUAUUUUUUGAGAGUUAAGGUCACUCCUACUAGUGUGGGACUCAUACUGAGUCAGCAUAAGUAUGUUCUUGAUAUUCUUUGUCAUGCUGGUAUGUCAUCUUGUAAACCUGUCGAUACACCAGCCUUUGUUUCUAAGCUUGAUCUUUCGUCUACUAUGUUAUUCUCGGAUCCCACUCGCUUUUGAUAAAUUGUUGGUGCUCUUUAGUAUCUCACAUUUACUAGACCGGACAUUUGUUAUGUUGUUAACAAGGUUUGUCAGUUUAUGCAUACUCCUACUAAGAGUCAUUGGGCUGCUGUUAAACGUAUCUUACGCUACUUUAAAGGUAUGUCAUCUUAUGGCAUCCACCUUACUCGUGGCUCCUCUUUAUCACUUCAUGGGUUCACUGACGCAGUUAGAGCGGGGAGUGUUGAUGAUCGAAAAUCUACUCGAGGAUAUAUUGUUUUUCUUAGUACCACACUUGUUUCAUGGAAAUCUGGAAAGCAAUGCACUGUUGCUUACUCCUCCACUGAAGCAAAGUAUAAAGCUUUGGUUGAUGGUACUGCUGAGGUUCUUUGGUUACACUAUCUUCUGACAGAUCUGUGUUUUCCCCUAGUUCUGUUACUACUAUCUAGUACGAUAAUUUGGGUGCUACUUAUGUAUUUGCUAAUCUGAUUUUUUAUGCUUAAACAAAAGAUGUUGAAGUUGAUUAUCACUUUGUUCGUGACCGGAUGACCAAAAAGGAGAUUCAGAUUUGCUUCAUCUCCUCCAAAGAUCAAUUAGUAGAUGUUCUUACUAAGCCACUCUCUUACUCUAUAUUUGCUCUUUUAUGUUCCAAGCUUCAUGUGGAUAACUCACCUUCAACUUGAGGGGGUGUAUUAUGGAAUGUGUUAGAAUAGGAAAUAUUGUAUUAUUAAUGUAUUGACUUAUUAUGUGUAAUAUGCUACACCAUAACACAUGUACUACCCUAAUUAUAUAAAUAGCAGAGGUGGCAAUCUGACAUGAUCAAAAGAUUGAUGUCUUAUCCCAAGUGCAGGAGUAUCGAAGUAAUAAAUAACUCAGCAAGACCGAGGUCGAACCACAGGGAGGUGAACUAUAUAAAAUUAUAAACAAUAAAUGAAAAGGAGUUGAAAAGAACUUUUGAGAUGUGAUAUUGAUGUAAGGAUUAAACAAUGAUAAAACAAUUGUCAAUGUUAAAGGACCCACUAAUGGUAUUUCAAACAAGUAUAGUAUAAACUCUUUUUAUUACUCAACUGAAAACCACACACAAAGGAGGUUCCAAUCGAAUUAUAAAUUCUUAACAUGAUUAUAUUAAUUAUCUUAUUUGAGUAAUGUUAAUACUUGUAAAUGUAGUCAGGUAUUCAUGAUUAUUUCUUGCCCUGUUCUCCUGAGAGAUACAUUGUGUUCCCUAGUUUGCUUGUUGUUUGGCUUGUUGCUGGAUGUGGCUUGCUGGUUGCUGGUUGCUGGUUGUUGCUUGCUCCUCUCUGCCUUGCUUGUCAGGCCUGUUGAUUGCUAUUUGGCUUGUAGCUUGUUGCUUUUACUGUAGAAGCCUGUUCCCCCUUUUUGGGAUGUUUGGUUGGUCUGCUGGAUCGGAUCUUCUGUUUGUAUAAGGGCGCAUGUUCCCUAGUGAUUUUCGGUGUGCUUGUCCUGGGGAGGCUGUUCCCCUGCACACGCCUUUGUGUUGUACUUGUUUUGCAAGCUAAGCUUGCUUUGGUUUCUUUGCUUUAUGGUCCGGUUGCUUGUUCAGGGGAGGCUGUUCCCCAGCACAAGCCUUUUGUUUUCUUAUGUUCAGCAAGAUCUUCUUGCUUUAGUUUUCUAAGGGCAUAUGUUCUCCUUGGCUGCUGCUGCUGCUGUCUGUAAUGUUCUGCUGGUUUCCAGCUUGUAUUGCAAGCUUGUCUUGCUAUUUUCGAUCUAUAUACUUCUUACAUUUGAUAAAUAAAAAAAACAAAUCAAGUUCCUUUCAUAGCAUAGGUGUUGGUUAUACCAUAUAGUUGGCUAUGAAAGGGUCAAGUAUUUGUUGCACCUAGGCUUCUACACCACAAAUCUAGAUUAACCAUUUAACAAGCAAGGUAUUAAGAGUGAGUAAGACAACAAAUACGAAACAUGUUGGUAUCAAACAUUAAAAUCCAUGUUGAGUUUAUAUUAUACUUAUUCUUACACCAUUAGUGUAUCCUUUUCACCUUGACAAAAUUAACUUAGCUAAACAUCAUGAAGAAGAAAAACAUAAAUAAACAAUAUAAGAACAUGAACAUGAUAUAAGUUAACUAAGAAUAGUAAAGAAAAUGGAAAGCAUAAACAAGAGAUUGAUAUAACAUAAAAUAAAACUUGAACAUUAAAAUAAAAAGAGAGAGAGUGAUCUUGAUCUGAAAACCAAAAUGUCUAAAUGUAUGGUAAAUGCCUCCUUUUAUAGGCUAAAAUUCAGAACUAUUGAUUUGAUGACUAAUUAUUGAGUGGAUGGCCACCUCUUGACUUGGUGACAACCAUUGUCUUCUUGUCUGAACAAAACAUCAUUGCUAACGUUAGAAUUUAAACAGAUAGUCUACAUGAACAUUCUGGGCAUUUGUCUCAGCUUUCCAACAAAACAAGAAUGAGCUCAUUUGGAUAUCUAGAACUCUAGAUAUGAGCUGAACAUUGAACAGUGUUUGGGCUGCAAGACAGAUUCCAACUUCUCUUUUGUUGCUACAAUUUGAACUUGAAAAUGACCCAUUUGAAUUUGGACUCUUCAUUAAAGUUUUAGGCCUAUGUCUUAGCUUUCCAUCCAUAUAAACCAGACCUAAAUCCAAGUUAUACAGCUCCAGUUAUGAUCCAAUAACCGAAUGGUGUUCCAGUUUGAAUUGAACCAUCAUCUCUUCUUUAAGCUUAGCCCUCUUUUUGUCUUUUUACUUUCAAUAGUUAAACACAUCAAUCAAUCCUUUAAAUUGAGAGAUUUGCCUGCAUUCAAAAUGAGCAUUUACCAUAAAUCAAAGAUAUCUUAUGUUAUCGUGCUUGCUAUUAUAAAACAUGCUCAAGUUAGGGAAUUUAAUGAUAUUUUAAGUCCAAUAUGAUGAUAUAAAACCUUAAUGAAAAUGCACUUUUAAGUACUAAUAACUAUCUCAUUAGGUCAAGCCUCUCAAUUAUCACAAACCUUGUUUCAGCUAUAAAUAUUUCAUUUUCUUACUAACCUCACUUUCAACUUUCUUUUUAAACUCUAAAACUUUGCUAAGGUUUUAGAUCUUUCUUUCAUGAAAUGCACCGGACAUACCUGGGGUAGUCAAUGAUAAAUGUCACCACCAUAUAGAGAUAUCCACUGAUUGAUGCCUCAUUUAUUUUUCCAAUACAUCUAGGUGGAUGAGCUUUAUGUUAGUGUAUAUAUUUAAUUUAUUAAUAAAGAUUUUUUUUAUUUUUAAUAUUCAUCAAAUAUUUGAUUAAUGAAUCUAAUAUUUGAUAAUAAGUCUAGAGUAAGGAUAAAUUCAUUAAGACAAAAAUGCUUCGCAAAAAAAAUUAUAAAAUUGUCUUGAUCUGAAACAAAAUUUAAGCAUUAUAAAUAUAAAAAGAGAGAGAGAACAAAAGCAUAAUCUUGAUCUGAAAACUAAAAUAUCUAAAUACAUAAUAAAUAUCUCUUUUUAUAGAUGAAAAUUUAAAACCAAGAUCCCACCAGCAUCCUUGGCAGAAUUUACUCUAAGCGGUGAUGGUGGGAAAGAUUAUUACUAUAUAAGCCUUGUUGAUGGCUUUAACAUCCCAAUUUCGGUAACCCCGCAAGGAGGUUCUCCUGGCUGCAGUUCUACAAGCUGUGCAGCUAACGUGAAUGCUGUUUGUGAUCCUAGUUUAGCAGCGAGGGGGCCAGAUGGGACUGUGAUUGCCUGCAAGAGCGCGUGUUUGGCAUUUAACCAGCCGCAGUACUGCUGCACAGGAGAGUACAGUACACCUGACAAAUGUCCUCCUACCCAAUAUUCGAUGAUCUUCAAGUAGCAGUGUCCUCAAGCUUAUAGUUAUGCUUAUGAUGAUAAAUCGUGCACGUUUACUUGAAGAUCACAAACAGCAUUCACGUUAGCUGCACAGCUUGUAGAACUGUGCAGCCAGGAGAACCUCCUUGCGGGGUUACCGAAAUUGGAAUGUUAAAGCCAUCAACAAGGCUUAUAUAGUAAUAAUCUUUCCCACCAUCACCGCUUAGAGUAAAUUCUGCCAAGGAUGCUGGUGGGAUCUUGGUUUUAAAUUUUUACCUAUAAAAAAAAUAUUUAUUAUGUAUUUAGAUAUUUUAGUUUUCAGAUCAAAAUUAUACUCUUGUUCUCUCUUUCUCUUUAUAUUUGUAAUGCUUAAAUUUUGUCUCAGAUCAGGACAAUUUUAUAUUUUUUUUUGUGAAGCAUUUUUGUCUUAAUGAAUUUAUCCUUACUCUAGACUUAUUAUCAAAUAUUAGAUUCAUUAAUCAAAUAUUUGAUGAAUAUUAAAAAUAAAAAAAAAUCUUUAUUAAUAAAUUAAAUAUAUACACUAACAUAAAGCUCAUCCACCUAGAUGUAUUGGAAAAAUAAAUGAGGCAUCAAUCAGUGGAUAUCUCUAUAUGGUGGUGACAUUUAUCAUUGACUACCCCAGGUAUGUCCGGUGCAUUGCAUGAAAGAAAGAUCUAAAACCUUAGCAAAGUUUUAGAGUUUAAAAAGAAAGUUGAAAGUGAGGAUAGUAAGAAAAUGAAAUAUUUAUAGCUGAAACAAGGUUUGUGAUAAUUGAGAGGCUUGACCUAAUGAGAUAGUUAUUAGUACUUAAAAGUGCAUUUUCAUUAAGGUUUUAUAUCAUCAUAUUGGACUUAAAAUAUCAUUAAAUUCCCUAACUUGAGCAUGUUUUAUAAUAGCAAGCACGAUAACAUAAGAUAUCUUUGAUUUAUGGUAAAUGCUCAUUUUGAAUGCAGGCAAAUCUCUCAAUUUAAAGGAUUGAUUGAUGUGUUUAACUAUUGAAAGUAAAAAGACAAAAAGAGGGCUAAGCUUAAAGAAGAGAUGAUGGUUCAAUUCAAACUGGAACACCAUUCGGUUAUUGGAUCAUAACUGGAGCUGUAUAACUUGGAUUUAGGUCUGGUUUAUAUGGAUGGAAAGCUAAGACAUAGGCCUAAAACUUUAAUGAAGAGUCCAAAUUCAAAUGGGUCAUUUUCAAGUUCAAAUUGUAGCAACAAAAGAGAAGUUGGAAUCUGUCUUGCAGCCCAAACACUGUUCAGUGUUCAGCUCAUAUCUAGAGUUCUAGAUAUCCAAAUGAGCUCAUUCUUGUUUUGUUGGAAAGCUGAGACAAAUGCCCAGAACGUUCAUGUAGACUAUCUAUUCAAAUUCUGACAUUAGCAAUGAUGUUUUGUUCAGACAAGAAGACAAUGGUUGUCACCAAGUCAAGAGGUGGUCAUCCACUCAAUAAUUAGUCAUCAAAUCAAUAGUUCUGAAUUUUAGCCUAUAAAAGGAGGCAUUUACCAUACAUUUAGACAUUUUGGUUUUUAGAUCAAGAUCACUCUCUCUCUUUUUAUUUUAAUGUUCAAGUUUUAUUUUAUGUUGUAUCAAUCUCUUGUUUAUGCUUUCCAUUUCCUUUACUAUUCUUAGUUAACUUAUAUCAUGUUCAUGUUCUUAUAUUGUUUAUUUAUGUUUUUCUUCUUCAUGAUGUUUAGCUAAGUUAAUUUUGUCAAGGUGAAAAGGUUACACUAAUAGUAUAAGAAUAAGUAUAGUAUAAACUCAAUAUGGACUUUAAUGUUUGAUACUAACAUAUUUUGUAUUUGUUAUCUUAUUCACUUUUAAUACUUUGCUUGUUAAAUGGUUAAUCUAGAUUUAUGUUCUAUAACCCUUGGUACAAAAAAUACUUGGUACUUUCAUAGCCCAAACCGUAUGGUAUAACCGACACAUGUGCUAUGAAAGGAACUUGAUUUGUUGUUAACAUAAGUUAUAAUCAUGAAUAUCUGACAACAUUUACAAGUAUUAGCAUUAUUCGAAUAAGAUAGCUAAUGUAAUUAUGUUAACAAUUUAUAAUCUGAUUGGAACCUCCUUUGUGUGUGGUUUCUAGUUGAGUAAUAAGAGUUUAUACUAUACUUGUUUGAAAUACCAUUAGUGGAUCCUCUAACAUUGACAAUUGUUUUUAUCACUGUUUAAUCUUUCAAUCAAUCUUACAUCUCAAAGUCCUCAUUAUUAUUAUUAUUAUUAUUAUUAUUAUUAUUAUUAUUAUAGUUAACCUCUAUGUGGUUCUACCCCGGUCUUGCCGAGUUAUUUAUUACUUCGACACUCCUGCACUUGACAGAAGACAUCAACUAUUUGGUCGUGUCACCUUCCCUUCCCUUUCUUCCUCUCUCUCUAUCCUUUCCCUUGUUUCCUUCUGCUCUCCUUUUCUUUCCCCUUCUAUUUCUCUCUUUCUUUCUGUUUUACUCUGUUCUCCUCUCUAUAAUCUCACUUGUCUCCCCCUCCAGCUCCUCUCUCGCCCUAGUAUUUAUAAGAUGGAAAAGGGGGGGAGAGGGCUGCUAUCCUUGUCCAGUCAUGGUGUAGGGGUAGGGUGGCUAUGGUGGCCUACCCCUAGAGCCACUUGCAGGGAAUGGCUCUCCUGGCUUUUUCAUCAUGGUGGUAAGCCAUGAGGGGGUGUGGGUUGUGUUGGGGUUUUGGGUUUUUGGGAGAGAGAGAGAAAUGAAAGUUGCAAAGGAGGGGAAGAAAAACCUUCUUCCCCUGCCUUUGCACGUUAGGGAAGAAGAAGACACAUAGUGCCAUUCAAAACAAAAUUAUUUUGAACUUUUUUUUAUUGAAUAGUGCAUGAAACAAUUAGAAAACAAUUAGAAAGAGGACUUUUCUUAAACCUUAGACAGACCAACAAUUAGAAAACACAACAAUACUUUAGUUAUAUCAGACAAUGCAGCUUACCUUACGUAAGAUGUAUUAGGGGUGCUAAUACCUUCCCUUUACGCAAUCAAUCCUCGUGCCCAAUCUCUGAGAGUAGUUGGGGUUCCUAGUGACCAAAAUAUUAGGUAGUGACUCUCAUUCCCUCUUUCUAAGGAUAAAAGACGAGAAUUCUUUAUCCUGUCCAUUUCCCCACACCACAUGGCAAUAUGGAAUUCUAGGAGGACAUUCACUAUGAUGUCGCACCACAUGCGACAAUUGAGAAAGGGGAUGGUUGGAUUUUGGUCUUGACUUGAGUUGUUUUGGUUGUGAUAUUCAUGAUCGAUGUUGCUGCUAGCAUUAUUAAUGUAUGUCAUUGGCAACUGCUAUCAUUAGUUGGAGGGAGUAGUUGUUGUUGUUCUAGGAUUCAAGCAAACACCUAAAGGGAGGUGAAUUAGGUGUUCCACUAAUAAUAACAAAUAUUAAAAUUAAUUCAAUUAAACACAAUUAACCAACAAUAUAAUUAGAUUGUGUAAAGUGAAGAGUAAAGGGAUAGGAAUUGUAAACUUGAUUUUUAAUGUGGUUUAGCGAGUUUAUAUACACAUCUCAAGCACCAAAUUGGUCUUGUGUAUUUUUUUCUUGCACUAGUCCAAAUUAAAGAUUAGAAUUUUCAUUUGAUGAAUCCACAUCAAGAUUUUAAACCACUUGAAGAUCAUUUCUUUUCAAGAUUUUUCACCACUUGAUGAAUUCACACCAAGAUUUUUCCCUCUUGAAGAUAUGCUCUUUUCAAAAAAAAAUUCUUGGUGAUGUUCCCUCACCAAUACCAAGAGUUUUAUCCUAACUCUCAAAGGAUUACAAGGAUGAUUUUACUCACAAUAAAACUCUCUCGAAGAGUAGAUGAUAUAAUUUAAACUCUAGUAUCUCCAUAACUUACUCAAUAGCAUUUAGAUGAUUUAUAAAGGUCUUUAUAAAGUGUCAUGAGUAUGAAAAUAAAUGCUCUAGUGCUAGAAUAUGAAUGCUCAAUUCUUAAAAUAGCUUCUGUAAUAUGUAUAUUCAGAAUCCUCUUUUAUUUUAACAAUAAUGAGAGUUGUUUAUAAGUUUCCAAAACAAACCAGCCAUUUUUAGUCGUUGUAGCUCCAUUGACGGCUGAACCAAUCAACCGAUUCAGAUUUGUCAAGCCGAUUGGUCAAUCGAUUCCUAUAGUUUCUCAGAUGUUCAUCACGGAUGAAUAAGUGGUAGACCAGUUCACUUGGUAUUACCAAGCGGUCGACUGGUUCAACUUAAAUACCAGAUUUGAAUAGUUUGAACCUACUGAAUCUUGAACCGAUAUUAAUCCUAUAUAUAUACAAAAUUAAGUGUGUAAGUUCAUUUUAAUUUUGUUAUUAAGCUAAAAUAUAAAUAUUUACUUAAUUACUAAAAUGAACAAUUAAUUCUUAGAUUCUCAUAUGUUCUUCACUUGCUUUGGUGGCUAGGUUUUAGAGAAGAAGAAAACUAUUUUUUUUUCUACACUUUCACUCCAUUUUUUUUCUACACUUUCACUCCAUUUUUUUUCUUUUCUCUAUCUUAAGUUUUUCUUCGAGGGUCACUACGGUUUCUUACCCACUCUUUUUUUUUUCUCUCUAAUUUUUCUAUGGAGGCUAGAGUGUUUUUCUACACCUCCUCCUUUUUCUUACCUUGCCUUUCUAUUAAUAAGCAACGGGGCAGGUUCUAGAAUUUUUAUAGGUGAAACAAUCAUAUCCUUUGAUUUCUUUGGGUCGAUUUUGACCCUUCAUCAUUAUUGUACAUUUGGUACAACAUGCUCGUGUUCUAUAAAGCUCACACCAAAUCUUAAUCAUAAAGAGUGGGGAGGGGAGAGAGAGAGAAGAAGAAGAAGAAGAAGAAGAAAAUGGGGCUGAAAAACUUCACUGCCAUUUUUCAAAAUCAGAUGACCCGUUUCCUUUCAAAGGGUAGCCAAAAAGUUCCCAUACACAACACACACACCCAUUAGCGAGCUUCUUCUUUACCAAAACAAAACUAAAAAAAUUAUAUCAUCAUUUUCAAGCCACCUUCUAGCUAUAACUGGAAACAAAAAAAAACAAAAAAAACAAUACAGCCUCUUUCAUCAGCGCUGUCUUUUUUCUCCACCCUCGAGUAACUUCUAUCUUGCCCCACGUUGACUCAAGGAACCAUAGCCGCUGCUUCCACAGUACCAUUAACCUGAGGUGUUCAUUACCGGAAUCAUAACCCAAGGCAGGCCAGGAGCCCACUCACAUCGUCCAUGUGCAUCUUCAGCGUGCUCGUUCUACAUUCUUGCCUCUGACCUCUCUGGACUUAGCUUUAUUCAAGCACUAGCCACUCAAAAAAGAGUGAAGAAGAGGUACGGGAUAUCCAGUGGAGCUGCCUCCAUCAUAAUCACUCAAGGUAUAAAGCUUCUACUUAUUCUCAUGUAGUUGUAAUCUUUUACAUGUGCAUGCUACUGCAAAGGCAAGCUCCCGUUUUUCCUUUAUGUGCUAUGAAGUUAACAUAUAGUGUUGUAAGGUGUGUGGAUCUUUUAAGUCCUAACCUGGUCACGGGUGUUCUUUCACUUGCUACGGAUACUGAAGGGGAUGGGGUGUGAUUUUUGCUUCAAACGCAUAUGGUCUUGAAAACUUGAUUGCAUGUCCUAAGGUCAUGUUAAGACCUUGCCUAGUUAAUUAAGAAUGCUCUUACCCAAGGUUAAAGUUCAAGAACGAUAUGAGAAGGUGGAAAAAGAUGUUGAUAACUAUUGGGGUCAUAGGUUUUCCUUCGUUUUUUUGUGUCUUUUGAAAAUAAAAAUGCAUAGGACUGUCAGGGAGUUUUUCCAUACCAUGCUUGGGCUUUGGAUGUAUGUUUCCUUUACAUGAGAUGAUGGCUACCUUGCUUUGGAUCCCUGGUUAACGAUGAUGCAUGAACUAUCGUGCAUGAUUUUUAUGUUCAAAAGAUCCAGUCCUCUAGCAGUGCAUAAUUAUUGGCCAAGCCGUAGAUAAAAUGAUUUUUGGUUGAAGAAGAUUCGGUAUGUGCAAGGGUUUCUCGUUCAUUUCUUUUUACUGUCCCAUGGCUUUUCGUCAAUGCUAAGGCACCUAUAUUUCUCUUUUCUAAAGUUAAGUUGGUUGUUAUCUACAAAUAGGUUUCUCACGGGCUGAAGAAUAUAUAUAAAAAACAAUAAAAAACCUGUUCAAUUUAACCUCUUAAAUUCACGAAACAAGGUUAUGAAAAUAAAUAAUUUCAUAAAAAAUAAAUUAAAAAAAACAUAAAAUCUAACUAAAAAAACAUGAAGUCUAAAUCCUAGCUAAUUCAAUGUUGUCAAUCCAAUGUUCAAGGUUAAAAUUUUAAAAAUAAAUUAAAUUAAAAAACAAAAAAUAAUCUGAGUCAACAAAAUUAAUCCUCAAAUUUGUUAUAUGAAUAAUAAAAUCAUGACAAUUCUAUAAAAAAAAAAUUAAACAAAGUUAAUUGCUCACCAACCUAGUGGUAGAGCAUAAAAUUGAAAAGAUUGUGUGUGCCACUUAAUAUAUAUUGUUAAAUUUUCUAUGAGAAAGCAGAGUAGUAAACAACCAAUUAGAGGAAAGAAGAAAAAAAAUGGAAAGCAGAGUAGUAAACUGCCAAUUAGAGGAAAGAAGAAGAAAAAGAAAAGGUUGUCGGUAUUAAACUGAACAACCAUCUGCCACACGCGCCGCCUCAUUAACGACAGCCUCUGGUCAAUGAAUAUCCCUACACAUGCCACCUGAAAUGUGCGGGAACGACCAACGCAUUGACUUGCACUUAUCAACUAUUUUUUAAAAUUAUUUAUAUUUAUUAAAUUAUAAAAUUGGAAAUAAACCACCCUGAUAAAAAAUAAAAUAAAUAAAAUAAACCCAAUGAAAAUAUACAAAUGCUCUUGGUUUGAACCUCAAGUGACUAACUAGAUAUAUAUAUCUCAGUUAAUGAGAAAGCAGACCAGUAAACAGCCUUUUAGAGGAACGCAAUUUAAUGCAGGAAGAGGGCCAUACUCACAAGAAAAUUGAUUUACACCCGACAUAAUAUUUUCUAAGUGUAAAAAAAGUUAAGGUAUUGCUAACGUGUGUUUUCUAGAGAAACAAUUAAUUAUAAACUUAAAAUCUCAUACAUAUUAAAAAAAUAUAUUUUUAAAAUAUUAAGAUAGAAAAACACUAGAUGACAUUCUUUUUAUAUAUAUUAAGACCAUAAUGAACUAGAUUGAUUUUGGCAAACCAUGGUUAAUUUAUAAAAUUCAUGAUCAAGGUCAUAAGACCGUAAUAACCAAAUAAAAAACAAAUUGAAACAAAUCAUGAAGCUCAGUUCCCAAACAACAAAAAAUUUGUGGAUGAAAUUGAAUAAAAAGUUAAAUUAAAAAAAAUGAAAAAAAGGUGGUUUGAUUCAAGUGGGGUAAACUUGUUGAACUCGCAACAUAGGUUAUGAAAAUGAGAUAACCCCAUAGAAAACAAGCUUAAAAAAAAAACAUGAAGCUCAAAUCUCAACCAACUCAAUAUUGAAGGAUGAAAUUGUAAAAUUCGAGUCAAACAAAGUUAACCCCCAAAUUCAUGACAUGAGUAAUAAGAUUGCGAUAACUCAAUAGAAAUAAAAUUUUAAAAAAAAACAACGAAUGUCAAUUCCCACCCAACCAAAAGUUAAAUAAUGGAAUUGAAAGAAAAGAAAUUCAACCCGGGUUAAAUGAUCGCGAUAACCCCAAAGAAAAUAAAUUGAAGAAAAAAUGUCAAAUCUCAAAUCCCAACCAACCCAAUAUUAAAAAAUAAAAAUGAAAAAAAAACUAAAAACAACCUUAGUCAACUCAAAUUAACCCACCAACUUCAUGACAUUAGUCAUGAGAAUUGGAUAACCCCAUAUAAAGCAAAUUAAAAAUAAAUAUGAAGCUCAAAUCUCAAUCAACUCAAUAUUAGAGGAUGCACUACAAGAUUUCACAGUUUUACCGACGGACAUAUUCCGUCGGUGUGUGAUUAGCAGUCCGUCGGUGAUUUUUUUACCGACGGAUUACGUCUGUCGGCUUUCCUUUCAUCGAUGAUUCCCCAUUCCGUCGCUAUAUCGGUCGGCAAAACAAAAAAAACCAUUUGCCGAUGGUUUUACAGACGGAAUUUGCGCGCCAAAAAAAAAAGAUUCCCGCUUGAAAUAUACCGACGGAUUUUUAGUCCGUCGGUGAUAUCGUGAUUUACCGACGGCUACUAACCGUCGGUAAAUCUGUCGGUAAGUGUAUGAAAUACCGACCGAAUAUAUCCGUCUGUGAAUUCGUCGGUAAGUGUGGCAGCUACUGUUAAAUGCCGACGGAUUAAUUCCGUCGGUAAAGCUGUCGGUGAGUGUUUAAAAUACCGACCGAAUGAAUCCGUCGGUAAAACCCUUGGUAAUAGUUUUUUUCUAAAUUUGUUUUUAAAAAAUUAUUUAGAAUAUAUAAUAUAAAACUAUAUAAAUUAAUUGUAAUACAAACCAAUUAUGCAAAUAAAAUUUAUAUUAAACAUCAAAAAAAAAUCAAAGUUAAAUAAUAUUCAUUACAAACUGAAUAUGUUUCAAAAAAAAUAUUAAAUGAAGUUUUAAAGGUAAAUAAUGUUUAUUACAAAUUAAUAUAAAGGUGGAGCUGGAGGAGGAGGAGGAGAUCCUGGAGGAGGAGGCUGGUGGUUAUACGGCCAAAAAGGAUUAGGCGCACAUGUUCCACUAUGUGUUGCCAUGUUCAUGACCAUUUCGCGAAACUGUUCAUAAGCCGCUUUUUGUUGUUCAUAAGCCGCUUUUUGUUGUUCAUACUCCGCUUUUUGUUGUGCUUGAGACGCUUUGAUUUGCUCAGACUCCGCUCUUUGUUGUGCAUAAGACGCUUUGAGUUGUGCGUACUCUGCUAAUAGGUGGUCGUAUUUGUCGGUGAGCUGAGCCGUGUGUUGCUGCAAGGCCACGAACUCCUUAGAUUGGGAGCUCCCAACGGUUGAAACACUACGGGUCAACCGCAAGUUGUCGGUCGUAGUGUUGGAGAGCCCGUAAACCCGAUUUUUAUCGGGUCCACCUGACGAUCCAACCUCCAUCCACAAAUCCGGAUCGAAUUCCGGAUGGGUCAAAAUAUCGUCCCCGUAUCUCUCCCUCAACCGAUUAUUAUAGGUCUCCUGAAAAUAAAAAAAGUAAUCAUCAUAUUCAAUUCAAUAAACAUAAUAACUUACAUAAUAACUUACAAAAUAAAAUGGUCGAACAAACAUAACACGAAAUGUUGAGUACGGUUAUCAACGAACUGUCGCGCCUCCAUUUGGCGGUCUUGACUCCACACGUGCGUCUCCACAAACAGCUCCAUCGGGCUCGGCUCACGUCCAAGAGACGCAGCCUAUAAUGAAAAAAGAUAUAUUAACAACAACUUAAUUUAACGAUAUAUUUCAUUUAAAUUAAUCUUACCAUCCGUUUCGCAUGUGUAGCAAACAGAACGGAGCCGCCAGUGUGCGUUGUCACCGAGCCAUGAAUUGGUCGAUUCCGAUUGCCAGCACCGGACUGUGAGCGUCGUGUGAACCGCUCAAACGUCACGUGCUCAAGAUAGUGCGGCCAUAUAUCUUUUGGGAUGUAUAUCGGUUUGAAAUCCCUCCAAACCGCAACAUUGUUCCAGCCUUGGAAACCCCUAUCCCUCGCGGUUUGUUUUUGCCCUUUUUUGUGCUUCAUACCAAAAAUCACGCAACCUACUUCACGCAACCAAAAAUUACAUUUCAAAACAUAAUUUUUUGUUUAAAAAAAAUCUUGUAUUUUUUUCGAUCUUACCUAGUUGUCGCGUGAUUUUCCCACACCCUCCUCACAACAGUGUUAUGCUCACUGUCCUAGCAGAAUUUGUGUUGUGUAUAAAUAAACAAGUUUAAAUAAAAAUAAUAAUUUAUUUACAAUUAUAUUAAUAAUUUAUUAGAAAUAAGCUGAAAAUUAUAAAUUAACACCAACCUGAAAUCUGCCAAACCAUGCAUUGAUUUGAGGCAUCCAUUCAGGAUGUUUGGAUAUAUGACUCAAUUGAAACAAUGAAAUCUCCAUCGAUGAUUUAAACGCCGAUGAUAUUACUCGGGCGGCCUCAAUGUUUGUGAACCUGAAAAUAAAUGAAAUAAAUUAAAUAGUGAUUACUUCAUAAAUUAUGUUGUAAUUUUUUAAAAAAAGAAAAUUAAACCUUAACAAACUUACAUUGAAAGGUUGUCCUUCCACUGUGCCUCGUACUUGCGAGUAAAUUGAUUCCGCUGCGAAGGCAACCCGCCUCUGCGCUGUGAAGUAGCGCUGGAAGAGGCAGCAUCGGUUGACGGCGCAAGUGGUGUAGGUGCCUCUUCUUGAGAGGCACCUAAGGAAAUAUCAUCAUCGUUGCUAGACGAACUAGCUGCGACCGUACGUGAGCGACCAGCUCUGCUUUUCAUUCUACGCGUCUACACAAUUUUAUACAAAUAAUUAUAUAAUUAAAUUCAAAUGUUAAAAAAAAUUCGACAGCACCUCCUCUAUACUGGAUACUACCCAAAUCCACAAACCUGCACAUAUUAACAAAAGCCACAAUCAAUUGACCCAAUCUAUACUAAUUAUUCCAACAAAUUCAAUUAAUAAUCCUAAGGUAAAUUCAACAUUAAGAAUUACAAUUCAACAAAUUAUUCAAUAAUUAUGCCAAUACAACAAUAAAAUAUAUUCAAUAAAUUAAAAACAAACUGUAGACUAACAAUUAAAAUUAAUGGAAAAAAUUAAACAUAAAUCAUGCAAUAAUAGAGUAAAAUUAACAAUUAUUCCAAAAUAUUCAAUUACUAAUACUAAGGUAAAUUCAACAUUAACAAUUACAAUUCAAAAAAUUAUUCAAUAAUUAUGCCAAUACAACAAAACAAUAAAUUAAAAAAAAAAACUCUAGAAUAACAAUCAAAAUAAAUGGAAAAAUUUAAACACAAAUCAUGCAAUAAUAGAGUAAAAUUAAUAAUUAUUCCAACAUAUUCAAUUACUAAUUCUAUGGUAAAUUCAACAUUAACAAUAAAUAUUCAACAAAUUAACUAAUAAUAAUUAUGCCAAUACAACAAUAAAAAAUAUUCAAUAAAUUCAAAAAAAAAAACUAUAAACUUUAGCAAUGAAUUAUGCAAAAAAAAUUAUAGACUUUAUCUACAUUACAAAAAAUACACUAAAACAAAAAACAUAACAAAAAAAAACCCUUAAAGUAAAAUGAAAUAGAAGAAACACAUACCUUUUAAACUGAAGGAGAUUCACGAGAAAAGUUGCUAGAGAUUGCUGGUGAAACCUUUAAAGAAUGGAGAGGAAAAGAAUCGGUGAAAAAUUGAGGAGAAGAAAAAAUGAACUGAAGAGGCGGUUGGGGGACUUAUAUGGCAGUUUUACCGACGGAUUCACCGACGGAUAUAAAAUUAAUUAUUAUUUUAAUUUAUUCUGUCGGUAAAGUGUCAAAAAUCCAUCGGUAAAUUUUGAAUUUCGCACCAAAAUUUUUAAUAAACCUCCAUUUUUUUCGUGGUCCGUCGGUAAUUCCGUCGGCACUAUGACGCGGUCAGAUAUGCAUUUAAUGCACAACCCUUUGGAAUUCGCGCGGUCCGUCGGUAAUUUUGUCGGUAAAAUUGACCCGCUGACAAAUUACCGACGGACCUAUAGUUGUCGGUAUGUAUGUCGGUGAUUGUAGCAUUUCAAGUAAACUCUCUGUGAAAUGCCGACGGAUUUAUAUCCGUCGGUAUGUAUGUCGGUGAUUGUGGCAUUUCAAGUAAUUAUUUUCGAACUAUCUGUGAAAUGCCGACGGAUUUAUAUAUUGUGGCAUUUCAAGUAAUUAUUUUCGAACUCUCUGUGAAAUGCCAACGGAUUUAUAUCCGUCGGUAGGGACGUCGGUGAUUGUGGCAUUUCAAGUAAUUAUUUCAUGUUUCAAAAUAUAUCAUCCAUGAUCUAUAAUUAUUUCAAGUAAUUAUUUCGUGAUUGUAGCAUUUCAAGUAAUUAUUCCAAGUAAUAAAUAUUUUGUGUUACAAAAUAUAUCAUCCAUAAUCUAAAUUACAUGAAAAAAAGGGUUUUACACAGGGCUUCAUUUUGGUAGUUAGUCAGAAUUUUCUUCUUCUUCGUCAUCAAUUGAAUUGUCAUCACCUUCAUCGUAAUCUUCAAUAUGGAUAUCAUCUUCUUCAUCGACAUUUGCUUGUCCGCUAGAGCUCAAAACAAAAUUCAACUCCUCUGCGUCAACAUCAACAAGACUAUCAUCGAAAACACGAAAAUUUGAAUUUUCUUCCAAUUCAAUCGAAGGCGCAACUCGAUAUGGUUCAACCAACUCACUAACUUGAAAGACUUCAUCUCGCACACUUGUGUCUUCGUUCUCAUCCUGAACAACCUCGACACGACCUUGGGGUUUCGUUUUUAAAACGGAUAACCAAUCCACUCUUGAUCGAUCCUUUCUAAAUGAAGGGGUGUAUGUGUAAUAAACUUGUUGACAUUGCUUUGCGAAAACAAAGACAUCGUUUAUAUUGCGGAGUCUAGCUUUUGAGUUGAUUUCGACCAGACCAUAGUGCGGAUCAACUCUGAUUCCUCUGUCAGUCGUGUCAUACCAAUAGCAUUUGAAUAAAAACACUCUAUUCUGCUCGUUAUGAUAUUCCAGUUCGACGACCUCUUCUAAUCUACCAUAGUAGUCAACUUCUAACUCACUACUAGUGGAUCCCUUAACACAAACACCGCUGUUGUAUGUCUUUCUUCUUUGCCCGUAUUCUUAAGUAUGGAAAACAUAUCCAUUGAUAAAAUACCCGUUGUAGCACUUACAUUUUCUUUCAGGCCCCAGGCUUAGUGAAGACAAUGACUUAGGCGCACUCCUUCCCAUUUGAUAAACCUUGUGUACAUCAACAAACAGUAAAUGAACGAGAAUCUCGUAAUGACAUGCAUACGUACAAUAAUUUUGCAAGUUAGAAUGAGUUUGUGAUAGUGCUUACAUGUGUUCUGAACCACGUGGCAAACUGUUCAUCUUGUAAUUGAAAGAUCUGGGAUUCGGUCAGCUGUGAGUUAUUGGAGAGCAAAUAUUGUCGAUGUUGCCUACAAGUGAUGAUGAGUGUAUGAUAUUACAAUGUAUAAUUAACAGUAUAUUACUAACAAAGUUUAAUUAGUAUAAACUUACUGAAUAAAAGGUCUCAGCUCAUCACAGUUAAAUAGAACAUAGUUGUGUGCUUGUUUGAACUCUAUUUCCGACAAAUAUCUUCCUCUUACAGCAUUUUUAAGUGUGGGUCGUCCAGUAUUGGAGAAUAUUGACAAGUUCCCAGUGGAAGGCACCUCACCGCCAUCAUCAUGUUGUGGAACGCGAUUGAUUCUCGUUCUUAGAUGAGGUUCGAAAUAGUACGAAAUAAAUGUUGAGAUCUCCUCAACAAUAUAGGCCUCACAUAUCAAAGCCUCAACAUGCGCCUUGUUCUUAACCUUUUUCUUGAGAUUAAACAAGUACCUGCAUUGAAAUAUUAAUCAAGUAUUUUCAAUUAAGAAAAACAUAUAAAAUACUUUUAUAUAUGAAUUACAUUGCAACUGUAAUAUCUAACCGUUCAAAUGGGUACAUCCAUCUAUAUUGGACCGGUCCUCCAGCUUUUGCCUCGAACGGUAGAUGUAUAGGGAGAUGCUCCAUUGAGUCAAAAAAUGAUGGAGGGAAUAUCAUCUCAAGUUUGCAUAGUGUCUCGAUGAUAUUCAUUUGAAACCUCUCAAUGUGAUCAACAUUCAACUUGCUGGAGCAUAUAUCUCUGAAGAAAUGACUAAUCUCCGUGAGUGCAUCCCAUAUUCUCUUUGGCAACAAAUCACAAAAAGCUAAUGGGAUGAGUGUUUGCAUAAACACGUGGCAGUCAUGACUCUUCAUUCCAUACAAUCUGCAGUUCUCUAUAUUAACCAGCCUUGAUAUGUUCGAUGCAUGUCCAUCCGGAAAACGCAGACUCUUAAGCCAUUUGUAGACUAGUAGUUGUGCGUUUUUCUCUAACAUGAAGCUUGCUUUUGGUUUUGCGACCCGUGACUCAUCAUAAACCAACUCUAUAUUUUUACGGUUACAGUAUAAAGCUAUAUCCAAUCUAGCCUUGAUGUUGUCCUUUGUCUUCCCCUUCACAUCCAUAACGGUGUUGAAAAUGUUCUCAAACAUGUUCUUUUCGAUGUGCAUGACGUCAAGGUUAUGGCGAAGCAAAUUGGUCUUCCAAUAAGGAAGCUCCCAAAAGAUACUUUGCUUUACCUAAUUAUGGGUCAAACCAAAACCAGGAAACUUUUGCUUACCUGAUUGAAGGCCAAACACAAUGUCACCGUACUCUGAGACAACAUCAUGCAAUUCUUCACCAGAAAGACGCGGGGAUGCAACAUCUUUUUCAACUCUGCCAACAAAGAAAUCUUUUAUGUUCUUUCUGUACCUGUGAUUAAGUGGCAAGAAGCGACGGUGACAGUCAAAAAUAGAAGCUUUACCUCCGUUUGCUAGCGUGAAUGCCUUGUUGUUUUCCAUGCAGUAUGGACAUGCGAGUUUCUCAUGCAUGCUCCAACCAGAAAGCAUUCCAUAAGCUGGAAAAUCAUUGAUAGUCCACAUCAAAGCCGCCCUCAUAAGGAAAUUUUGUUUCCUCGAUAUAUCAUAAGUCAGAGCUCCGGAGGACCACAACUGCGCCAACUCAUCAAUCAACGGUCGAAGACAAACAUCUAUAUUCCGCCCCGGGUUGCUUGGAUCGGGUAUGACAGUAGAUAAAAACAUGAACUCUGGCCUCAUACACAUUCCCGGUGGCAAGUUAUAAACUGUGAGUAUGACCGACCAACAAGAAUAAGGAGCAGCAAAUGACUCAAAUGGGUUGAAUCCGUCUGUACACAACCCAAGACGCACAUUCCUUGAUUCAGCUGAAAAGUGAGGAUGAACACUGUUAAAGCGUUUCCACGCUUUGCCGUCAGAAGGAUGAACCAUCACUCCAUCAACCGCAUGGUGUGCUUGGUGCCAUGUCACGUGCUCAGCAGUCCUUGGUGACAUGAAUAACCUCUGCAGUCUAGGUGUGAUCGGGAAGUAUCUAAGUUUUUUAUAUGCCACUAGANNNNNNNNNNNNNNNNNNNNNNNNNNNNNNNNNNNNNNNNNNNNNNNNNNNNNNNNNNNNNNNNNNNNNNNNNNNNNNNNNNNNNNNNNNNNNNNNNNNNCUCGCAUGUCAUGCACUCGGUCAUCUCAGCAUUUUCAAGGUAGUAUAAAAUGCAGAAGUUAGGGCACAUGUCAAUUUUCUAGUAUCCUAAACCGAGGGGUUUCAUCAUGGACUUCGCAGCAUAGAAGUUCUCUUUCAGCCUGUUCCCUUCAGGUAAAAUGCUUCUUGCCCAUUCAAUAAUCUUGUCAUACCCGGCCUCACUCAACCCGUGAUCUGACUUGAUGAUGAACACCUGUGCUAUGGCUGAUAAUUUACUAUGCUUCGUGCAGCCAUCCCAUAAUGGUUCAUCAGAAUCUUUCAACAAAUCAAAAAACCUAGCUGCAUCUGCAUUAGGUUCUUCUUCUACGAUUGGACAUUGACUAACAUUACCUUGAUUCAUUCUCAUUGCAUCCAUAACCAUAUUUCUGUAAGGAUUAGUGUUGUCAUUUGCCGCUUCAUGCACGUUGCUAGCACUAGAAGUAGACCCAACCACCGUUUCUUCCAUUCUCCUCUCACUAACAAAUACUUCUCCAUGUGCAUACCAACACUGGUAAUUCUCCAUAAACCCUUUGUGUAGAAGAUGCAUCAUUACAACAUCUGGAUGCAGAUACUUUUUAUUUUAACACUUCCUGCAUGGACACCUAAUACCGCCUCCAGUAAAAUUUAUGGGAAUAGAUGUUGCGAAAUUAAUAAAACCCUGAACCCCGUUACAAUAAUCCAUCAUCCGCAAUCCUUGGGGUGAAUCUCGAUACAUCCAUGAACGAUCAUCCAUGAUUUAUAUCGAACCUCUAUAAAAUUAUGAUGACAUCAUGUAUUAAUUAACUAAGUUAGGUAAAUAAACUUGCAAAAAUAUUACUUUACCUCGAGAUUAUCCAACAAACCAAUCACAACUUCUCAUAAAUAUUAAAUAUUCAUUAUCAUUUAUCAACGUCCAUACAAAUUAAAAUAUAUAAAUUUACGGAAAUUACCACUCCGCAAUACCAUUGAAAAAACUUUAAACGGACCCAUUAAGCAAGCUAUUAAUUAUUUCAAAACAGCACAUGUACUUCGGUAGUUCCAUAAAGUUUUAACAAUUUACAAACAAAUACAAUCUUACAAAAUCUAAAACAAACCAUAACAGGUAUAGAAUUAUACAUUCAUAUACUACAAGUUUGUUUGAGAAAUAACAAUAAAACAUGUACAUCUACUAACAAAAUACAUAACUAAAAAAACAAUAAAAUUGACAUUUAAUUAAAUGUUAAAAUUUAAAAAGAUAGAAUUACUUACAAAAAUUGAUAAAAUCCGUCGGUAAAUCAGAACACGGAUGUUGUGACCACAAAACUUCAAGAAAUAUAACUUGUUGUGCUGAUAUGAGGGAGAUUUUUGUUUGGGGGGGAGGGGGGGCUGGUUGUUUGCAGAUGGGGAGAGUUGGGAUUAGGAAGAAGAAGGAGAAAUAGGGGAGGAGAGGGUCGGCAGAGCGGACAUAUAUUAACUUUUCCCGACGGUUUCACCGACGGACACUCCGUCGGUGAAACCGUCGAUGAUUCUGACGGAACAAUCGACACGUCAUCGUACGGAUUUGUCAUUUCAAAUCCCUCGGUGAUUCCGUCAGUAAUAUAAACGGCAAACCGGUCACGUCGCUGUACGGGCUGUCUUUUUGAAUCCGUCAGUGAUUCCGUCGGAAAACAUAACCCGCCAAAACCUCCACGUCAGCGACCCGUCUUGUUUUUUACGACGGACACUAUUCCGUCCGUAAUUCAGUCGGUAACUACCGACGGAAAUUUUUCGUCGGUAGUUACUGACUGAAGUACGGACGGAAUAGUGUCCGUCGGUAAUUUCGACCUCAAAUUACCGACAGACAUAUUCCGUCGGUAAAUCCGUUGCUAUUUAGCGAAUUUCUGGUAGUGAUGAAAUUGAAAAAAAAAUUGUAUAAAAAAAAAGCCAUCCCAUGUUAACCCAAACCCAAGUCAGAAAAAUGUAUUAAAAAAAGAAAAUCUUUCAUUGCUACUUUUAAUAAUAAUUGUUUUUUCAUGUUUUUGUUGAAGGGAAAUAUGACAUUUAAAGAAAUUAAAUACACUUUUUCAUAUUUUUGAGAGUGUUAGACAUAAAAAUAGUGAUGAAAGAUAAAUAAUAAUAAUAAUAGAAAACAAAAAAAGAAUCGAUCGCUAGAGGCAAACCAGAAGCCCGUUGUCGGCACAUACAACACAAUGACAUAGAACACAGAGAGAGGGUUCAAAUGGGCAUUGAGAAAGGGCAGAAUCGGUCAUCAAAAGCUACUGAACAUGCCACCUAAGUGUUGCGACCUCCCCCACUCGUCGGUGCGUCCUACACACACACCACCACUUUUUCCAAUUUUUUUCACCAUCGAGAAAGAUUAUCACCUUAUGACAAGUUAACUUGGCAAAGAAAGGUAAUAACAAUGUUUUGAAAUUGAAGGCGGCAACAGCAGCCAAAAAUAAUUAAUUUAAAACCAUCUACUUAGUACAUAUAAGUUGAUCAAGGGUUGCUAAUUUGUAACGAAUGGCAUACAGUUUUACCAUAUCAACAGCAUGAAAAUUGAUAAUUGAUGUGAAUCCCAAAUCUAUUAUUCUAUUUCUUUAUUAAUUAUCAUAAAAAAAACAUUUAUUAAAGGUGUUGUCCUCCAACUCUCUUUCCAUAAAAAGAAAGAGUUGUGAGCCACCACAUACAUUUGAUCAUGGACAAAAGGUAAUCAAAUAGUUGCCUCCGCUAGGACAAGUAAACGUGCUCGAUUUAUCAUCAAAAGCAUAACUAUAAGCUUGAGGACACUGCUUCUUGAAGAUCAUCGAAUAUUGGUUAGGAGGACAUUUGUCAGGUGUACUGUACUCUCCUGUGCAGCAGAACUGCGGCUGGUUAAAUGCCAAACACGC
rnacentral:lncRNA from 1 species